GGUAGAGUGAGACAUGACAUCGUGUUCCAGCUAAAUACCGAAUGGUCACAUCAACCCUCCCACCCCGCAACACUUCCACCCCCCUUAGUGUCAUUUAUAUAGGUUGUCAUAUUCUCUUAAACAAAAAUUAUAGGUAAUUUAUAUUUUAUACAAAUGAAAAAGUAAAUUUUAACCUAUGAAAUUGAUUUAAACAACUGAAGAUUAAAACCUAGUAUUAGAAAGGAAAACUAAAUUAACACCAAUUUGCCCAAAAUUAAACCAUGUAUUAUACUAAAUUAAUUCACAAGAGAGUUCCACAUCACUCAAAUAUUAUCUCGCACUCAAAUUCACAAAACUCACUUUCCAGGUACAAAGUUUGUAGCAUAUGACCAUGCAUUGUUUGCAACCGGGUCCGCAAGAUGGUCAGCGAGGUUCUCCAAUGGUCCCUUUCCGGUAACAAUGGCUUGAACAAAGAAUCCAAACAUAGAGAACAUGGCUAGUCUGCCGUUCUUGAGCUCCUUCACUUUCAGCUCAGCAAAUGCCUCUGGGUCAUCAGCCAGACCCAAUGGGUCGAAGCUACCACCAGGGUAAAGUGGGUCAACUACCUCACCAAGAGGUCCACCAGCAAUUCUGUAACCUUCAACUGCACCCAUCAAGAUCACUUGGGUAGCCCAGAUGGCUAAAAUGCUUUGUGCAUGGAUCAAACUUGGGUUCCCCAAGUAGUCAAGACCACCCUCACUAAAGAUCUGGGAUCCAGCCUUGAACCAGACAGCCUCACCAAACUUGACACCAUUACGCGCCAAGAGUUCGGGGAAGACGCACCCAAGAGCUCCGAGCAUGGCCCAUCUGCUGUGGAUGACCUCAAGCUCACGGUUCUUGGCGAAUGUUUCAGGAUCAGCAGAGAGCCCAGCAGUGUCCCAACCGUAGUCACCGGGGAACUCACCGGUCAGGUAAGAUGGGGCUUCGCCGGAGAAUGGGCCAAGGUACUUAACACGGUCGGGGCCGUACCAUGGACUUCCUGAUGGUGCGACUUUCUUGACUGCUGUCUUCCUCAUGGAAACCCUUCCAUUUCCGGUAAUUUCAGAACCAGAUGGUGCUACUUUCACCGCCUGUCCGACGAAAGAAGAGGAUAGUGCCAUGGUGGAAGCUGCCAUUUUUGUGAGAUUUGUUUUGAAGAUGUUUUGAUGAUAUGAUAGUAUUAUGAGUGAUGAAGAUGUGUGGAUCUGGAACGUAGAUUUAUAGGGUGGUUUUUGGGCCAGGUAGUUGAUCAAUGCUUAUCUUGAUACACUCUUUAACUUCAUUUUGAUUGGCUACCAAGAUUUUAGUUCUAUCAGAGGGUAUAUAAUUUGUGUGGUUCAAGUUCUCUGGUCCACGGGAGAUAUUUGAAGGGGCAGCGAUAUUCAUGGCUCUGGCUUAUUGAGCGAAUAUAAUGGCUCGCAUUCUCAGCCACUAGCUAGUCUUGGUGGGGUUUUAGCCAGUCUUUGUGCGGUUUUUCAUGUUUAACCAUUACCAUAGUAUCGACUAAGUUUAGUCCAAACAUGCAUUGAAGUUCAGUAGAUUUGUAUUAUCAUUUUGUUUUUUAUACAAAUUUAUCAUUUUCGUACAUAAUAUAAACUCUAGGAAAAUUAAAUAGAAUAUAUUUUGAGAUAUUGACAACAUUGACCAAAUAAUAAAAAAACGUAACACACCAUUCUAAAAAAUAACAUAUAACCAUGAUGUCCGAAAAAAAUAUAACAUAUAACCAUGAUUUUCGAAAAACAAAAUUCUUGAAGAUGUACAAUUUUCGAAGGUACUAUUUGGUGACUAAUUUUAAAAGAAGCCAUUUUCAAAAUGUAAUAUUCUCGAAGUGAUUAUUUCAGCUACUUAAGGUGAUGUUGAUUUCAAAUCUCUAACAUGACAAAAAGCUUCCCCAACAAAUCUGAAGCAUGGACAUUUCAACCUAAAGAUGGGUGAGGGAAGUUCUUUUAUUGAUCAUCUUUUGUUUUCUAACAGCUUGUAGAACAUCUAGAAAUAUUGGAUGCCACAUAUGAAAAAGAAGACUUGCCGUUGUUCCUAUUGUCAUCUUUAACAAAUUCAUAUGAUGACUUUUGUGAUAAUAUUAUCUAUAGCUGAGACACCAUUGUCUUGGAUGAGAUCAUGACCACUUUAGACUUGAACGAAAGGAUGAAACUUAUCAUUAGUGAUAGUAAUGGUGAUAUAAAGGACGAAGGUCUCCAAGUAAGAGGAAGAUAUAUGUAGGGAAGUAACGAUUCCAAAUCCCUUAACAAGUCAAGAUCCAAGUCCAAAGAGAAACGUAUAUAGUGCAAAUAUUGUGUGUCUGUUGAAGCUGAUGUGGCCGAGAUCGUCUUUGAUGGCGAGCUUCUAGAAUUAUUUCUGACGAUGGUUAUUUGAUUACCACGAACGGUGGGUUCUUGAAUUUGUGCGUGCUUUUCACAUGAGUCCAAACAAAUACUAUUGUCACACCACAUUGAAAAGGAUAGUUGAUGCCAAGUUUUAAUAGGCAACGUCGACACUUCCUCCCUUAUUUUAGGACAAGCCACAAUUAGAUUUUGAAUGUUCGAUGGUGUAGUAAGUGUUGGGUUUCUAUAACAUCAAGUACACACAAACAAGGUAGUGGAAACAAUGAAAUGAUAUACCUAAGUGCAUAUGCUCUUUAGAUCUAGGUUUUACUAGUUUUAGCAAAAUACUUAAAAAUCAACAUAAAAUAAAGAUAAAACACUUACUUUUUGUUCAUUUGUAACGUCAUAAUAAAUACUCUCUCCGUCCCAAAAUUAUUGUUCACAGACAAAAAAAAAACACACAGAUUAAGAAAACAUUAAUUACUACUAACUUUAUUCAAUAAAAUGACAGUUAUGUCCUUAUUUUGCAUUUAAUGUUCGAUUAAAUGCUUAGUUGGUUAAGUAAUAAUAAUAAAGUGUAUUUUGGUAAAAAAGUUAUUUAUUUUUAUAAGUGGACUAUAAUUUUAGGACAAACCAAAAAGGAAAGAUGGACUAUAAUUUUGGGACGGAGAGAGUAAUAAUUACUAAAAUAAAAUCCUAAAAUAGGAUAAUCUAUAGCCGUGCGCGCUGCGGACUAUAUAAUACAAGUUUCUUAUUAAGGAAAAAUAGGAAAAAUCACCCGAGUCGUCCGUAAGUCAUAAAAAUAAGUGUGCCAAAAUGUAUAUAUUAUUAUAUAUUCAAAAAGUACAUGUCGUCCUGAUCCCGAAAAUAUAAAUUUCGUAGAAAUCUUAGUUCAUAUGAAGACGAUAUGAAUUUUAUAAGACAUAAAAAUCAACAGCCUAACUAAAAAUUAUUAACGUCAAAAUGUACAAAGAGAAUGGUUGACCUUUGGGUAAAGUCACCAAAAUGAAAAUCAUAAUGCUCUUUAAUGUAAGAAUUUUGGUAAAAGAAACACAAAAACUCGGAGUCCGUAUGGGAAAGUUAUGAUUUUUGCAAAAUCAUUAAAUCAUAUAAAAAUAAGGGCUAAAAACAAAUUCAGAAUUAGCCGAUGGAGCCUAAAGGAAAGUUGUAGUAUUGUCGAGAGCUACAUGUGGAAAAAAAGAACGUCAAAAGCAGAGUCCGUAUGAAGAAGGUGAAAAUGCGACCCAAUGAGAGCUUGACACGUGACACAAUGUGGCUAGGGAGAAGUCACCUUAAAAUGCACGACGUACACCCCCAUUGCACACUGUGCACCCAAAAUCGGCUAUAAAUAGGAGGUCAAGCCUCAUUCACUCCUCAACACCGCUUCUAUCAUUCUCUUUCGAUUUCCUUUGGUUCUGGCCCAUUUUAUCUUAGUUUUAGCAUUCGGCGAAGCCCUGCGAUCCCUAAAGUAGUAGUAGUUAGCGAGUAGAAGCUUUGCCAAUGCAAUUUCCUAACUUUGUUAGGAAGAACCUUUGUAAGUUAAGCUAUACUCUAGUCUUUUCAAUGUAAGUUAUAUUUAUAGUCAUAAGUCAUUAUUAUGAACCUAUAAAUAAGAUUUAUCAAUAAUUCUAUGUCGUUAUACUGAUUGAUCUACUUACGGGAGAUGUGCCUAGAAUGGUCACGUUGGCUUGGUUGUUGGAUUUCAAAAAAGAUAAUGAUUCUGCCUCCCAACUGUCCUGCUUGGAUGAUCCUUAAUUGAUAGAUCUUGAUUUAGACAUCAAAAUUAAUGAGGAAUCUAGUCAUCAGGACCAUUAGACUAGAACUUUAUAUAAAUUAUACUUAGGUAUCGGAAAUAUCUGAGGUGUUAGGCAAAGCUCUGCCCAGAUCACCAGCCACCCACCUAAGUCAAGUGAGUACAUAGUCCCCUUCAUGAACACGAUUUAAUACAAGUAUUAAUUGAAAUAUUAAAAAUCUGCUGGAAGUCGUAUGUGAAUUAUAUACUUAUUGCCUGGAUUGUAUGUUAGGAUAUAUGGUGCUAUGUGCGAACUAGAUAUGGUUCUAUUUUAUGUUAAGAUAAAUAGAUAAUAUUACAUAAUAAUAUUCAAAGCAAAAUUGUUGAGAAGAUAAAUGAUUAAUAACACCUAAUACUCUUAUGGAAUAUAUAUAUAUAUAUAUACUAAGAUAGGUUAGUGUCGCCCAAGAAUAGAGUUGGUAUUAAAAAUUUAGUUUCAGGCACGGUAUUCUAUUCUAGGAAUAAACUUAGACUUAUGGAAGAUACCUAGUUCAAUUAAGUUGAUAUUAGAUAGUCUCAUUAGGAGAAUGUGCGUAACCUAGGAAUGGAGAGUAAAGUUUUGUUCCAUGACACUAUUAGGUGUCGAUUUGUUAUAGCUUCGUACUAGAUGACCAGAAAUGGUGGGUCCUGAUCAGGCAACUGUUAGCAGUAUGUCUAGUCACGCCACAUAGUAUUUUUGGAUUAGAUGUCCAAACCCAUAACUAUAAUUGGUAUAUACUUGACCCGAGAGUAGCAUGGUCCAUUUCAGGUUGCCUUCAUCAAAGCAAUUUGACAAGAUAGAUAUUUGAGAAAGAGGUUAUUUGUGAUUUACUAAUAUUAUAAGAAUAAUAUAUUAAUUAAGAAAUCAUAUUAUUUAAGUAGUAUUGUUCAAAAAUUAAUUUGGAAUUAAUUUAGUAAUCAAAAGAGACUAAUUAAAUUUGCAGGGACUGAUUAGGUAAAUCAGUGAUAUUUAUAGUUUGGGGCCUUUGGGCUAAUGAUCAAUGUUGAUUAGGAUUGGACUAAUUCUUUGUGAGAGUCCAUGAAGAGUUAGUCCAAAACGCUAAUGAGUUAUUGGAUUAAAAGCCCAAGUGAGUUAGGGUUUACAAGUUGAAUCCCUAGGAAUUCAUAACAUUAUUGAAGCAACAUACUAUUGAAUAAAAAAACUUCUAAACCCUAAUGGAAAUCACAAUUUUCAGAAGAAUUACAUACCUCUAAUUUGUUAUUGUAAGCAAACCUUUGAAUCCAACAAGAUCAAUCCAAAAGUCUCUUUGAAAACAAACUUCAAUUGUGAGCGAGCCUCUAAUGGUUCGCACUCACAAGACAAGAACCCUAGAAAGAUUAGGAGAGAGGUUCAAAUUUUUGGAUCUACUAUCUCAAUAGAAGUGGCCAAAAAUUUCAAGGUACAAGACCCUAUUUAUAGCUUAUUAGGAAACAUCUAGAAACCCUAAUUUGAACAUAAAAUAAAAUUAUCUCAAAUAAGUCAAUUAUUUAGUUUCUUGAUUAUCUGCAUGGAGGCUUCCUGAAACCUUAGUGGGUCUAAAAAAAAGGUCCACUGGAGGAAGGUUCUGGAAUCUCUCCUCUGCUCAACUCUUAAAACAAGUUUCGCUUUAGUCCUUCAACCUUUAAUUAAUUUUAAUUAACCAUAAAUUAAUUCCAAACCAAUUCUAAAUUAAUCAUAACUAUUUAUAAUUAAUAUAUUAAUCAUAUAAUAUAUUAAUAAAUCAUUUCUCUCUCUUCUAAAAUCAAUCUAAGCAAUUUCUUGGUUAUGAGGGCAACCCAAAAAGGACUUUGCUUUUAUUUAUCAACAUUAUAUCAAUUUAGUUUGGAUCUUAGACACCUUAAUCCAACAUAAGGUUCGUAAUACAUAUACAUGUUGUGUAUGUCCAUUAGCAAAACAAAAAUGAUUACCAUUUGUUUCUGCAAACAAUGUAUCUCAUACACCUUUUCAAUUGAUUCAUUGUGACAUUUGGGGUCCUUAUCAAAUCAAUUCACAUCGGGGUUAUAGGUUUAUCAUUACUAUUGUGGAUGAUUACACUAGAUUCACUAGGAACUAUUUGAUAAGACACAAAUCUGAGGCACAAUUUGUUAUUCCCCAUUUUUUUUUUUUAAAAAUGGUGCUCAAAUAAUAUCAUACUCAUAUAAAUAUUUUCAGAUCGGAUAAUGCAAAAGAACUUCAACUCAACGUGUUUUUUAAACUAAAUGGAGUAUUACAUCAGUUCUCGUGUGUUGAUAGACCACAACAAAACUUUGUUGUUGAGAGAAAACUUCAACAUCUCUUAAAUGUGGCAAUGACAUUGUUCUAUCAAGCUCACAUUCCUUUUAUAUGUUGGCUUGAAUGUGUUUCAACAAGUGCCUACAUGAUAAAUAGAACUCCCUCAAAAGUUCUUGGAAAUAUUUCUGCUUAUAAAAAUCUCUAUAAAGAAUAGCCUCAUUACUCAUAGCUUUGAAAUUUUGGUUGUUUACCUUUUGCAUCCACACUUCAUUCUCAAAGACAUAAGUUUGAUCAUUGAGCAAGAGCAUGUGUUUUCAUUAGAUAACCACAAGGAAUGAAAGCAUAUAGAUUUCUUGAUAUAGAAACAAAUCAAAGUUUUGUUUCUAGAGAUGUCAUAUUUCAUGAGGGGAUAUUUCCUUUUAAAUAAUGCUCGCCAUCUUCUCAUACAAAUCCAUUUAUCUUUCAUGUUUUGCCUAUACUUUUACCUAGAAUCACUCAUUCUUUUACUCCUUCAGAAAAUCUCAAUCAAUUUGAUUCCCAAAUUGAUACCUUACAAAUGAAAUUCCAAAUUCACAACCAAUAUUUCUAGACCACGAAGACAAAGAGCUCCUCCUUCAUAUCUUCAGGAUUUUCAGUAAUUUGAUAAAUCCAAUUCCAGAAGAAACAUCUAUCAAAUACCCAUUAUUUGUUGUAUUAUCUUAUUUACAUCUUUCUCCUUCUUACCAAGCAUAUACUUAUGCCUUAUCUACUCAAACUAAACCCACUUCUUUUAAAGAAGCCAUUCAACAACCUAAAUGAAAGCAAGCAAUUGAUGAAGAACGUCAUGCUUUAGAGUUAAAUAAUAGUUGAACCAUUGUAACCCUAUCUCUUGAUAGAAAACCUUUGGGCUGAAAACGGGAUUUUAAACUUAAAAAGAAGGUUGAUGGAUCCAUUGAAAUCCAUAAGGAUAUAAUGGUAGCAAUGGGCUAUAGUCAAUAAGGAGUGGAUUUUUUUGGAUACUUUCUCACUUGUGUAAAAUUUAGUCAUAGUCAAACAUUUGCUGCUAACAAAGCUUGGCCACUAAUCCAAUUAGAUGUUAAUAAGCUUUCCCAAAUGGGGAUUUAAAUGAAGAGGUUUAUAUGCACUUACCACAAGGAUAUACUCCAUCUUUGUUUCUAAUUCCAGUGGAAAAUUAGUCUGCAAUUUUGAAAAAUAUUUAUAUGGUUUACAACAAGCUUCAAGGCAAUGGUAUGAUAAAUUUUCAAAAUUUUCUUAUUUCUAAAUAUUUCAAGCAAUAUCAAUAAAAAAAUUCCUUAUUUUUCAAAGGAAAAGAUGAUAAUUUUAUGGCCUUAUUAGUAUAUGUAGACGAUAUUGUCCUUACGGCUUAUUCUCUCACAACCAUUAAUAACAUCAAACAACGUUCAAGUGAUGCCUUUUAUCUCAAAGAUUUGGGUAAACUCAAACAUUUUUUGGGUUUGGAAAUUGGAAGAUCCCCAAAUGGAAUUGUCAUUUCUCAAAGGAAAUGUGUUAGAUCUAUUUGAAGAUGUUAGCAUGUUGGUAUCCAAACCAACCUCUCAAUUAAUGGAUCCUUGUCAUAAAAAAUUAAUUUUUUAUGGAUAACCUGUAUAAGAUCCAUCUCAUUAUCGCCAUUUAGUUGGUCGUCUUCUUUAUCUCACAAUCACACCUCCCGAAAUAGCUUAUGUAGUACACAGAUUAAGCCAAUAUAUUUCUGAUCUAAAAAUACCACAUCUUCAGGUAGCUCAUCAUGUGUUAUGAUUUUUAAAGGAUAACCCUAGACAAGGUUUGUUUAUUUCAUCCAAACCAUCUUUGCAAGUCAAAGCAUUCAAUGAUUCUGAUUGGGUUGGAUGUAUUAACACUAGAAGAUCUUUUACAGGUUUUUGUGUUUUUCUUGGAGAUUUCUUAAUCUUGUGGAAAUCCAAGAAAAAAACCACUUUUCCAAGAAGAUCAAUAGAAGUAGAGUACAGGGCACUGGAUCUGUCAUAAAUGAUGUGAUCUGGUUAAGAUAACUUAUGCGUGAUUUUUUUUAUUAAUUUGGAUCCACCAACAUUUGUUUUUUGUGAUAAUAAUUUUGCAAUGCAAUUAGCUGUCAAUCCUAUAUUUCACUAGAGGACUAAGCAUAUCUAAAUCGAUUUCCAUUUCAUAAGGGAAAUGAUUGUGGAUCACACCAUCAAACUCAUGCCCAUUCAUACUUCAAAUUAACUAGCGGAUAUAUUUACAAAACCCCUUGCUUAUUCUAGAAUUGCUUUGAUUUUAUCCAAGAUGGCACUUAAAAGUAUUUUUUAGUGUACAUCUUGAGGGAGGUAUUAGAGCAUAUUGACCGCUUAGUUGAUUAAAUAUCUAUUACGAUGCCGUUUUAUAUUUGUCAUUAGAAAUAAAGGUAGUGAAACUAUGUCAUUUACUUGUGUAAAUAAGUUGUUAAGUUAGUUAGGUGCAUGUUAGCUAAUGUUGUGCAAGAUAAUAGUUAUAUAUAAUCUCAUUUUAUAUUUAUUGAUGAAUAAGAGAAGAUUAUAUUCCCUUUUCAAUUCUUUUUCUUCUUGAUUGUAAAUCUUUCCUCUACCCAUACCUUUCAUAACCCCCUAAAACUAUUUAAUCAAAUCGGUCACUGAAUUCUUGUUUCCAAUUUUGAUUCGAACGACGGUACCUCAAGCCAUUGUUUCAGAUCUUGAGGUAAAUACAAUUGCUCUAUUUCCCUUAAUUAUAAAUUGCAUUCAUGAUUUAUUGUUGAUUGAUGGUGCUAAAUGUUCAGAUGUAAAUCAUACACAUUGUGAACUUAUAGAAACAAUAUGUUGUUCCUAAAAUUGGUAAAAUCCAAAAUCCAAGAUGAUGCAAAUAUCGAUGCUCUACUAAAACUCAUAUAUGUCAAUGGCGCUACAUGAUGGAAAAAGAGCCACUUUUAGUUUGUUGUCAAAAGGCAAAGUGAAGUUAAGACAGUCUUCUCUCAAAUACGACCUCUAGCCUUAGGCUUCAAGUUGUUUCUCGUGUGAGUUUGGGUCUUUCAAAAUUCAACAAAUUUGCUACAAUGGAUACAAAUGUUCUUUAUGGAUACAUCACUAGACUGUAAAAUGAGAUUGAUAACAUUCACGAUGUUGUUAGAUUGCUUACAUUCAUGAUGUUGUUACAUUGGUAAAAGUCCGAGAUGACAUCAUGGUGGACGUUGGUAGAACGAGACAUGACAUUGUGUUCCUGCUCAGUACUACGCUUCCACCAUACUUAGUGUCACUUAUAUGUAGAAAGGUGUUAUCUAUAUCAAUUUUAUAUAUUAUGUAUAGUGUAGGGAGACAAUUUUAACAAUGUAUUGUAUAAAUAUAUUCUGCAAUAUACGCCUCCAAAUGAUGAGGUUUUUCCCACUUUAAUAUGGUAUCAAGCUACGGUUUCUACCCUCUUUAAUCAUACGUAUGGAUCAAACCUUUUACCGCCUCACAUUUUUUUUUCUGGCCAUUAAUCACGUUGUCGCUGCUCUUAUAUGCCACUAUAAUUGUCGACUGCUUCUCAAUUUUUCUCGACGUGCUCUCCUCCGUGCAUUAGGGUCUUCCUAAAAUAUGGUUGUGGUUGAUUCUUUUAUGUUUCCAACAAUAUUUUACAAUCUCCUGCUGUGAUCACAUAAUUUUGCCCUCAUCAUUAUUGUGUGCGUUUCUUGCUCCUUAAGGUAUUGCCUCCAUGACCACUCCUGGUUCAUCCUCUACCACCACUCCCAUGAAGUUAAGUCUCGUUUGUACUCUCACCAACGUUUACAAUCAUUUUAGUUUCAAAUUAAAUGUUGAUGAGCCAAACUGUAAACUAUGGAAUCAGAUUUUUUCAAACAUGUGUCGAGGCACAUUGUCCUAUGGUAAUAUUUCAUAGAAAUCGGUUCCAACCAGAGAUGAUGAGGAAUGAUAUUCGGUUGAUGCAAGGCAUCAAUUCUUAUUUUUAUAGUAUUGUGAUCCCGAGUUUCUUCAAUUCAUCUUGAGCGAUGAUUACACCACCACAAAUCUUUCGAAAAAAUUAGAUGAAUUUUUCGGAACAACAAAAUAUCUCGAAUGUUGCAAUUACAGGAUUAAUUUCGCAAUACGAAGAAGGGUUCAAGCUCCAUUACCGAAUUUUAUCACAUUCUCAAGAACCGUGCCAAUGAUCUCAAAGAUGUUGGUUCCACCAUCAUCGAAAUUGAGCUAGUAAUGCCAAUCUUGAGACAAUUACCAUCUCAUACCAUAGUAUUACGGAUGUCAUCACCAACAUCAAGCCUUUUCACUCUUUCCUUGAGGCCAAGAAUAUGCUUUUACUUCAUGAGUCUCGAGAAACGGCUUAAGAUUCCUUCACAAAUUCAUCCAUGUCUCAUAGUGUGGCUCUAUUUUCCUCAUCCAACAAUUUGGGAAAUCCAAAUACCGAUGGUCGAAAAACUGGAACAAUUCCCGAAAAAUUGAAAAACAAUGCACAUGGAAAUCAUUUUGAUUCGCAACCGCAAUUUAUUAGAAUUCUUGGAAAUGCUCUGUUGCCACCUCCGCGUGCUGCCUCUGGUUACGUUGCUGCUAUCCCAGCUGCUUCGCACUUAAUCCUACUGUCUUACAGCUCCUAUCUGUAGGUUCCAUUCUCGCCGAAUCAGCAGCCCACGUGACAACUGUCAGUGCCUCCGCAACCCUCUUCUCAACAUUUCACUUUUCAUCAGCAUCUGACUCAUGUUGUUGGGUCUUCAUCAUCAGCUACACCCCUCAGACUUGUUUCUCAACAACCAAGUCAGGUGCCUCACGGUCACUUUUCUCAACAUCAAUUUUUUGGUGGAUCUACUUUUGGUUGUCACGUUCAGACUACUCCUUAACAAUUCAUCGAUAUCGCCUCUGCCUUUCAAUCCAUGUCUCUUCAGCCGCCUCUCGACAACAACGUUUACGUGGACUCCGGUGCUAGCUAUCACAUGUCCUUCAAAUCAGUUAACAUGCCUUGCCUAUCACUACGUAAUUCUAGAUCUCUAAUAGUUGCUAAAGGUGCUAUACUUCAUAUUACUCAGACUGGUCAAAUUUUUUUUCCACAUUCACACAACUGUUUAGCUCUAAAUAGCAUACUUGUCUCAAAUAAAAUUGUUAAAAAUCUCAUUAAUGUAUGUCAGUUCACUGUUGAUAACUUUGUCUCUGUAACUUUUGACCCUUUUGGUUUCACUGUGAAGGAUUUUAAAACAUGUGCGUUUAUUUAAAGAUGUGAUAAUGGCAGUGAUCAUUGUCCCGUUAUCCCCAUGCCAACUCCUUCUUUUUCUAACACUAGUUGUGUUGUUGUUUCUCUCCCAACUUGGCAUAUGCGUCUUGGUUACCUUGGCUCAUCUAUUUUGAAUUUUUUACAUUCUUGCAAGUUUAUUUCCCAUACUACUACUAAACUACCCAUCUAUCAUGCUUAUUAGCUUGGGAUGCAUUGUCGUUUACCCUUCUCUUCGUCUAUAAUUAAAACUACUAGUAUGUUUGAAUUGGUGCAUUUAGAUUUAUGGAUAUCUCUUAUUGCUAGUCUAAGUUGUUUUAAAUAUUAUAUUUUUUGGAUGAUUUUACUCAUUUCUUAUGGGUUUUCCAUCUUCGUGAAAAAUCUGAUAUUUUUGAUGUUUUAUCUAACUUCCAUGGAUGUGUCCAAACUCAAUUUAAACCUGACAUCAAAUUUUUUCAAUGUGAUAAUGGUUGUGAAUUCAAUAACAAAUCUGUUCUCACUUUCUGUGCCCAUAAGGAAAUCAAAAUUGGCUUCUCUUGUCCGUAUACGUCCCAACAGAACGAUAAGGUUGAAAGAGUCAUACGAACCAUUAAUAACAUCCUUCGAACUUACCUGUUUCAAGCCUCCCUGCCUCCAACAUUUUGGGUUGAAGCUCUCCUCAUUACUGUUCAUACCCUUAAUCUCCUUCCCACCUCCACUCUUGCGUUUCAAACACCCUUUGAGCUUCUCUUUGGUGUUUUUUCCCUCCUAUGAUCACCUUUGAGUAUUUGGGUGCCUUUGCUACCCAAAUCUCUCAUCCACGACUCCCCAUAAGAUCUCUUAUAGGUCUUCUUCAUGUGUAGACCUCAAUCCCUCCUCUAAUCAUUGUGGCUUUUGUUGCCUUAAUCUCAUCUCCCAACGAGUAAUUAUCUCUCGUCAUGUCAUCUUUGACGAUCACUUCCAUUUCUCUACCUUUCAUGAUAAACCCUCAACCAAUUACUAUGAUCCUUUCCUUUCCGAGGAUAUACCUCCCCUCCUUACAGUAUGCACUACUCUUCGCAUCACUGAGCCCUCUCCUAGUGAAUCUUCUCCCGCUCUUUCUGAUAGUAGUUCCCCUCAACCCACUGCCUCCUCCUCCUUUCCUAAUACUAUUCCUACCCCCUCCUCCUACCCAUCCCAUGGUCACUUGCUCUCGCACUGGCUUUCUCAGGCCUAAGUAGAUUUUUAAUCUAUUUGCCACUUCUGAUGUCUCCCCUAUCCCUCGCUCUAUAUCUCAAGCUCUAUGUGAUCCUAACUGGAUUUUUCCAUGGACUCUGAAAUGCAGGCUCUUCACUCCAAUCACAAAUGGGAACUUGUUCCCCUUUCUCCAUGCCAAAAUUGUUGGUUGUCGCUGGCUUUAUUGUCAUAAGUUUGACAGAAAAGGUAACCUAGAUCGCUAUAAAGGUUGCCUUGUUGCUUAGGGAUUCUCUCAGCUUCCUGGUCUUGACUUUGAUGAUACCUUCAGUUCUGUUGUCAAACCUGAUACGAUUUGUACUGUUCUAAUUAUUGCGAUGUCCAAGCAUUAGCCAAUUCAUCAACUAGAUAUCAAAAAUGGUUUCCUACAUGGUUACCUAUCUGAGGAAGUUUACAUGAAACAACCUCAUGGGUAUGUCCAUCCCUCCCUUCCUAAUCAUGUAUGCCGACUUCUCAAAGCUCUUUAUGGUCUCAAAUAGACUCCCAAGCCAGGUACCAACGCUUUGCUGUUUUCAUCACCUCUCUCGGUUUUACUAGAAGUCGGUCUGAUUGUUCCUUAUUUACUUAUCACUCUGGUUUCGACCAUAUCUUCUUUCAUUUUUAUGUUGAUGAUAUCAUCCUCACCUCCUCCUCUUUCUCCACUCUCAUCACUCACAUUAUCUCAUGUCUCUCGUCUGAGUUUUCCAUGUCCAAAUUGGGUCCUAUUUCCUUAUUCAUUGGCAUCGAUGCUUUUCGAUCUGAGGAGAGUCUAAUUUUAUCUCAGGCUUCCUUUAAUGACAUCUUAGCUCGUGCUGACAUGUCUUCUUGCAAUCCGUGCAGUACCCUAUCUGACACUAAAUCUAAACUUUCUCCUCACGGCUCUCCUGUCUCUGAUCCCACUCUCUACAGGAGUCUUGUUGGUGCCUUACAAUAUCUUACUUUCACUCGUCCUGACAUUGCAUAUGUUGUACAGAUCUCUCUUCAUGUUUGCGUGAACCUCAUCUUCUUGCUCUUAAACGUAUCCUUCACUAUCUUCAGGGUACUAUUUCUCAUGAUAUGUUUAUUCGACCUUCCUCCAUUGAUCACUUGGUCUCCUAUUAUGAUGCAAACUGGACCGAGUGUCCUCAUACUCGUUGGUCUACUUCUGGGUUUUGUGUUUAUCUUGGCAAUAAUCUCGUCUUUUGGUCCUCUAAACAUCAACAUGUUGUUUCUCACUCCUCAGCUGAGGAUGAGUAUUGUGGGAUGGCUAAUAUGGUUGCUAAAGCUGCUUGGCUUUGUAAUCUCCUUCUUGAGUAAUCUUGUACGUUAUCUAAAGCAACAUUUAUGUUUUACUAAAUGUGAGUGCCAUGUAUUUAUCUUCUGAACCAUUAAAACACGAACGUAUUGCUCGUGCCGUCGAUUCACUAAUUUGCAGAUAUAUUUACAAAGGGUCUUCACCGGUUUAAAUAUUUGUAAAUCUCAUGCUCUAACUAGAGGGUGCCUUAGUUUAUAUUAGUUUAUAUAUAUUAUGUAUAGUGUAGGGACCAAUUGUAACUUUAUAUUGUAUAAAUAUAUUCUGCAGUAUAUGUCUCAAAUUGAUGAGGCUUUUCCCACAUUUAACAAAAGGAAAACUAAAUUAACACCAAAUUGCCCAAAAUUAAACCAUAUAUUAUACUAAAUUAAUUCACAACAGUUCGACAUCAAUCAAAUAUUAUCUCGCACUCGAAUUCACAAAACUCACUUUCCGGGUACAAAGUUUGUAGCAUAUGACCAUGCAUUGUUUGCAACAGGGUCAGCAAGGUGGUCAGCGAGGUUCUCCAAUGGUCCCUUUCCGGUAACAAUGGCUUGAACAAAGAAUCCAAACAUAGAGAACAUGGCUAGUCUACCGUUCUUGAGCUCCUUCACUUUCAGCUCAGCAAAUGCCUCUGGGUCAUCAGCCAGACCCAAUGGGUCGAAGCUACCACCAGGGUAAAGUGGGUCAACUACCUCACCAAGAGGUCCACCAGCAAUUCUGUAACCUUCAACUGCACCCAUCAAGAUCACUUGGGUAGCCCAGAUGGCUAAAAUGCUUUGUGCAUGGAUCAAACUUGGGUUCCCCAAGUAGUCAAGACCACCCUCACUAAAGAUCUGGGAUCCAGCCUUGAACCAUACAGCCUCACCAAACUUGACACCAUUACGCGCCAAGAGUUCGGGGAAGACGCACCCAAGAGCUCCGAGCAUGGCCCAUCUGCUGUGGAUGACCUCAAGCUCACGGUUCUUGGCGAAUGUUUCAGGAUCAGCAGAGAGCCCAGCAGUGUCCCAACCGUAGUCACCGGGGAACUCACCGGUCAGGUAAGAUGGGGCUUCGCCGGAGAAUGGGCCAAGGUACUUAACACGGUCGGGGCCGUACCAUGGACUUCCUGAUGGUGCGACUUUCUUGACUGCUGUCUUCCUCAUGGAAACCCUUCCAUUUCCGGUGAUUUCUGAACCAGAUGGUGCUACUUUCACCGCCUGUCCGACGAAAGAAGAGGAUAGUGCCAUGGUGGAAGCUGCCAUUUUUGUGAGAUUUGUUUUGAAGAUGUUUUGAUGAUAUGAUAGUAUUAUGAGUGAUGAAGAUGUGUGGAUCUGGAACAUAGAUUUAUAGGGUGGUUUUUGGGCCAAGUAGUUGAUAAAUGUUUAUCUUGAUGCAAUUUUUAACUUCAUUUUGAUUGGCUACCAAGAUUUUAGUUCUAUCAGUGGGUCCAUAAUCUGCGUGGUUCCACUAUUCGAGUUCUCUGGCCCACAUGAGAUAUUUGAAGGGGCAGCGAUAUUCAUGGCUCUGUCUUAUUAAGCGAAUAUAAUGGCUAGAAAUCUCAGCCACUAGCUACCAUGCACAAACCGGUUUUUUUUUUGAACCGGACCGCUUCAAAAAUCCGGUUCGGUUCUAGUCAAUUUAGUCAAAACCAGUUUGGUUCCAAACCGGUCCAGCUUCAAAAUAAUUCAAACGUAUGUAAACUCGUUAAAGAAAAAACCGGUUCAAAAAGGGUUCAAAACCAGUUUGACGGAAAAAAGGUUUUUUUCAAUUUUUAUUUUGUUUUUAGGCUAAUAACUGAAAAAUAGGAAUUUUUUUUUAUAAUAUUGCUUUUAUUGUGUUUAAAAAAAAAGUUUCACACUAGGUUUUUUGAAAAUGGAAGUGGAAUGAAUUGGGAAUUCAUAAGCCUUUUUUUUGGUAAUACACACGUACACACGUCCAUAUGCCAAAAGGUUUUUAUUAUUAUUUUUUUUAUUUCUUGUUUAAUCUUUUGAUGUAUUAAAUUUUUUUUUUGUUUCAGAUUUGAUGUUUUAUCUUUUUUUUUUUCAUUUUUUUUGUUUUUUAUAUUGGAAAUACAUAAUACAACUUCAAACAUAAAAACACAAAACAUCCAAAUUGUCAAACUAAUACAUCUUCAAAUAUAAAACAUUGAUGUCGUCGUAGUCUUCAUUCCAAGUCCGUAGUCAUUGUAUUUAUUCGUCAUCCGCCAUGUCGUUGCGUAAUUCUCUCUCAUACUCGAUCUCUUCUAGGGUGAGUGACACCGACAUUCCCAUCGCUACUUCUUCCUCAUGUACUCGUGCUUCGACAUGCAACGAUGUGCCUUCUAGUGCUUCGAUGUCUUGUAUCCUUUCCACGCCAUCAAGGUAGUAUUUCAAGCAAAUGCACACUUCCACCGACAAAUGGGUUAGUUUUGUUCUUCUUGGUGAUAUUACCCUGCCACUAACAGAAAAACCGAUUCCGANUUACCCUGCCACUAACAGAAAAAGCCGAUUCCGAAGCUACCAUAGAAGCUUGGGAGCUUAGUAGAUCACGGGCCAUAGCGGCUAGAAUUGGAAAUUAGGUUUCCUUUCCUUUCCACCAAACCAAAAUAUCAAAAUUUUCAAACUCUUGAAUACUCAUUUCACUACUAGAAAAAUAGCCUUUUACGACGCGCGAACAACGACACGCGCUGUUUUAUGAUACACAAUAGUGUGUGCCCUAAAAAUAAUGUCGGCUCUCCAAAAAUUAGAAGGAUUUAGGGUACGCAUUUUUGCGCGCCCUAAAAUAAGUGUUACAUUAAAAAAAAACACGGAGGGCACAUAACAUAAAACGCGCGUCCACUAAGUAUGUCGCUUUAUAUUUUUUAAAUGAAAUGCGGGUCACAUUUUUUAGGGAAAACGAAAUUCCAAAAAGUUUGAAAGGCCCGCCAUGUUCCUACCUUCUUUCCACCGUUCUUCUCUCCCUUACUCAAAAUACCCAAAAAAAACCCUAAUAUACUCAUCGCUCCUCUUUUCUCCCAUAACAAACUCGCACCAUCACCAAAUCUCUGAUCUCCCACCAGCAAAAGGUCUCCUACCGAUGUCUCCACCUACUCUCUGCCCUCUCACUAUUUCUCUCAAUUAAAAACGCUAGAUCUCUCAAUCAGAGAACCAUGGCUACUUCUCCUUUCUCCCACACCAGUUGGCAAAAAGUGAGGAGUCUCGAGCCUAGCAGUUGAUAUUCACAUGCCCUCUUAAAUUGAAGGAAUCAGAACAUUGUCGACAUCAAUUCGUUAAUCAUCACUAGAGAAAUCAGAUACGCCAUCUGGUUGAUGAGUCAAGAGAAAUCACAUAUGUCAUCGCUUCAGCAAUCAUCCCUCCUUUUAACCGUAAGUUUUCAAUCUUACACUUUACAAAUAUCAUAUAAACAUCUCUCUCUCUCUCUCUCUCUCUCUUUCUCUCUCCUGCUAUACCUUGAUGAAUUAUCGCAUACAUAUGGAGGAACUGCUUUCUAAAAGCCAGCUAUCGGGAGAGUCAACAGGGUCAAUUGGGUGUUCAAAAGGUGCUUCGAUAUCAUCUUCCCGCCAGCAAAUCUCUGUUAAAGUUGUCACAGAGUAAUCCAUUUGAGUUUGGGCAUAUAUUUUUUGUUAUUAAUUUAGGGGGAGACUGUGUUCCAUGAUUUUGGUCAUGCAUUUCUUCAGCACACGCUAACAAGACAAGAUGAAGGGCUUGUUGUUGGUAUUCGUGGCAUAGAGUGGAUGCUGUUGAGUUACCUUUCCAGUUCAUGGAAAAUUGGUGCUACCGUAGGUAGGUAUAUAUAUCUCCAAUUUCAAGAUGUUGUUCAACUGCUGCAGGAACGAGGUGAGGGUGGCUGAUGAGAAUUUGUGACAGGAACUAUCCGAUUGGGGAUUCCAGCUCAAGUGGGGCAGUUGGCGCAUCAGAUCCAGCAGAAUCAGAAGAUAAUGAGGCCUUUAUUGCAAUUCUCUUCUUUUGAAUAUGAAAAGAUGCACUUUUCAGUCCUAAUCUGGGAUGUGAAAAUGAAAGGAACCCCUGUUUAGCCAACAAAACAAAGUAAAAUUCAGUUACAACACUUACCCAAAUAUAGCAUUCUACCUUUAAUUUUUCUCAUCAAGACAAAAUUGAAUCAGUUAUGAAACCGACCACAUAAAAGGCUGUUUUUCUAGAGUUGCAAUGUUAGGAAUAAAAGUCACAAUGGUAUGUGGUCGGUUUCAUAACUGAUUCAAUUUUGAUGAGUAAACAGGUUAGAUUUCAUAUGGUUGUUUGUUCAGAUUGGUAUUCAUCCUGAUUUUCCUUCAAUUAUGCAACAACUAUGCUGGAAUUUGCUAUGUUCCAUACUCGGAUUUUGAAUUUAUCGGAAAAUUGAAUAAUUAAUCUGGAAAAAUACCAUCUUUGAAUGAUUUUUUUGUCAUCUGUAGAUAAGGAAUACCAUCUUUGGGUAAUUAGUUUAUCUAGUCUACAUGAUUAAAUUAAUGGACAUAUAAUUCUCUAUUGAUAGAACAAAAAACAUUGCUUUGUAGUGAAGAUAAGGAAUACCAUAUUUGGGUAAUUAGUUUAUCCAUACUCGGAUUAUGAAUUUAGCCCACCAUCAGCAGGGGAUUGCUGAGUUUUAUGUGACCAUAAUGCCCUUUCGGUUUGUAGUGAAGAUCCAAGCAUGUAAUUAAUAACACCUCUAAUUAAUUAAUUAAUUAAUCCCCUAAAACUAACUAUGGUUAAAUUAAACUGGUGGUAGGUGCCAGUGUACAUAGGGGCACAUAUGGUCAAAUAUGUUUUAAUUAUUAGUCUAAUAUCUUUUGAUACUUAUCAAUAACAACAAAAUAAUGUAAAAUCGUGUGAAUACAAUUCAAGGGUAUAAUGGUCUAGACAGAGAUUAUUUUUAUUAAAGAUAUUUAUUUAUUAAUCAUCAGAGAAGAAGGAAUUAAUAUGAAAGAAUCACUUACUGCAAAAUAAUCUUCAAAUGUAAAAUCAACAUAGCCUAAGCCCUGAUUUUUAUUUCACCACAGGUUGGCGAGCUGGCGGGAAUAGCUUUGGGAGCAACUGUCAUGCUUAAUAUUCUUAUAGUUGUGUACGUUAUGGUCAAAAUAGUUCAGCAAGAACCUCUGUUGAAAUGAUAUAGGCCACUAAUUAUUUAAAACUAUCACUGGCUCCUCAUUAUGGUCAAAAUAGUUGGUCUGUUAAAAAUUGUGACUAUGAGCAAUUUGCCACUUCUAAAUGGGUUCUUUGUAGUUUUCCUUUCUAUAAUUCAGGAAAUAGGAUCAUAUUUUACUCUUGCAGAAAUAGUUAUGGUCUGUGAGCAUUCUUCCAGAUUGUAAGAACGUAAUUUUCAACACAACAAAGGUGAAAUUAUAUCUAUGUUUUCUUGUGUAUUUAACUUCACAGGAGCUGAAACAUGAUCUAAUUUUUUUUAUCUAUUGGUUAUGUUGAAUAUGGAUAAAAGGUUGUGGCUCAGAAAAGUGUUGGUGAUGCUUCUACAUUUGUUGAGAGUGAAUUUUCACUGUCAAAUUCAAGUUGGAUUUGGUAUGUAGAAAAAGUGUGUGUUUAGAGUAAGGACUUUUUCCUUGUUGGACUGUAAUAGUAGACCAAUAUGAUUCGUUUUAUAAAACCCUUAGACAGAUCACAGUUGGUUCUGCAAUUGCAUGGUCAGGUAAACAUUCUAAACACAUUUUCAAUUUAUUUUGUGAUAUUUAAUUUCUCCCAUAUUCUUUUAAAUUAUAUUAUAAUAUGCUUAUAAACACUACUUUCCUUUCAUGUAGCCAAAAAAUUGUCCCAAAGUUGACUGAGGUACUUUGGACAAAAAUACAAUGUUAGCUUACAUCUUUAUUAGUUAAUAUAAUCAAAUUUCUAAUUUUAGGUGCUAACUGAUACGCGUCCGCAAGUUCAGUCUGCAUGGCAGACAACACUCCAGCAGGUUUGACUAUAUUCUUAUGGGUUGUGGCAUUCACAUUCCCAUAGUGAUCUUGAUAAAGUUGCUUCUAUUUCCAUGCUAAGUUGGCUUUUAUUUGUAAUAUAGGAGGUCCAAAAUCUUGCAAAGAAGGCUGCAGAAACUGUGGUGUUGGUAAUUGAUGAUGAAGGGACUGAGUAUUUGAUAUCAGAACUUCUCAAGUUGCUUCUAUUUCCAUGCUAAGUUGGAUUUUAUUUAUCUUACUGUUUAUUAUCAUUUUUUAUAUAAAAUUUCAUCAUUUAUAUUAUAUAUAUAGUACAUUAUAGACUUUGCAUCAUAAUUUGUUGAAUGUUACAAGAUAUAAUUCAAAAUUCAAUUUCCUCAUGUUGUUGCUGAAAUGACAGCAAUUGGUUUUGGCCUACCAAAGAAUGCAUUCACCGCUUUAAUGAAGAAUGUAAGUGUUUAUUUUUCUUUUCUGUUUGGUGAAAAUCAUCAAAUGACAAUCUCAUUAUAUAUCUUAGGAUCUUAUCAGUUAAUAAACUUGAUCGUGGGUAUGAUCAAGCAUAGGUUUACAUUUAUACCCCUGCUUUUAUCUUUUAUCUUUUAUGUUAUAUAAUUAUAUUCCCCCUUUUUUUAUCAGGUUAAUUUGGUGGUUAAUUAUGAUCUUCCUAUAAGACAUGAUCAUCAAUCUCACUACAAGAAAAAUACCCUUUUACGACGCGCAAAACACGACGCUCUUUGAUUUAUGUUACGCAUUAGAGAGCGACAUUAAAAAAGUGUCAUCUCUUAAAAAAUUUUAAGGAUUUAGGUCGCGCAUUACUGAGUGCCCUUAAAUUAGUGUCUCAUGUAAAAAUAUUAAAAACACGGAAGGCACUUGUGCGUCGUCUGUGAAUGUCGUUUUAUAUUUUUUUUUAAGAAACACGCGUCUCGGAGGGAAAAUGAAAUCCCCAAAUUUUUUAAACCCCCACCUUUUUCUCCCUCGUCUCCACCCCUCAUCCACAUCCACUACCUCCGAUCCUCAUUUCCUCUUCUAGCCUCAAACUACGGCGAUGCACCUUCCUUCUCGAAGAAUGCUUCAUUUACCACCAUCGUCCGAUUAUGUGAGCCCAAGGAAUUGACCAAGACGAAGAAGAUAAUGGAUCAAUUGCUUCACAUCAUGUUUAAGGUUAAGGGUUUGAGUUAGUCCGCAACAGGUAAUCGAAUUUUGCCUAAUAUAUAUUUCUACUCUCAAACUGUUUAUUCGUCCGAUUGGAUGCAUAUUUACUAUUAAAUUUGGGGAUUUUCUUUUAAAACCCCCGCGCCUCUUCUUGUUUGUAGCUAAACAACCGUGAAUUUGUUAGAGUGAUUGGAAGAGGAAAAAUAGAAGAUAGAAGAAAAAGAAGAAGAAGAAAAGCGAACAAACGGGAUUUCUUGACCUGAUGUGUUAAUCCGUGAUCAGGUCUUCUGAGCGAAGAGAAGAUCUGAGGCUCAAUUGAAGAAAUAUGAGCGCUUCUAGAUUUAUAAAGUGCAUCACAGUCGGUGAUGGCGCUGUCGGGAAGACUUGUCUCUUGAUUUCCUACACCCGUAACACCUUCCCCACGGUAAUCAUCUCUUCAUCAACCGCCUUCAGUUUCUGCCCAACUAAAGCACGGUUACACACUUAUUUCUCUUCGGACGUUUCUGUGGCUUCCAUGGGAACGGAGGAGGAUGAUAUAAAUGAGGCAACAACUUCAUUCGCUACAUGUUUGAACCUUAAAUUGAAGGGAUUAUAUAUUGAAAUUUGAAUCUACAACUUCGAAUUUCAGUCAUCUCUCUUCUCUUCUACAUCUCACCUGAUUCUCUAUUGAAAUUUCUAGGGUUUUUAAUUGAACCUACAUCUUCAUCUUAAUCUUCUUUUCUGAAGUUAGGGCUUUUUUCUUAAGAACAACUAAUUUUUUGCAGUAAGUAAACCUCUAAUUUUUUCAUUUCUCAUUUCCUUAGACCUCUCCCCUUUCCAUCUCAUAUCGAGGCAAAAUCAAUUUCACUUUGGUGGCUUCGAUUUCCUAGCACAUAUUAUGUUAUUAUAUGGAUUUGUAGGAAAUUAGAAAUCAUGUUAGAAUGUUUGAUGUUCUGUAUGUUCAUAAAAGUACAUCUAAAACAAAAAUCUUAGAUUAAACAAAACUGAAGCAUUUAAUGAGAUGUAAUUACUAACUUUUGUUGGAGAUGCAAAUGCUAAAUAAAGAAAACUGAAGCAUUAAAUGAGAACCUUUAUAAUUCGAUUUCAUUCAGAUCUUCGGUGGAUAUUUAGGGCUAACAAAGAAAACUGAAGCAUUUAAUGAGAUGUAAUUACUAACUUUCGUUCAAGGUAACCCCUGUUAUGAAUACAUGUAAGAAUUUAUUUAUCUUUUUCUCUCACCACUUGCUAUCCAUGUGCUGCUCUCUCAUAGUUGAUAUCUAACAACAAAGACCUGAUCAGUCUAGUUUGCUUGUUUUUUUUCUUUUUCUUAUAAUUCUUGAAUACGUGCAGAUUUUUUAAGACUUCUAGUUUUGUUUUUUGUUCAGUGAUAUUGAUGAUGAGGCAAGUUUAUCAACACUAUGGGAGAGAUAUCAAAGUGUCUCUGAAAAGGUAUUGCGAUAUCAAAGCAUAAAUUAUUUAUGGAUUAAAAUGGGAAAAUGACUUAUAUGGGUAAGAAAGUUUUAAAAACUUUUAAAAAUGACUAUCAAAGUAUUGUUUGUAUAAAAAACACCAACCAAGUUUACCAUUUUGUCAAAUCUAACAGGUUGGUAACCUGCAUCUGCCGGUCAAAAAAAAUUACCUGAUCAUUUUAAAAACUGAAAUUAUAAAUGACAUGGCAUCCUUUUUUAGUCUUACGUGGAUUAAUUGCAAGGGAAGAUCCAUUUUCUCAGCGUUCUUUCUCAAAAUCAGGAGGGAGUCAACACAGAACCCUCUCUAGGGUUAGUUUCUGCCCCUGUAUACAGUUAUUUUUGUUUAAAUUGACUGAUUUUAACAGUUGACGAAUAUGCUCCUGCUUUGGGCUAAUCACACAUAUGUCUUUUUUAUGACCAAAUUGCCCCUGUAUAUAGUUUUUUUUUGUUACAAUUGACUGAUUUUACCAGUCAAUUAAGGUGUUGUUUAGAAACUGUUAGUAUCCAAGACCAUUUACAUGCUCGUGCACAAAGACGAAUUUGCCCUUGAUUGUGACCAAACUGCCCCUGUAUACAUAUUUUUUAUUACUAAAAACACCCCCUGUCCUAGAAAAAUAUGACACUUCUAUACAAAAGCUAAUACCAAUUUCUCACUACAAAUCAACUAAUAAGAAAAGAAGUGGGCAACUCUCUAAAAUGACCAAAAUUUGAAUUGCAGUGUCACAAAUUGACAAUUUUUUAAAGCUAUAAUGAAAUAAUGCUUUGUUUUGUAAAAUAUACAAAAUCCGUUUGUUGUUGUGUGCAACUAAUCCACAAACAUUUACAUAAUUCUCGUUAGUGUACUUUGCAAAGUGGUGCUGAAGUAAUUUGGGCAACAAAAGUACAUAUAACUAUAUUAAUAUUCUCUAAAUAAUCAUAUAUAAUGAAAUAAUGGUUUGUUUUGUAAAAUAUACAACCCAUACUGUAUUUUUGAUAAAAAAAAAUAAUGAUUUUAAGAGAUUUUGUCCGAAAUACCCUUAUAUACUCUUUUUUUUGGUAAAAAAUUAAUGAUGUAAUAGUUUUUGACUAAAAUGCCCGUAUAUACUAUUUAACAGGUUUGACCCCAUCUGAAUUAUGAUUCAGCUUAAAAUUGAAUGCCAUUUUGACAAUUUUAUUGCUUUUAAGACUAUUUACUGCUGAAAAUAUGUCAAAUUUGUUACAUUUUGCUGCUAUAAAUAGUCAAAAAAUAACUAAAAGUCUACAAAGAUUCAAGGUAACAGUAAAUAAUACUGGCAUUUCCAGCAGCAAAUCUUCAAUUGCAGGGACUAAACUUUGUCAUUUUUAGCAGAAAACUUUAUCAACCAACAAAAAGAGGUUAAUAAAGAAUCUAAAUGGCAUUCCAUUGUAACAGCAUCAAAACACGACCUGCACUCAAAACCCUCCAAAAUAGCCCCUACACUCAAUUGUAACAGCCCCUCUGUUGUGAUUCCUUUAACUGUGACCAAAUUGCCCCUCUAUUGUGAUUCCUUUAGAUUCAAGGUAACAUUGUUUUAAGUGAAAAGAUCAUUUCAUAACUUGUUUACAUAAAUUCUUUCUUAGCUUGUUUACAUAAAUUCUUUUUCUGUCAAUUCCUUUCAAGACAAAAAGAAAGAAAGCAGGAACUUAUAGCCAUGCAAGUAAUUUCAUUAUUUUUCUCAUUAACGAUUGUACUUCCUUUGCUCUUUCUUGCAUAAUAAUAAACAGAUUUAAAGAGGAGUGGAGCCAUAUGACCACCUGAUGCCCCCAAAUCAAUUUAUUUGAGCUAGAUUUGAACGAUUUACAAGGAGAAGAAGAAAAUCAAUUGUCAAGAGGAGAGGAGAUGUAUGACCACCCACCUGAUGCCCUAAAUCGAUUUAUAAUAUGUAUUUUUCAUUUAAUGCUGAGUAGAUGUGCAACACACUACCUAAAUAUGCCAACUAAUCAUUACUUUUGCCAACUCAGCCGUUCACCUGGAGAUCCGGUUACCACCGGGUCAUAUUUGAACAAAAGAUAAACUUCGUUGGUAUUUUUUGUACGACGCCUAUAGUUAAAUGGUAUUUUUGAACAACUAAAACUUCAAUGGUUUUUUUUGAAUGUUUUUGAAACUUUCUUACCCUUAUAAGUCAUUUUCUCGAUUAAAAUUGAACUUUUUUCAUACAUUACCUAACAUUGACUUGUCUUAAUUUGCAGGCAGAAAUACAAAAGGCUUUUCAUAUAUUUCUUAAACAAUUUUUUGUAAUAUACAAGAAUUGGGAGCCAUUAGAUUUAGAUAAUUCCAUAGAACCUUUCAUUGAUUCAAGGGAUCCUCUUUCUGAAAAAAAGAUUGCAGUGGCAUCAGAAGGCAGUCAUAUCAGUGAUGGAAGCUGGUGGUCUUAAUUGGUUAGUAGGUAAGGUAUGCAUCUUCAGAUUUAAUUUCUAUUGAGAACUAAACACAUUUGAAUAUCUGAGAACUAAACACACUUGAAUAUUUAUAAAUGAUGCACACAUCCAAAGGGAUAAUAGCAAUGUUUCUAAUGGCGUCAAAUAGACCUGAUUGUGACCACUAAUGGUUCAUCAGGUUUGUUGAUUUUUAUUUUAUUUUAUUUGAAGUGCAUUAUCUGGUUUAAUAUGAAAUGAUUCAUGUUGAAAUUGGUUUCUUUUGUUACUCCAUAAUACUUGAUAUCUUAUUUUUUGCAUGCAGGUGCUAACAAAUAUGGUGUCAUUAUCAUUGUUGUUGUUGUUGUUGGAUACGGAUAUGUUUGGUGGAAGGUAAAUAUAAGCUCAUAUAUUAAUAUUAUUACUUUUUACAGUUAACUUGUACAUAGUUUUUCUUCAACUAACAGAAAUGGUAUCAUUAACAGGGUUGGAAACUUCCUGAUAUGAUGUUUGCUACAAAAUGAAGUUUAUCUGAUGCCACAUAUGCUUUAGCUAAAUAGAUUGACACUGUUUACUCAUCACUUGCAGUAAGUUAUUUAAAAACUUUGUUAUUUUUUUGUUAUUAAUUUGGGUUGUUUAUUAUGUUGUUUAGGCUACCAAGAGACAUUUAUCUACAAGGAUUGACCGUGUUGAUAGUAGUUUAGAUGAGGUUGCAGAAAUUACUGCUGCUAAAAAAGAGGAGGUAUGACAAGAUAAAGGUUGUUCUAGAUGUUUAAUCUAUACAUAAUGCGGUUUACACCCUGGUGUGGUUCUUUUCCAUUUUGUCUUGUGACUUUGAUAUUGUUUUCUGAGUUGGAUAUGUGGUAUGAUAAAUUAUUUUUACAUGAGAGUAGGCUGAGUAGGGUUGAAUUGAAAUAGGUACUGAAUAUUACCGUUUGACAUGCGAUUUUUUCUAGCUUAAUGAGAUAUUUAUAACAAAUAAUUUUGAAUUUUUGUUGUCUUUUGUAGGGAAAUCCAUCAAGUUCAUCAAGGCCAGCUCUUGAAUUACCAUAGAGAGUAAACUUCUAAUCUUAUACAAAUACAAUGAUUUGCUAAAUUCAAGAAAUAACAAUGCACUUUUAUUUAUUACUUUUAUUAAAACAUCCUAGUUUAAUUUCUAGCUUAAUGAGACAUUUAUUACUUUUAGCAGAGAUCGAUAUAUAUAUGAGCUUUUUGCUUUCAAACAUUGUUGGGGAAGAAUGUUGAAACUUGCUCUUUGUGAAGGUAAUUUUUUUUCUUAAUGCAUUAUCCUCUAUAUUCUUGAUAUUUUUCCCACUUUUUAAAUCUUUUAUCAAAUUCUCACUUUUGGAUACAGUGCUUGAUGAGAGAAUGUGUGACCUAAAUCUUUUAUCAAAUUCUCACUUUUGGAGUUGGCCAUAAGAAAAUGUAGGCAAAGGGUAAUUUGUUAUAGUUCAGGUUGACAAGGUGCUGUAUUUUUCACAUAAUUGACAAGGAGCUGUUGUAUCUAUUCAGACUAGACUUAGAGCAAUGGUUGCAAGAGAUGAGUUCAGCAGAAAAAGAAACAAGGCUGCAACUAUAGUUAAGGUACUAUGGAUGAAUUAUGUUUGUAAAGUAUUUAAGAAAAUGAUUAUAAACAAGGGUGAAUUUGUACAAAUUAGUUAGCUACUUGCANUGAGUAUUUGAUAUCAAAACUUCUCAAGUUGCUUCUAUUUCCAUGCUAAGUUGGCUUUUAUUUAUCUUACUGUUUAUUAUCAUUUUUUAUAUAAAACUUCAUCAUUUAUAUUAUAUAUAAUACAUUAUAGACUUUGCAUCAUAAUUUGUUCAAUGUUACAGGAUACAAUUCAAAAUUCAAUUUCCUCAUGUUGUUGCUGAAAUGACAGCAAUUGGUUUUGGCCUACCAAAGAAUGCAUUCACCGCUCUAAUGAAGAAUGUAAGUGUUUAUUUUUCUUUUCUGUUUGGUGAAAAUCAUCAAAUGAAAAUCUCAUUAUAUAUCUUAGGAUCUUAUCAGUUAAUGAACUUGAUCGUGGGUAUGAUCAAGCAUAGAUUUACAUUUCUACCCCUGUUUUUAUCUUUUAUCUUUUGUGUCAUAUAAUUAUAUUUCCCUUUUUUUAUCAGGUUAAUUUGGUGGUUAAUUAUGAUCUUCCUAUAAGACAUGAUCAUCAAUCUCAACCUGACCAUGAAGUGUAGUUGCACUGAAUCGGAAGAGCAGGGUGAUUAUGGGAGAUGUUAAGUAGUUAUAGGGCUUUAGAUGCUUUCCCUUUGGGUAGGAAAUGUUUUUAAGACAUGAUCAUCAUUCUCUACCCCUGCUUUCCCUCUGGUGUUUAUCUCCCAUAAAACCCUAAAAUGUGGAUGUGCUAAAACUGAAGAAAUUAGAAGACACAUACUGGAUUUUAGCAAGUCGGGUAAGUUUAAAAAUAUCUUAAUACGAUAUUGAUUAGAUUACACAACAUGUAAUGUAGAAAAUAUCAUGAAUAUUUAUGAUCAAUAUUCAACUUUUGAAAAUGUAUCCAGUUUGAUGUUUAUCUAUUUGACAUUUUUUUGAUAGAAAAUGAGAAUACCGGAGAAGAUGAACCACAAAUUUACAUUGAAAUGAUCAAUGGAAUUAUCAAAUCCCUUCAGGUAUCAUCUCAUAUCACUUGCUUAUGAAAUUUAUUCAUCUAUACUUGAAAAGAUAUAUUUAUUUUUGUGUUGUUUCCAGGCUAUCCUUGAUGCAGUUCUCAGCACAACAAUUAUGAUUUUAUGAUGUUAGGCUAAACUAUAAAGCAAUCAUUCUUUGUUUUAGGAAACGUUUCAGAGCUUCUUUAGGCAGCUUAAUGAUGAGUUAUUGAAACAAAAUGGUGCCCCUUUAUAGCAAUGUAGUAUUAGGUUAUAUAGAUAGGAAAAACCUCUUAAUAACAACGUACAAUUAGAUCCCCUUAAUAUCAAUGUAUUACAAUUUUAUGACAUGAUGUUAUUGAAUGAAAUUGAUUGUGUAAUGGAUUGUAUUUUUUGUAUAUGGUAUUUUAUUUUCUAUUAUGAGACAUGAAAUGCAAAUUUAAUUUGAAAAUUAGUAAAUCUAUAAAUAAUUUUUAAAAAAAAUAAAAUAAAAAUUAUGAUACGCAAAAAUGUGUGUCAUCUUCAUUUAUGACAUGGCCUUUCUUGACAGUGGCUUUAAUGAUACGCAUUGCGUGUCAUAAAUACGUGUCGUCUAUAGACGACGCGCAAAAGCGCGUCGUCUCUCGUUAUGACAGGGCCUUCCUUGACGCGCAUGCGCGUCGUCUGACCGUUUUACGACUCGCAAUGAGCGUCGUAAAAGGCAUUUUUUCUAGUAGUGUUUGAGACAAGAAAUCAGAACCAAUGUACCUUCCGAGCUCGCUACUUGGCGCGUUAGACCGAGCUCGUUUGGAAUUUUCAUUCCUCAAAGUAUUAUAAAGCCUAAUUGUUUCGUUAUUUUAGUGAAAAGUGGAUCCGGGUGCCCCCAUAUUUUGCAUCACGUCAUGAAUGUUUGUUGAACCAUAUUUUGUUAAAUAAACUUCAAAUAAAUUUUGAAAAACUUUGUUAAAUUUUGAAACUUCCUUUGAUGCAUAAUCAAUGUCAUCAUCCAAUAAACCCAAAUCGUAACAAAUAUUUUCAAUUAAAGUCUCAACCCCCCCAACAUUUAGAGUUGGAUUCAAAGUGGCGGAACAAGUAAUAAUGGGAGCCAUUUCUUGAAAAUAUUUUUUUAACUUUGCUUUCAUCGGUUUCAUCAUAUUAGCAAACAUUGUGCUCCUCAUUUCAAACUCAUUUAUUUUCGCACACAUUAAAAAAAUUUGGUUUAAAACUAAACAACUUGUAGGAUAAUAAACCCCCGAUAAAAAAGUGGUUGUUUUUUUUUUAAAAAAACAUCAAGCAUGUCUGUAACAAGUUUGAUAGUAUCCCAACUUGAUUCCGGAUAAGCCGUAACCUUAUUACGGUCCGAAGGUUGUCAUGUAACAUUUUUAAAGUAUGUUUUUGACGUAAGGCACAUUCAAAAAUUUUGCAAGUGGAGUCCCAUCGGGUAUUAUUUUCCCAAUUCAGACCUAAAAAGAGGGCAUUCGCAUCGACACAAAAUUGCAUAUAAUUAUGAUAUCGAGCGUUACUAGAACUAAAAAUAUCUUUUAGCAUGUCUUUGAAACCAUCUUUUAUAGUUUCAAUGUGAGUUAGUCCAUCUUGCACAACCAAAUUAAUCAUAUGUGCAACACAUCGACUAUGAAAAAUAAACACCAUCACAAAUUGGUUUAUAUUUUAGUUUUAGUUGUCCAACCGCGACGGUGUUGUUUGAAGCAUUAUCAAAAGAUAUAGAAAAAAUCUUUCCUUCAAGUUUAUAAGUUUUGAUCACACAAUCUAAAAUUUUAAAUAAAUUUCUAUCGGUGUGCGGGUACUCAAACAAUUCAAACGUAAUCGUAUGCUUUAUCAUUACCCAAUUAGUUGGAUUAAUCCAAUGAGCGGUAACACAAAGGUACGCAUCCGGUGAACCGUCAGGAGCCGUCCAAACAUCACAAGUUAAAUUCACACCGGUUUCUAAAGAUUGAAAUCCUAAAAUCAAUUCAUUUUUUGCAAGUUUCCACAUUUCAAUACAAUCGCGUCUAAUAGAAGUACGACUCACAUGGCAAUAUCGUGGUUGGAGAGUAUCUUGGAUGAGUGAAGUCAAUCGUUUGUUGUCGAAGUGGUCAAAAGGCAAGCAUUCUUGAAUCACGAACUUCGUCAUCCUAUCCCGAACUUUAGCCAUAUCGUAACUCCACAAUGUUGCAUCAUUCGUCAUUCUUGUUUGAAUAUGUCCCGACCCAAAUUUCACCGUGGGGCAUCUUUUGGUCAUAUGAUUUUUCAAUGUCGAAUUCUCAUCUUCAUUAAAAAAAGCACCACAUUUCUUGCAUUGCGCUUUUUUAUACCGUUCGACAUUACACACAAAUCGUAGUUGCACAAAAUAGCCGGAUUUCUAUUUGUUUCUUUGAUGCUAACAACGGUAAGAGUGUUUGAUGAAUCUCGAACACCAACGGAAGCCGAAUCCAUUGUUUGAAUUAAGAGUGGUUUUUGAACUAAGAGAGGUUUGCGGUUUUUGAACUAAGAGAGGUUUUUUGAGGUUUGGUUAAGGUAAAGUUGAGACCUAAAAAUGUAAUACAUAUAUAUAUACUAUAAGGAAUAGUUAAUAUGGUAAAAAAGAAGCAAAAAUCGAGUCUUGAACAGCCUCAAACGACUAUAUAGCCGUUAGGAAAAGACAAAAAAACGGUAACAUUACAAAAACCGGUUCACCAACGGCACUUUCGAAAUCUGGUUCAAAACUGGUUCAUCACACCUGUUCAGAAUAAACCAGUUCCAAACCGGUCUCCAGGGUAAAACAUGCGAACUGGUAACAUCCGAUGGUUCGGUUCACUAUGGGUUCGGUUCUUAUGUGAACCGGUUCAAGGCUAAACCGGUUUCCGGUUCACCAACCGGUUCGGUUCCUAAACCAGUUUUUUUGCCCACGCCUACCACUAGCUAGUCUAGGUGGGCUUUUAGUACGGGGGUUUUCAUGAGGAAUAGGUUGAAAGGAGUGUUGGCAUCUCACUGCCGUCAUCUGUUACCAUUUCAUAAGGAGUGGUAGCAUUCCUAGCACAUUAGAUUUUUUUUUUUUGAUUUUUUUUUUUGAACUUAAAUAAAUUAUAUUUUUAUAAAACACAAACAAUUCAAUAUUAAUCAAGAAACUAACUACAUUUUAUAGAUAAAUUUACCUUAUUUAAACAAGGAUUAAUAGAAAGGUCAAAUAAAAUUUAAAUGGUUAACGACAUGCUUAAAAUUUUACAAAUAUAUUGAUUUUGUAACGACACAAUUUUCUACUCUAUCAAGGUAAAGAAACAUUUAUGUUAAUAAUAAAGUGACACUUUAAUAUAUAUCUUCAAAUAAUUAUUAAAAAUAAAUAAUACUAUAAAAAAUUACCAAUACUAUCUAGAAACAAAAACCACUCACAGCACGGAAUUUACAAAACAACCAUCCAACUUCCUUAUUUUUUUGAAAGAGCUUUUACGAUCUCCAUUUCCAUUUCCUUUUUUUCUUAAAAUUACAUCUUACAUCUUCCAAUUUGCUAUUAUCAUUUCUUAAGUUUGUGAAAGUAGACUAUUCCACAAAACUACUCCUCCAAUUGUGUGAAACACGAAGCAAAAGCGAGACCUUUGAGCUUUUUCUUAAAAAAUAAUCCUUGUUUGAGAUGGAGACCACACCAUUGAUGGGAGAAAUGAAGGUUCUAGAGAACGAUUGUAAGAGGAAGAUUAUUGUAUCCACAGGCCAAUAUCCAACAAAUCUCUUUCUCUUUCUUCUCGCUAUGGUGUUGACGAGCCAUGGCUGGCGACUUCCUUGGCGCAAGCCAGGGGGCGGCCUUCAGCGCCCUUGGCGACCGGUGGCGACCUCCAUAGCGAGGCCCACUCCCUAAAGCCUUAUAACACACCAUUUAUUGACCAAGUUUACCCAACAAUGCAUCCCAAUUCAUUAGAUUUGUCUUAUCAUUAUACUUUUUAUACAAUUUCAUCAUUUUUCUAUAAUAUAUUAAAACUCUAUGAAAAUUCAAAAGAAUAUACUUUUGAAUUUUCAUAGAAUUUUAUUAUAUUAUAGAAAUAUGGUGAGAAUCCUAGAUGCUUUUAUCUCUCUUUCAGACUUAAAAGCCAGUAUGCGUUCAAUAAGUACGUGGCCAACUCCGGACCUAGCUUUUGCGAACGUGGGACGUUCACUUCGGAUAGCCUCGAAAUGAGUACCUCUUACUUUAAAAAUUUAUAACUUUGGCAUACGAGCUCCGUUUUCGACAUUCACUUUCAUUUAGACUCUGUUUGCUAAUUUUGAUUUUUAUUUUUAAAUUUAUAUUUUUUAACAGGCCGGGACUGGAAAAGCCCGUUAAAAAUUCAUAACUUCUUCAUCCGACGUUCGUUUUCGUAUGACUUUUUACCAUUAAACUACUAUCGACGAGAUUUUUGAUUCUCAUUUACAUUGUGUUGGAUAAAAAUCGCUCGAUCUAUACUUCGAACUACGGGCUGCACAAUGUUAUGCCAAAUCUUAGAAAAUUCAUAACUUCCUCAUACGAAGCUAGAUUUGGAUUUCUUUUUUAUGCACGCUCUUGGUUUAACGUAUACUACGAUUUUCAUUUAGAUUGCUAAGGCUAAAAAACACUUUAUCGUAAACUCACUUUUCACGUCACACAAUGUCAUGUCAGUUUUGUCGCGAAACUUCGAUAUGUCAUAAAUUCUUCGUGAUCAGGGCCGAUCUUGAAAAAUGAAAUAUUCUUGGAGCCCCAGGACGAGCAAGAAAAAAAUGGCCCUUAUCUUUAUUAUAAUUUUGUAAUUUUAAAUAAAAAUAUAUAAUGAAAAAAAUUAGGCCAUGUGCAGCUGCCCACUUUGCCUCCUUCUAAGCCCCCAUUGUUCAUGAUAACUCGGAUUUCAGCGUUCUUUAUAUUUCUGGAGUCCUUGUCACGACCACUACAACUUUCUUCAUAGAUAUCGGGUUUAUAUAACAUUUUAUUUUUGACGCUUAUUUUUAUUCUUAAUUAAUUAUAUCAUUAUAAACAAGUAUAUAAUCACAUAAAAUCACGUAAUUCACAUAAUACUCAAGUAAUUCAUCUUUAUUACAUUAAAAUAGGUUACAAUGGUUGACCUUGACUAUUACAUCAUCAUACUAAUGUGAAACAACCUAAAAUACGACCCAAUUUUUUUUUUGUUAAAAUAAUACUAAAGAUAUCAACCAUCAUAAUAUAUCAUGAAAUCGUACGUCAUAAAUCCCCAAAAAGUUAUAAUAGAUAUGUCAUGACAAAAGAGUUGUAUCAACAUACCAUAGUAUCUAAAAUAAACUCCCAGGACAAAAGUUGAAACUGUGGUGUGUGCAAUGUCAUCAUCCUGAGCUCUUUCCUUUGCUUGCGGAAAUACCUGAAACCAAAACUGAAACUGUAAGCACAAAGCUUAAUGAGCUCCCCCAAACUACCACAUACCAUACAAUAGCAUAUACAACACAUACUAGGCCUUGCCCACUGCAUCGGACCGAAGUCCGGAAAUUGCAUCGGACCGAAGUCCAGAACUAACCAAGGCCUUGCCCUCUGCAUCGGACCGAAGUCCGGAACUACAUCAGACCGAAGUCCGGAAACUAACCAGGGCCUUGCCCUCUGCAUCGGACCGAAGUCCGGAACUAACUGCAUCGGACUGAAGUCCGGAACUGACUGCAUCGGACCGAAGUCCGAAAUUGUCUGAACAUAACAUAUCAUAAACAUCUCAACCAGUAUGAACACAUAAACUGCAUAUCGCAUCAGACCGAAGUACGAAACACAUAACACAAAUACAUGCUUGAAUCACAAAGACAUCAAGCAUUCUAAGUACUGCAACGGACGGAGGUCCGAAACUUCUGCUAACUAAACCGACCGGCAUUGUAGCCGUAGACCCGUUCCUACUGGAAGGAAAACUCACCUCGUAAUGCUGGCUGCUGAGAUGCUAACUCUAAAAGUGACUGACCGCUGCUUCGGAACUGUCCGACUACAAAUCCCAGAAACACUAGAUUAGUUACUUGCAUAUACCCUCAGGGUAAGAUGACUAUUUUGCCCCUGGUCAAAGUCAACUUCUAGUUGACCGGACUCGCCGACUAUGGGCGCAGAACCGCCGAGUCCCUCCUUUACUAACUCUGACUUUAACUCACCGAGUCCCUUUCCCACUCACUGACUCUCUCUGAACUCGUAGGUCGAAGAAAAAAGGGGACUCACGACUCGACUCGUCGAGUCUGAAGAACAACUCGCCGAGUCCUGCCGUGCAUAUUCCAAACAAACGAAUUCAAAACUAUUCCAGAGCAUCUGACUUGAAGAUCUGAGCCCUUGGAACUAUCUAAACACGUGAAGUUUCUAACUUUACGUGCAACUAAGAAGGAAUGAAGCUAUUUCACUCAAACACUACUUUUCUUGGGAAAACUCAUCCGACUCGCCGAGUUGUAUGAACAACUCGUCGAGUCUAAGGUGAUCUUCAUCGGACUCGCAGAGUUGCUCAUCAAACUCGUCGAGUCUACGACUAUCUUCAUAUGACUCGCCAAGUCACACAUGCGACUCGCCAAGUCCAUUCAGUCCCUUUUUCCAUACAGACCUGAUUUGGGCCAUGCAGUGGCUCCAAAUCACAGAUCCAAGAUUCUAGGGCAUGCUUAUCACGUAAAUUUGCAAACUUUACGUGCAUGCAUGGCUUUAAAGGCUUCAAAUGCCAACCCUAAGCUCUUAAUGGGGUUCCAAGCUCAAGAGGGACCUCAAUCACGACCAUAACCGAAACUUUACUCUUCUAGAAUGCAAUGAGAGUCUAGAUCUGAUGUUUCCAUAAAAGGGGAAGUCCAUCUCUCAAGUUUGAACCAUAAGAGGCUCCAAAGAGGGCAUAACAAGCAUAUAUGAGGUUAUAAUGGGGGAAUGCACAAGGUCAUAACUUCAUUACCUGAAUGAAAAACAGAUGUAAGCUAACUCCUAGAUUUUCCUUCCCUUCUAUGGACCUUCCUUCCUUCCCAAAGCUUCCAAGCUAUCACAAAUACCCUCAAACUCAACAAUGGGGCUAGGGUUUACAAGGGAAAUGUUAUGAGAGUGAUAGAGGCGAGGUUGGGGGCGCAUAAGUGUGUUUAAAUAGGGUGAAAACCCUUAAAAUUAGGGCUUCAUCCAGACAGGCGGACUCGCCGAGUCCAACGUAUGGACUAGUCGAGUAGCCAUCUCAAAACGCGUGAUCGUCCCGUCUCUACUUGACGAGUCAGGCUACAGACUCGUCGAGUACCCCUUCAGAAAUGAAAAUACUUUAUUUGAAUUACAUACCAGAAAUGGGGCGUUACAACUCUCCCCCACUUAUCUUAGACUUUGUCCUCGUAGUCUGCUGCUGCUGCUGAAAAUAACUCUGGGUAAUGCUCCCUCAUCUCCUACUCGGACUCCCACGUCCACUCUGAACCCUUUCGGUGCUGCCACAACACCUUCACUAGCUGAACCACCUUGUUCCUCAAGGUCUUCGUCUUCCAAUCUAUGAUCGCAACUGGUCUCUCGAUAUAAUUCAGGCUGCUAUCAACCUGAAUAUCCUCCAAGGGUACAACUGCUGACUUGUCCACCAAACACUUUCGCAACUGGGAAACAUAGAAAGUGUUGUGGAUCUGGCUAAGCUCUACCGGAAGAUCCAACCGAUAAGCAACCCGACCCACCCGGACCAAAACCCUAAAAGGGCCAAUGAACCUGGGACCCAGCUUGCCUCUCUUCCGAAACUUGAUAACACCCUUCCAAGGUGAUACCUUCAGGAGGACCAUAUCGCCCACCUGAAACUCCAAGUCCGAACGCCUCUUGUCGGUGUAACUCUUCUGCCUACUCUGUGCAGUCUGCAGUCUACUACGAACCUGCUGGAUCAACUCUGUGGUCUUGAGCACCAUUUCAGUGCUCCCAAUGACUCACUGACCAACCUCGCCCCAACAAAUCGGAGUCCUGCACUUCCUUCCGUAUAGCAUCUCGAAAGGAGGACGUUUAAUACUAGUGUGGUAACUAUUGUUAUACGGAAAUUCCGCUAGUGGGAGAUACGUAUCCCAACUACCACCGAAGUCUAGAACACAUGCCCGGAGUAUGUCCUCGAGAGUCUGAAUUGUCCUCUCACUCUGCCCGUCCGUCUGGGGGUGGAAGGCGGUGCUAAAAUGAAGACGAGUCCCCAUCUCGUCAUGAAACUGCUUCCAAAAUCUGGAAGUAAAACGGACGUCUCGGUCUGACACUACCGAAACAGGCACUCCGUGCUGUGCUACUACCUCGCGUACAUAGAUGUGGGCUAGCUUCUUAGCCGAUAUGCUCUCCUAGAUCGGUAUAAAAUGUGCGCUCUUGGUCAGCCGAUCCAUUAUGACCCAAAUCGAAUCCACUCCCCGUGCGGUCCUGGGAAGCUUGGUGACAAAAUCCAUGGUAAUGUCCUCCCAUUUCCAUAUGGGAAUAUCUAACGGCAGCAUCUUGCCGUGGGGUCUCUGGUGCUCUGCCUUGACCUUCCUGCAGGUCAGGCAUCUCCCCACAUUCCAGGCGACAUCCUGCUUCAUGCAGGGCCACCAAUAGUCGGGUCGAAGAUCUCUGUAGAUCUUCGUUGCCCCUGGGUGGAUGGAAAAUCAAGAAUUAUGAGCCUCGUCCAUCAAUACCUGCCAUACUCCGCCCCAGUACAGUACCCAAACCCUCCCAUGGAGGGUCAACAAUCGUUAACUGUCAUAAUCAAAGGAAGCUACUCGGUCCACGAUUCUCUCACACUUCUGCCUCUCCUCCUUGAGGCCCUCGACGUGUGCCUCCCUGAUCUGCUCCAACAAGGGAGUAAUCACUGUCAUCCUCAAGCAUACAUCCCUGAUCGGGGCCGCUGCCGUCUUGUGGCUCAGGGCGUCGGCCACUACGUUGGCCUUCCCCGGGUGAUAAAGGAUCUCACAGUCGUAAUCCUUCACCACAUCUAACCACCGACGCUGCCGCAUGUUAAGAUUCGGCUGGUCCAUGAGGUACUUCAGACUCUUGUGAUCCGUGUAGAUGGUGCAACGGACCCCAUAGAGGUAGUGUCUCCAAAUCUUGAGGGCGAACACCACUGCCCCCAACUCCAAAUCAUGCAUCGGAUAGUUAGCCUCGUGAGACUUCAACUGUCUGGAGGCAUAAGCUAUCACAUGCCCCCGUUGCAUCAACACUGCCCCCAUAUCUGCGAUCGAGGCAUCACAGUAGACUACAAAAUCAUCCACUCUCUCCGGCAAGGUCAGAAUCGGUGCCUCGCACAAUCGCUGUCUGAGAGUCUCGAAAGUCGCCUGCUGCUCAGGCCCCUAACGAAACACCACCGACUUCUUGGUUAGUCGGGUGAGUGGAACUGCUAUCUUGGAGAAAUACUGAAUGAAUCUCCUGUAGUACCCUGCCAAACCUAGGAAGCUCUGAAUCUAUGAUGGAGACUUUGGGACCUCCCACUGCAUCAUGGCCUCUAUCUUGGCCGGAUCUACCAGUAUACCCUUCUGGUUGAUGAGGUGCCUAAGGAAUUGCACCUCGCGCAACUAGAACUCGCACUUGGAGAACUUUGCUAAAAGUUUCUCCCUCCUCAAGACCUCUAGCACCUCCCUUAGGUGCUCCUCGUGCUGCUCCUGAGUCUUGGAAUAAACCAAGAUGUCAUCGAUGAAUACAAUCACAGACCGGUCCAACAUCGGCAUGCACACGCGGUUCAUGAGUUCCAUGAACGCGGAUGGAGCGUUGGUGAGCCCAAACGACAUCACCACAAACUCAUAAUGACCAUAACGGGUCCUAAAAGUUGUCUUCUGAACAUCCUCACCCCUGACCCGCAUCUGAUGAUAACCGGAGCGCAAAUCAAUCUUGGAAAACCAAGACGCUCCUUGAAGCUAAUCGAACAAGGCAUCUAUCCUCGGAAGUGGGUAACGGUUAUUCACCGUUACCUUGUUCAACUCCCAGUAGUCUAUGCACAUACGGUGCGACCCAUCCUUCUUCUUCACAAACAAGAUUGGGGCUCCCCAUGGAGAACUAAUUAGUCUAAUGAAACCCUUGUCUAGCAGCUCCUGCAGCUGCGUAUACAACUCCUGCAUUUCUGGAGGAGCCAACCGAUACGGCGCCUUGGCUAUCGGAGCCGCACCAGGAACCAAGUCAAUCUUGAACUCAACCUGUCUCUCUGAAGGUAUCCCAGGUAAUUCCUCUGGGAAUGAGUCCGGGUACUCUCGCACCACUGCUACAUCAUCUACUGUCAUCGUACUCUUAUCCCGGGUAUCCAUCACAUAUGUGACAUAACCUGCUUAACCCUGUUGGAAGUAGCGCCUCACUCUCACUGCUGAACAAAGAAUCGGUCCGCGUUGUGGGCUCUCGCCCUGAAUCACUAACUCUCCCCCGUUGGGAGUGCGAACCCUCACUAGCUGCAAUUCGCAAUCAAUCAUCGCCCCAUUGGGGCUCAACCAAUCCAUGCUUACUAUGGCCUUGUUCCCUCGCAAAGGAAUAGGGACCAUGUCCACCGAAAACUGCUCAUCGAAUAACUGCAGUGAGCAUGCCUUAUGCACCCUCGUGACCCUGACGGUCCUAUCAUCGGCUAUCUCCACCUCGAGUGGACAAUCCAGCUCCCUAGGAUCUCUGCUAAACCUCUUGCUAAGUGCAAGAGAGACAAACGAUCGGGUAGCCCCUGAAUCAAAUGACACUGUAGCUGAAAUGUCGUUCACUAAGAACGACCCUAUACAUAAACAUAUAACAUUAGAAACAAUCAAUAAUCAAUGCAUAGAUAAAAGGAAAAUACAUACCCGUCACCACGUCAGGAGUCGCUCGCGCCUCCUCUGCUGUUAUCUGAAAAGCUCUACUCUUCGCCACUGGCACCUCGGCCCGCCCCUGACGACCGUUCGUAAUCCUCAAUGUAGCAGGGGCAGGUGCCGACACCUUCCCUGCUGCUGCUAAGCUUGGGCACUGGGACUUUUUAUGUCCCCUCUGAUUGCAAUGGAAGCAAAUCAGAUCUGAUGCUGCGGUAGCUGUGGUAGAAACUGUACAAUCUCUGCUCAUAUGCCUAGUCCAACCGUACUUGUAGCAGCCGGAACUCCCUGCCUUGCACGCCCCAUCGUGUAAUCUCCCACACUUGCCACACCGACUGUGGCUCUGCUGACCUCUGGACCUAUGAUCCGAAACCUUGGGCUUCUUGCCCAAACUCCCUGUACCCGAAGCCGCCUCCGCCUUCCUCUUAUUCUCCAUCUCAAGAUCAAUCUCUCUCUCUCUCUCUCUCUCUCUCGCCCUUGCAAUCAUAUCAUCCAGCAUCUUACAGCUGGAUCGGCUCACAAACUGGCGGAUAUCACUCCGCAGCGUCUCAUGAUAACGGGCCUUCUUCAUUUCCUCGUCAGCUGCGUACUGAGGAACAAGAAGAGCCCUCUCCCUGAACUUGGCGGUAAUCUCCGCCACUGUCUCUAUAGUCUGAGUAAGGUCUUGAAACUCUCUAGCUAACUGUUGCACCUCAAUAGUCGGUGCGAACUCGGCUCUGAACCUGGUGGUAAAAUCAGCCUAAGUCAUAGUAUCAAGUGCUAUGUCAUCCCUGAUACCAUGCCCAACCUCCUCCCACCAGUCACAUGCCCUAUCCUUCAGGAGACAGGAUGCUAAUCUGACCUUGUCCCCUUCGGGACAUCUGCUAGUGCGGAACACGUUGGCAACAUCUGCCAACCACCUAGUGCUCGCAAUGAGGUCCCGCACCCCAUGAUAGCCUGGAGCUCCACAAGCCCGAAACUCCCUGAAGGUGAGUGUGCGCGACCCCAUCAUGGCCGCCAUCUCAGCACGAAAUGUGCUCAACUUCUCAUCCAUCAACUCCAAGAUACCCUCCUUGAUCGAACCGAAGAUCACAGGACUCUGCUCAAGUAUGAUACGGGUAACCUCUGAAGUGAAAAACUCCCUAGUUUGCUCAUCCAACUGCUCGGCCCCCCAGCCUGAUCCUGAUCCUUCCUCGGCACCUGAGCUGCCGACUGCUGGCCUAGGGCGUAAAACCACCAUUCUGAAAACACAUCAUGAUAAACGUCAAAAACACUGAUAUAUCUCUAGGGAUCGCUACUACUAUAGGUUUCCUGGUCUCGCCUCUGCCUUCCUUGAUUCAAGUACAAAUCCUCAACAAAAACCAGUCCUCAACUGCUGAAGGCCUCCUUGUAAUGCCAAUUAGUCAUCACCUGAAUAUCAUCACAUGUGACGAGACUCAGAUAAUCCUUCGAGUAAAAGACUCAUUCCUACAACGGAUGGACUCAAACAAGAGCUGCGCAGUAGAGCCAAAUCCAGCACUCUGAGAUUAUUCAACCCUGAUCUCAGGCGAUGUGUCGUAUUCACCUAAUGGUUAACUCUCAUUACCCGGAGUCUCAUAAAGCACAAAGCAAGCAGCAUUCGGACACAGGAAACUAAUCAAGCCACUCUAUUCUCAUAACAAGAAAUUGUACUAGCAUACAAUGUUAAGCUCGUACUGUCAGGCAUAACCUAAACAGGCUAUCCUACUGCUGUCUACUCAAUACUAGCAUGCAGUUCUCAUAAAGCUGAAGCACAUAUAGCAUGCACAUAAGGCAUCCUGCUAGAUCCUUAGUCCUAUUCUAGCAUGCUGUUCUACUGAAACUAAAACUGAUAAUCAUAACAUAAACUUGUAUGGGUAAUUUAGGGGUACUUACUUGAGCUCGACUGAUCGCAUGCACCACACCCUUUUCUCGUUUUCAAAACUCUUUUCUUUUUAAGUCUCUUUCUCAAAAGUUCUUUUGAACACAUUUUUCUUUCGAAAAUCUUUUUUCUAUUUCCUCAGUUUGAGUUCAGUUACACCCGUAAGUGUGUCUGAAUCCCUCAAACCAAGGCUCAGAUACCAACUUGAAAUAACCCAAAAUACAACCCAAUUUUUUUUUGUUAAAAAAAUACUAAAGAUAUCAACCAUCAUAAUAUAUCAUGAAAUCGUACGUCAUAAAUCCCCAAAAAGUUAUAAUAGAUGUGUCAUGACAAAAGAGUUGUAUCAACAUAACAUAGUAUCUAAAAUAAACUCCCAUGACAAAAGCUGAAACUGUGGUGUGUGCAAUGCCGUCAUCCCGAGCUCUUCCCUUUGCUUGCGGAAGUACCUGAAACCAAAACUGAAACUGUAAGCACAAAGCUUAGUGAGCUCCCCCAAACUACCACAUACCAUACAAUCAUAUAAAACACAUAUUGGGCCUUGCCCACUGCAUCGGACCGAAGUCUAGAAAAUGCAUCGGACCGAAGUCCGGAACUAACCAGGGCCUUGCCCUCUGCAUCGGACCAAAGUCCAGAACUGCAUCGGACCGAAGUCUGGAAACUAACCAGGGCCUCGCCCUCUGCAUCGGACCGAAGUUCGGAACUAACUGCAUCCAACCGAAGUCCGGAAUUGUCUGAACAUAACAUAUCAUAAACAUCUCAACUAGCAUGAACACAUAAACUGCAUACCGCAUCGGACCGAAGUCCGAAACACAUAACACAAAUACAUGCUUGAAUCACAAAGACAUCAAGCAUUCUAACUACUGCAACGGACAGAGGUCCGGAACUUCUGCUAACUAAACGGGCCGGCAUUGUGGCCGUAGACCCGUUCCUACUGGAAGGAAAACUCACCUCGUAAUGUUGGCUGCUGAGAUGCAAACUCUAAAAGUGGCUGACCGCUGCUCCGGAACUGUCCGACUACAAAUCCCAGAAACACUAGAUUAGUUACUUGCAUAUACCCUCAGGGUAAGAUGACUAUUUUGCCCCCGGUCAAAGUCAACUUCUAGUUGACCGGACUCACCGAGUCAGGGCGCAGACUCGCCGAGUCCCUCCUUUACUAACUCUGACUUUAAUUCACAGAGUCCCUUUCCCACUCACUGACUCUCUCUGAACUCGUAGGUCGAAGAAAAAAGGGGACUCACGACUCGACUCGUCGAGUCUGAAGAACAACUCGCCGAGUCCUGCCGUGCAUAUUCCAAACAAACGAAUUCAAAACUAUUCCAGAGCAUCUGACUUGAAGAUCUGAGCCCUUGGAACUAUCUAAACACGUGAAGUUUCUAACUUUACGUGCAACUAAGAAGGAAUGAAGCUAUUUCACUCAAACACUACUUUUCUUGGGAAAACUCAUCCGACUCGCCGAGUUGUAUGAACAACUCGUCGAGUCUAAGGCGAUCUUCAUCAGACUCGCCGAGUUGCUCAUCCAACUCGUCAAGUCUACGGCUAUCUUCAUAUGACUCUCUGAGUCACGCAUGCGACUCGCCGAGUCCAUUUAGUCCCUUUUUCCAUACAGACCUGAUUUGGGCCAUGCAUUGGCUCCAAAUCACAGAUCUAAGCUUCUAGGGCAUUCUUAUCACGUAAAUUUGCAAACUUUACGUGCAUGCAUGGCUUUAAAGGCUUCAAAUGCUAACCCUAAGCUCUUAAUGGGGCUCCAAGCUCAAGAGAGACCUCAAUCAUGACCAUAACAGAAACUUUACUCUUCUAGAAUGCAAUAAGAGUCCAGAUCUAAUGUUUCCAUAAAAAGGGGAAGUCCAUCUCUCAAGUUUGAACCAUAAGAGGCUCCAAAGAGGGCAUAACAAGCAUAAAGGAGGUUAUAAUGGGGGAAUGCACAAGUUCAUAACUUCAUUACCUGAAUGAAAAAUAGAUGUAAGCUAACUCCUGGAUCUUCCUUCCCUUUUAUGGACCUUCCUUCCUUCCCAAUGCUUCCAUGCUAUCACAAAUACCCUCAAACUCAACAAUGGGGCUAGGGUUUACAGGGGAAAUGUUCUGAGAGUGAUAGAGGCGAGGUUGGGGGCGCAUAAGUGUGUUUAAAUAGGGUGCAAACCCUUAAAAUUAGGGCUUCAUCCAGACAGGCGGACUUGCCGAGUCCAGCGUAUGGACUCGUCGAGUAGCCAGCUCAAAACGUGUGAUUGUCUCGUCUCUACUCGACGAUUCGGGCUACAGACUCAUCGAGUACCCCUUAAUAAAUGAAAAUACUUUAUUUGAAUUACAUACCAAAAAUGGGGCAUUACAUAAUGCUUAGCCCAGAAACACGGACGUUACACUUCUCUCCUCCUUAGGAUGAUGCCAUCCCCAGAAUCAUACAUCAACAAACUAAUGCGGAUAGCGACUCAUCAUGUCACUCUCCAUUUCCUAGGUGAGAUUUGACUCAUUCGUAUGUUUCCGUCGCACAAGUAGUAAGUCAACCAUCUUGUGACGCAACUUCUUCGUCUUAUGGUCAACAAUCGCCUCCGGUUCUUCAACUAGCCUCUUAUUUUCAUCCAUCCUUAGCUCAUAAAUUAGAAUUAUGUCAGGAACUUCUCCCAUGAAUUUCCUCAAAUAACUCACAUGGAAAGUGUUAUGAAUAAUGUCUAGUUCUUCUGGUAGUUCUAGCUUGUAGGCUUGGUUCCCAAUCCUCUGAAGAACUUUGAACGGUCCAAUGAAUCUUGGACUUAACUUCCCUUUUUCCCGAAUCUUAUAAGUUCCUUGUAGCACCUGGUUCCUGGUAUGUAAUUUAUUUAAAUAUUUUGCAUUUUUGGCCUUGGACUCGGCAAGUUGAAGGACCAACUUGCCGAGUAGAAGCGGGAUGGGACGUGGGAUUUAAGUGAUGGACACGUCGAGUCGGGUCCCGGACUCGACGAGUAGGCUCUGACUGAAAAACCCUAAUCCGAGGGUUUGCACCCUAUUUAAUCAUCUCAUUUUCCCCUAAUGCUCCCAGAAACCCUCCCUAGUAAACCCUAAGUGUUUUGGUGCAAGAUCUAAGGCUUUUGAGUGAUUUUUGUGGGUUUUGACCUCAAGGAAUAAGGAAGAGCAUAGAAGGAUCAAGAGGAGACUGAAGGAUUAGAGUUUGGUGCAUCAUUUUCAGUCCUUGAAAGGUAUAAAUUAUGUACCUUGCUUGUUCAUUUGUUAGAUCCUUUUUUGGGGAAGAUUUAGGGCUUCUUAAGUCAUAUGAGGUGGCCAAACAUGGUUGGGGGUCAAGACUUCGGAUCUAAGUCUUGGAAGGAGUCCCAAAGCAGAUUUGGGUUGCUUUUGCACCCAAGGAAGGUCCCAUGCAACAUAAGAGCCAUUUUAGAGCCUUUUUGGGUCAAAAGUCCCAUGCAUGCACGUAAAGUUCGAAACUUUACGUUCUAGAUCGAGCUUAGGGCUUGGAUCUAUCUUUUUGUCAAAGGUUGUACAUCAGAAAUCGAGGAUUUAGGGUGUGGAUGUUAUCGAAUCGGCGAGUCAGUUCUUGGGACACGACGAGUCCAAAGCAUAGGGUCUGUUAUCUGUUGAGGGUCAAAAGAACCCAGUUGGGUGUUAGAAGGGUUGUAGAAGGUCCGAGAGAGUGACCCAACGUGUUGGACUUAGCCUUAGACUUGGAAUUCAUGGGACUCGUCGAGUGCUAGAACAGACUCGGCGAGUCCAAGGCAAUCUCCUUAUCGAUGAAGAUGAACUCGACGAGUUGUUCAUACAACUCGGCGAGUCGGGGUCAGGACUUGUUCAUCAGAUGAAGGUGAACUCGACAAGUGUUCAUCCGACUCGGCGAGUCGGAUGAAGGUUCAUUGAUGUUCGUAAAGAAAGGGAACUCGUCGACUUGUUGCCAAACUCGACGAGACGAGUCGUGGAUAAGGACGAGUAAAGGAAAGGGACUCGACGAGUUNAACUCGGGGAGUCGGGUCAACUGGAAGUUGACUUUGACUUGGACUUGGUUGGGGGUAAAAUAGUCAUUUUACCCCAAGAGUAGAUAUUAGUUUUCUGACUGAGUAUUUUGUGGGGAUUAUAGCCGGAGGAUUUCCGAAGCAACAGCAGGCAGAGGUUUCCUGCACAUAUUAUCAGCAGCUACUUGUUCGAGGUGGGUUGCCUACCAGUAGCGGUGGGUCUACGACCACAAUGUCGGCCCACCAAUAGGAGUUGUAUAAUUAUAUGAUUGUCUUUGUGAUAUCAUCUAGGUUGCUUCUACCUGAUAUGUUAUAUGCUGGCAUGAUAUGUUAUAUGUGAUAGUAGUAGAGUUCGGUUGUUAGGACCGAAGGGUAGGUCAAACACCCCAGAUAUGUAUGACAGUAUGUGAUGAUAUGUUUAUAUGCCGACAUGACAUGUUAUAUGGGAUAGUGGUAGUAGGAGGGGAACAGUCCCCAAGUUCGGUUGUUAGAACCGAAGGGUAGUUCAGACACCCCAGAUAUGUCUGAUAGUAUGUUUAUGUUAUGAUAUAUGUGAUAGUAGUGGUACGUGUGGAAUAGUCCCCGAGGGUCGGUCUUUAGGACUGACGGGUAGGUCAGCACCCCAAAAAGACUUGACAGGGGUAGGACGACACCCCAGAAUGGCCGCACGGGUAGGUCGGCACCCCAGAAUGGCCGUACCGGGUAGGCCGGGCACCCUAGAAUUGCCUGGCAGUAUGUAUGCUAUGUGAUUGUAUGGUAUGUGGUACGAUGGGGGAACUUACUAAGCUUCCUGCUUACAGUUUACAGUUUUGGUUUCAGGUACCUCUUCAACAAAGGGGAAGGAGCUGGCGCGGUAGCGGCACAUCAUACACACAUGUUGGUUUCCGCACUAGUGUUUCUUGGGUCGUUACAAGUUGGUAUCAAAGCCCUGAUCUGAGGGAUUCGGACACACCUUGGGGGUGUCUGGACUCAAAUCGAGGGAUUAAAAGACUUUUACAAGAAAAAUGGUUUCUUAAAAGCUAAGAUAAAAGAGUUUUGGGAAAGAACAAAGUGUGUGAUGUGCGCGACCGGCCGAGCUCAAGUAAGUAUUCCCCAAAGUACCCAUACAAGUUUAUGUUAUGUUUAUCAGUUUCAGUAGAAUAGCAUGCUAGAAUAGGACUGAAGAUCUAGGAAUGAUGGCUUAUGUGUCUGCUUUAUGUGCUCCAGCUUAUGAGAAUUGCAUGCUAGUAUUAAGUAGAAAAUAAUAGGAUAGUCUGUUUAGGUUAUGCCUGGUAUUAUGAGCUCAGCAUUGUAUGAUGGUACAACUUCUCGUUAGGAGAAUAGAGUUGUUUGAGUAGUUUCCUGUGUCCGAAUGAUGCUUGCUCAGUGCUUGUAGGACUCUGAAUGAUGGCCGUUAGCCAUUAGGUGAGUACGUCGCGUCGCAUGUCAUUAGGAUUGAAUAAUCUCAGAGUGCUGGAUUUGGCCCUAUUGCGCGGCUCUCGUUUGAGUCUAACCGUUGUAGGGACGAGUCUUUUACUUGAAGGAUUAUCUGAGCCUUGUUACAUGUGAUGGUAUUUAGGUGAUGGCUAAUUGAUAUCACAAGGAGGCCUUCAACAGCCGAGGACCGGUUUGGGUAGAGUCAGAGAUUUUCCCUAGGGUAAGCCUACGAUGAGAGUAGCAGAGAUCAGCAGUGGAAAAAGGGACUUGGUGGAGUCGAGGCCGUCCUUGAGGAAAGUACGGAUAGAUAUGGAAGGUAGUAUGGGCCCGUACUACAGAAAGCAGAGGAUCCGUACUCGAAUUAAGGAAGGCUAAGGCAAGACCAAGGAACUUGUGAUGGGUGUGAUCCCUAUAGAUGUACUAGUAUCACUGACGGAUGUCAUGAUGUAUUGCGGAAUGGUGGUACUAAGGCCAAGGCCAGCAGUGGGUAGCUCAGGAGAGGGAUCGGGUUCGGGUUCAGGCUCCGAACCAGUGGACGAGAGGCUACGCGAGUUCAUCGCGUCUAAGAUCACUAUAGGCAUCCUUGAUGCGACCCCGAUCAUCUUUGGGUCGAUCAAGGAAGGGAUUGUUGAGCUGAUGGAGGAUCGCCUUAGGGCGCUCAGGAGUGACAUGGCGACCAGCCAGUCAGGAUCCCGCAUACUAUCCUUUAAGGACUUCAGGGGCAGUGGCGCGCCGGACUUCCACGGGGAAAAGGACCCCAUUUCUGCUAGACGAUGGAUUGCGGACAUGGAGUCUGCACAGCUGACAAGCUUCUGCCCCGAGGGGCCGAAGGUGAGAUAUGCAGCAGGGUGUUUGAGAGACAGAGCUAGAGAUUAGUGGGAGUCUGUUGUUGACUCCUUGGGAGCCUCGGCUGUUGAGGCUAUGACCUGGUUAGACUUUGUGACCAGAUUCAGGGCGGAGUUUGCGCCAGCUGUAGAGCUUCAGCAGCUGGCCAGAGAGUUUUUGGAUAUGAGACAGACUACGGAGACUGUGGCGGAGAUCACCGCCAACUUCUGGGAGAGGGCAUUGCUUGUGCCCCAGUAUGCGGGAGAUGAGGACAUGAGGAUGACCCGCUAUCAUGACAUGCAGCGAGCCGAAAUUCGGGAGCAUGUUAGUUUUUCAGCUUGCCCUACCCUAGAUUCCAUGAUUUCCAGAUCAAGGGAGAGGGAGAUCGAUCUAGAACAUGUCCAGAAGAGGAAGGUAGAGGAGGGGCAGACGAUUGGGGCUUCGGAGAAGAAGCCUAAGGGAUCAGAUGGUAGGCCGAAAGGCCAGUCAGGACCAGGCCACUGCAGGAAAUGCGGCAGGCCACAUGAGGGGGCGUGUAGAUUGGGAUUGUCGGGCUGCUACAAGUUCGACAAGACGGGGCAAUUCAGCAGAGAUUGUACCGCCCCUACACCAGUUAUUCAGACGUCUGAGUUGCUGUGUUUUCAAUGCAACCAGAGGGGCCACAAGAAAGACAACUGCCCCCAGUUAACAGCAGCAACAGUGCCAGUGAAGGCGCCAGGUCUAGCGACCCUGCGAAUUACUGAUGACUGGAAGGCCAAGGCUGAGGCUCCAGUGGUGAGGAGUCGGGCCUUCCAGUUGACUACCGAGGAGGCACGCGCUGCACCCGAUGUGGUAACAGGUAUGACUUCUUGUUUAUGCUUUUAUGAUAUGCUGCUGUGAUUUUGAUAUGUUAUGUAUGUGCUCUGUUUAGGAUCGUUCCAUGUGAACGGUAUCCCAGUUCAAGUAUUGUUUGAUUCGGGUGCUACCCGAUCAUUUGUCUCUCUUGCGCUUAGCAAGAAGUUUCCUGAGUCUUCGGGCAUGUUGGAUUGCCCUUUAGAGGUUGAGAUUGUAGACGACAGGUCGGUACGAGCAUUAGAGGUCUUCCGAGAUUGUGUUUUGAGGUUGUUCGAGGAGCGUUACAUGGUAGACUUGAUUCCCAUACCCUUGCGGGGGAACAAGGUUAUUAUCGACAUGGAUUGGUGGAGCCCCAAUAGGGCGGUGAUAGAUUGCGCACAAUAGUUGGUGCGAGUCAGGACCCCAGGAGGGGGAGAUUUAGUGAUUUAGGGUGAGAGCCACAGCGAGGGCCAACCUUAUGUUCGGCAACGAGGACAAGGCGUUACCUUCAGCAGGGUUGCGCCGGAUAUGUCGCUUAUGUCAUGGACACCCGGGAGGAGGGAAAGGCGACAGUGGGCAAUGUGCCUGUGGUACGAGAGUUUGCGGACGUAUUCCCCGAGGAGUUGCCUGGGAUACCUCUGGAACGAUAGGUGGAGUUUAGGAUCGACCUAGUCCUUGGUGCGGCUCCGAUAGCCAAGGCACCGUAUCGGUUGGCUCCUCUUGAGAUGCAGGAGUUGUCUACACAGCCGCAGAAAGUAUUAGACAAGUGAUUCAUUAGACCUAGUAGUUCUCCCUGGGGAGCCCCGAUUCUGUUUGUGAAGAAGAAGGACGGGUCGCAUCGGAUGUGUAUAGAUUAUCGGGAGCUGAAUAAGUUAACGGUGAAGAACCGUUACCCACUCCCGAGGAUUGAUGACCUCUUUGACCAGCUACAGGGAGCAUCUUGGUUCUCCAAGAUUGAUCUGCGUUCAGGGUAUCAUAAGAUGAGGGUCAGAGAGGGGGAUGUACAGAAGAUAGCGUUCCGGACGCGCUAUGGCCAAUAUGAGUUCGUGGUGAUGCCUUUCGGGCUCACCAAUGCUCUUGCCGCAUUCAUGGAUCUCAUGAACCACGUGUGCAGACCAAUGUUGGAUCGGUCCGUGAUAGUUUUCAUCGAUGAUAUCUUGGUUUACUCCAAGACACAGGAGGAGCACGAGGAGUAUCUGCAAGAGGUUCUAGAGACUUUGAGAAGGGAGAACUUGUAUGUUAAGUUCUCCAAGUGUGAGUUCUGGUUGCGCGAGGUGCAAUUUCUCAGACACCUUGUCAACCAGAACGGGAUAUCGGUGGACUCGGCCAAAGUGGAGGCCGUGAUGAGAUGGGAGGUUCCAAGGUCUCCAUCCGAGAUUCAGAGUUUCCUAGGAUUAGUCGGCUACUAUCGGAGAUUCAUCCAUGAUUUCUCCAAGAUAGUCAUACCCCUGACCAGGCUAACGAGGAAAGUCGUGGUUUUUCGUUGGGGGCCUGAGCAGCAGGCCGCAUUCGAGACAUUGAGACAGAGAUUGUGUGAGGCACCAAUCUUAGCCCUAUCGGAGGGCAUAGAGAAUUUUGUUGUGUACUAUGACACGCCCAUUUCAGGUUUGGGCGCGGUACUGAUGCAGAGAGGGCAUGUCAUUGCCUACGCUUCGAGGCAGCUGAAGCUUCACGAGGCGAACUACCCGACGCAUGAUUUGGAGCUGGGGGCUGUUGUGUUCGCCCUUAAGAUUUGGCGUCAUUACCUCAAUAGGGUUCGCUAUACUAUCUACAUAAACCACAAGAGUUUGAUGUACCUCAUGGAUCAGCCGAAUCUAAACAUGAGGCAGCGUCGGUGGUUAGACGUGGUGAAGGAUUACGAUUACGAAAUCCUUUACCACCCGGGGAAGGCCAAUGUGGUGGCCGACGCACUUAGCCGCAAGGCAGCGCCGAUCAGGGAUAUUUGUCUGAGGAUGAUAGUGGUGACCCCGCUGUUGGAGCGGAUUCGGGAGGCCCAACGGGAGGCCAUGAAGGAGGAACAUCGGAAGAGCGAGCGGAUUGUGGGGCAAGUUUCCUCCUUCGAUUAUGAUAGCCGAGAGCUGUUGACACUACACCGUAGGGUGUGGGUGCCGUACCACGGGGGUGUACGCCAGGUUCUGAUGAAGGAGGCGCACAAAUCUCGAUUCUCCAUUCAUCCCGGGGCGACGAAGAUGUACAAGGACCUUCUUUUGGACUAUUGGUGGCCCUGCAUGAAGCUGGAUGUAGCAUGGUAUGUGGAGUGGUGCUUGACCUGUAGGAAGGUCAAGGCCAAGCACCAGAGGCCACAUGGAAAGAUGCAGCCGUUGGAUAUCCUGCUGUGGAAAUGGGAAGACAUUACGAUGGAUUUUAUCAUAAAGCUUCCUAGGAUCGCUCGGGGAGUGGAUUCGAUAUGGGUCAUCGUCGAUCGAUUAACCAAAGAGCGCCCAUUUUAUUCCGAUCCAGGAGGGAAUUUUGGCCGAAAAGUUGGCCAACAUCUAUAUCAGGGAGGUGGUGGUGCGGCACAGGGUGCCGGUAUCGGUGAUUUCAGACAGGGACGUGCGGUUCACUUCCAGGUUUUGGAGGAAGUUUCAUGACGAGCUGGGUACUCGUCUGUAUUUUAGCACCGCCUUUCACCCACAGACGGAUGGUCAGAGCGAUCGGACCAUCUAGACAUUAGAGGAUAUGCUGCGAGCAUGUGUUUUAGACUUCGGAGGUAGCUGGGAUACCUACCUUCUGUUGGCGGAAUUCUCGUAUAAUAAUAGCUAUCAUACGAGUAUUAACCGUCCUCCCUUCAAGAUGUUAUACGGGAGGAAGUGCAGAACCCCAAUAUGUUCGGGUGAGGUUGGCCAGAGGGUCAUGAGGAGCAUCGAGGUGGUGCUCAAGAUGACAGAGAGGAUUCAGCAGGUCCGGAGCAGACUUCAGACUGCUCAGAGUCGGCAUAAAAGUAAUCUUGAUAAGCGCCGAUCAGACCUGGAGUUCCAGCUCAAGGAUAUGGUUCUCCUAAAGCUGUCGCCAUGGAAGGGCGUCAUCCGAUUUAGGAAACAGGACAAGUUGGGCGCCACGUACAUUGGACCGUUCAGAUUCUUAGCCCGGGUGGGCAAGGUAGCAUACAGGUUGGAUCUGCCAGCCGAACUCAGCCAGAUCCACAACACUUUCCACGUCUCCCAGCUGCAGAAGUUUCUGGUGGACGACUCAGCAGCGGUACCCUUAAAAGAUAUUCAGGUCGAUGACAGCUUGAAUUACAUUGAGCGGCCAGUAGCGAUCCUCAACCGGAAGUCGAAGGAACUGAGGAACAAGAGGGUUGAACUAGUGAAGGUGCAAUGGCAACAUCGGAAGGGCUCAGAAUGGACUUGGGAGCCAGGGGAGGAGAUGAUCGAGCAUUACCCAGAGUUGUUCCAGGAACGAACAGCAGACUUCGAGGACGAAGUCUAAAAUAAGUGGGGGAGAUUUGUAGCACCUGGUUCCUGGUAUGUAAUUUAUUUAAAUAUUUUGCAUUUUUGGCCUUGGACUCGGCGAGUUCAAGGACCAACUCACCAAGUAGAAGCGGGAUGGGACGCGAGAUUUAAGUUAUGGACUCAUCGAGUCAGGUCCUGGACUCGACGAGUAGGCUCUGACUGGACAAAAACCCUAAUCUGAGGGUUUGCACCCUAUUUAAUCAUCUCAUUCAGCCACCACUCUACCCUAAUGCUCCCAGAAACCCUCCCUAGUAAACCCUAAGUGUUUUGGUGCAAGAUCUAAGGCUUUUUGAGUGAUUUUUGUGGGUUUUGACCUCAAGGAAGAAGGAAGAGCAUAGAAGGAUCAAGAGGAGACUGAACAAUUCGAGUUUGGUGCAUCAUUUUCUGUCCUUGAAAGGUAUAAAGUCUGUACCUUGCUUGUUCAUUUGUUAGAUCCCUUUUUGGGGAAGAUUUAGGGUUUUUUAAGUCAUAUGAGGUGGCCAACCAUGAUUGCAAACAUGGUUGGGGGUCAAGACUUCGGAUCUAAGUCUUGGAAGGAGUCCCAAAGCAUAUUUGGGUUGCUUUUGCACCCAAGGAAGGUCCCAUGCAACAUAAGAGCCAUUUAGAGCCUUUUUGGGUCAAAAGUCCCAUGCAUGCACAUAAAGUUCGAAACUUUAUGUGCUAGAUCGAGCUUAGGGCUUGGAUCUAUCUUUUUGUCAAUGGUUGUACAUCAGAAAUCAAGGAUUUAGGGUGUGGACGUUAUCGACUCGGCGAUUCCGUUCUUGGGACUCGACAAUUCCAAGGCAUAGAGUCCGUUAUCUGUUGAGGGUCAAAAGAACCCAGUUGGGUGUUAGAAGGGUUGUAGAAGGUCCGAGGGAGUAACCCAACGUGUUGGACUUAGCCUUAGACUCGGAAUUCAUGGGACUCGUCGAGUGCUAGAAUAGACUCGGCGAGUCCAAUGCAAUCUCCUUAUGGAUGAAGAUGAACUCGACGAGUUGUUUAUACAACUCGACGAGUCGGGGUCAGGACUUGUUCAUCAGAUGAAGGUGAACUCGACAAGUGUUCAUCCAACUUGGCAAGUCGGAUGAAAGUUCAUUGAUGUUCGUAAAGAAGGGGAACUCGUCGACUCGUUGCCAAACUCGACGAGUCGAGUCGUGGAUAAGGACGAGUAAAGGAAAGGGACUCGACAAGUAGAUGACCCAACUCGGUGAGUUGGGUCAACUGGAAGUUGACUUUGACUUGGACUUGGUUGGGGGUAAAAUAGUCAUUUUACCUCAAGAGUAGAUAUCAGUUUCUGACUGAGUGUUUUGUGGGGAUUAUAGCCGGAGGAUUUCCGGUGCAGCAGCAGGCAGAGGUUUUCCAAACAGAUUAUUAGCAACUACUUGUUCGAGGUGAGUUACCUACCAAUAGCGGUGGGUCUACGGCCACAAUGUCGGCCCACCAAUAGGCACUACUAGAAAAAAGGCGUUUUACGAUGCUCAUUGCGCGUCGUAAAACGCUCAGACAACGCGAAAAUGCGUGUCAAGGAAGGCCCUGUCAUAACGAGAGACGACACGCAUUUACGACACGCAUUUACGACGCUCAUUUACGACACGCAAUGCGUAUCAAGGAAGGCCAUGUCAUAAAGGAUGACGACACGCAUUUGAGUGUCGUAACCUUACGACACGCGUUUAGGACAUGCAUUGUGUAUCAUUAAAGCCCCUGUCAUAAAUGAAGAUGACACGCAUUUGCGUGUCAUAAUCUUCAGCAACCAUUUACGAUAUGCAUUUACGACACGUCUUUACGAUACACAUUUACGCAAAAUACAAAAAUAUGGAAAUAAAUAUAUAACAAAACAAUCAAUUUCAUUCAUUAACAUCAUGUCAAAAAAUUGUAAUACAUAGCGGAAGUAUUUGUUGAGAGCCCAAAAAGUUACAUAAAUCAAUGAAAGUAAAAUUCAUAACUUUUCUAGUUUUCAUAAUCCUAACAAUAGCUGCAUCAACCUGCGAUAUAUUUAUAAAAAAAAUGUGAUUAUAAAUUUAUAAUUACAAAAAAAAAUAAAGCAAAAAAAAAUUGGACCUGAUAUUGACGAUCUUGGGAAACUCUCUCUGUGGUGCUUGCGUUUUCUUCCACAGUUUCCUUCAGCUGGAUAUCAUUCACAUGUACAUGGAAUGGAAUGGAAUAAUGAAAUAAGCAAAGGAAUGGAAUGAGUCAUUCCAUUCCAAUUUCAUAUGAACUUCACAUUAUAAAAAAUUAAUUGAUCUCACCUUUAUACGAUAAAGAGGAGCAGUAAAUACAUCAUUAAACAUGAAGGAAUCAUUGUCAUCCACAUCAGUUUGAACCUAUUCUUUUGUCUCCUUUUCUUCUUUCUCUUUCCCUUGUUCUUUUUUGUCUUGUAUCUUUUCAAGUGGUUGGUACAACAAUAGAGGUAACGGGACAUGUGCCAGUAUUGGGUCCUGAAGAUCUUGUUGCUUUUGUGCUAAGUGUUUUGUGAUUGAGAAGCAAAUGGUCACAAAUUGCAUAUGGGUUCUGGACAUGCAAAUAAACUUAACUAUCGAUCACAUAACAAAAGCAAAUGAAAGUAUGAUGUUAUAAUAAACAAUUCAAAUGCUAAUACCUUUGACAUGUUUGUAUCUACAACAUUUUGGGAGCUUUCGAUGCUUCGAAGAAUUAAAAGUAUUGAAAUAACCUCUUCCUUCUUUAGACUAUUAUGAGGCUUCCCAUCUUCACAAUCACCACCAAUUGCCAACAUAGAAAGAAAUAAAUACAAUUUUCCGGAAAAUAAUAAAAAUUCAUAUAUAUUUUUUUCAUUCAAAGAAUCAAAAUCAACAGGUAUAGUAUGCAUUCAAUUUAUAUUUCAGGAAAAAAAAACUAAUAGUAUACCUACCUGUAUGUGGGUUCAUAGCAAGUUUUCUCUCUUGGAUAAAACAUUAUUUUUUUAUUUUAUUUAUACUAAAUGUUUUUUUUUAUAUUUUGAUAUAAUACAAAUUAAUUUAUGUUUUAGAUAAGCUCUCUUUUACUUNCCUGUCUUUUACUUAUUUACAUUGAAAAUUGACAAAUAGUUCUUUUUCCACAAAAACAGACAAACUAUCUACAAUGAGUUUUUUGCCCUUUGCCACUAUUUAAUCACCUUACCUUAGUUUUACACACAAAAUCCAAUAAUGGAAUAAUGCAUUGAACAUUACACAUUUGCAAAUAAGAUACACAUUAGCAAAAAAUGGUCUUAGCACUAACUUUCACCACCCACCCACCCGAUAACAAAAGAAAAUAUAAUCCGCCCACUCAGUUUCACUUUAUUUGCAAGUAAGUAUAAACAAUAAUAUUGCAGGGUUUUUUUUUCAGUAUGAAUGAGUAUUCAGUCACUAUUCAUCCAUACCUCUUUAAGUAGUUGAUACCAAAUGCUACCAUUAUUCAAUCUCCAUCUAGGGGUAGGGCUAGGUGUUGGUGUUGUUGGAGCAGAAGAAGCAUCAAUGAUAUUGAUAACAAUGAAAGGGGAACUCAAAUCAUCAAGUUCAUCAUCACUUGUGUUUGACUUUCUCAACACUGAUGAUCCAGUGCGACCCAAGUGUUUUAUACAUACAGCCACUCCCUCUCCUCCAACCAAAAUGGUUUUUAUUAUUGAUGAUGCUGAUGGCGGAUCAUAAACAACCGAACCAGCUACACAUGGGACACUGCUCACACAGUCUUCGCCACCCUCUGUAGAAUAUAAAGCCAAAAGAAACCUGUGUUUGUUUACUACUCAAAAUGAAGACAUAAAAGAAGAAAGGAAUAUGCAUUGUAUUGGAAAAAUGAAGACUAAAAACCUCUUAUAUUAUCCAUAUCAAUAAAGCUAUAUUUAUAGCUUCUUAGACACCCACGAUGAAGUAUGAAAACAAUCCAUGCUCUUGACUCCACCUAAUUAGCUUAAGAAUUAACUAUUAUAUAAAACAUAAAACACAAAACAAUAAUAAUUAUCAAAUCUAAAGUUUCAGCCAUGCACGUGAGCUAUGACUAACAAACCGAUUAACCCAACACCUUCCACCCCCAAAUCCUUAGCAUAUAUAAACAAACACCCUCUAAAUGCAUGUUAUUAGACAUACCAAAAUAUCUUUAAUUGGUUGGCUUGUGUGUCCUUCACAUCAACAUAAUUACUUAAUUAAUUAAUUAUACUGAACUCACCUCUGAGUCUAAGGCUUCAAGCACAACUUCAGGAAUAGCAUCUGGACAAAACUCAUCUGGAACAAAACUAUCUAGUAUCCCUUUUAUUAAUGCUACACCAAAACUCAAACAUACCUUCAAAAAAUUUUAAAUAACUUUAGCUUUGUGGAUAACUACACUACUAUAAAAGAAAAAGAGCCCAAUUUUAGAGACCUCUUUUCUGAUUGUGCUAUCUAACAACAUAUCCUUAGGAAGCAUCAUCAGGUCACUUAAUGCAUUCAGGAGAUGAAAAGAUUUGAAUGAUGAAUCAUCAGCAUCUAUAUCAAAUAAAUCAGUCAGCCACCUCGACCAAUUUUCAAUUUGCACAUUGCCAAAUGAACNNNNNNNNNNUAUAUAUAUAUAUAUAUAUAUAUAUAAAGGAUCACUUGCCAUGGGAAUUGGUCGCCUAUGAUUCAGAUCAGAGGCCUGGAAUCGUCAAGGUAGAAAACACAAGUCAAGAAAAAAAAUAAAAUAAGAGACUUUUAGGCAUAAAUGGUAUAUACCCUGUAAUAGGGAUAACAAACUCCUUGAGUGCUUUUUCACUUGUUACUCCAAUUAAUUCGCCAAGACCUUGAGCAUCCUGUUCUCUCAAUUCUGCAGACCUGCUUAUUAGGCCCUGAAGAUAUAUGGGAAGCAAUGGUUGAAGAGCCUUUGGGAGACAUAACCUGGGUAUAACAAUUGGUCCACCCUAUAUGUCCAUCAACAAAUAUUUAAAUAAGAUAAACCUUAAUCACUACUAAAUGCUGAUUAAAAUACACAUAGUUGCCCCUCGAGUUCCAAAACAUUAAAACAACUCUAUUUUGUGCUUAGAUUCCAAAAUAGGACCAAAACAAAAUUCAUACGCAAGUGCUCAAUGGAUGAAAAAACUCAUAUGUACAAAUUCUAAGCCAAAAUACAAGAAUACAUUAGUUCUACAUAAACCCUAUCAACUCGAAAAUAAAAUUUUCUCGUAUAAUAAUUACAUAACCAAAUUAUGUAGUGAAAUCACACAUUAAAGCAAAUGUCUUUGUUAUUGUGAAUUUUGAUACAUCAUAUAUUAUUAUAUUUUUACCUUUAUUAUAGAUUGGUUACCCAACUUUACAUGCAUUUGUUGAGUUUAUUUCUGGAUUUGACAUGCCUUCUGACAUUCACUCAAAGAAGAAAGACAACAUUCUUCUAGAAACUGGGAAACCUUUUCGAUGGCUCUCUUCCAUGAUGAGUUAUCGUUGCCACUAGCUCAUAUCUUCGACCGUAUUUAUUAUAAUUUUUUUUAUAAAUUAAUAAAAAGAUGAAAAUGAUAUAUANNNNNNNNNNNNNNNNNNNNNNNNNUAUAUAUAUAUUAUAUAAAUACAUACCUCUGGUGAUGAUAAAAAAAGGAAAUCACGAUUCAGAGUAAGGUGAAGAGGAAUGUGGAUUGGUUUGAGUAAUUUUGUGCUUCCUUGACUUACAUAGCUAAACCUCAUUAAGUGUAGUAUUAUUAUCUCUGGAAGCUCUAAUAUUUCACUGAUUUACUUGCACAUACUAAUUCACAUAAUAAUAAAAAGAAGUAUACAUUUCCUGCUGAUGAAGCACGAUACCCUUCAAGUGUCUCUGGAGCUGAAAAAAGAUGAAGUGCAUCUUCUAUUGUAUGCAUAGGAUCUGGACAUAUAUUCAAAUGGAGCAAAAGAAAUGGCUGAAUAGUUGCAGAUGCUUUGUUACCUAUUUUUGUUUUACAUUAAAAAUAUAUAAAUGAUGAAUUAAUGAUAUCAUGUUAUUGAGAUGAGUGAAAAAUGUUAAAAGAUUAAAAAAAAAUACCUCUUGCUUUCAUUACACUUUUUAUUUGGCCUUCGAAGAUCUGACUUAAUUUUGAAGGAAUAAAACUUUGUGUUCUUGUGAUUGUAGUUUUGUUCUUUGGUCCAACUGUUUCCCAAAUAUCAUCAUCAUCUUCAUCACUUAAAGAUGAAACCAGUGAAACUUUUCCACCAUUAAAAUUACAAACUUCUCCUUCAAGUUUAAGAAGUUCAUCAUGCAUUUGGUGCAUUACAAAGCUUAAAAACACCUGAGCAUCUUCUUGCCUUUUUAAAAAACAAACUUCAACUCAGCAUCCGAAAUUCCAAACAUAACAUAUAUAAAAUUUGUUGAUUAAUUUUAUAACAUUAACACAAACCUUGGUCUUCCAGAGAAGCUAUUUGGCAUAUCUGGAGAGAAAUUGUUGAGAACAGAUUCAAACAUGAUAGGUCGAAAAGGUUUCCCAGUUUCUAGAAGAAUGUUGUAUUUCUUCUUUGAGUGAAUGUCAGAAGGCAUGUCAAAUCCAGAAAUAAACUCAACAAAUGCAUGUAAAGUUGGGUAACCAAUUUGUAAUAUAGGUAAAAAUAUAAUAAUGUAUGAUGUAUCACAAUUCACGAUAACAAAGACAAUUGAGUCCAACUCCAUCGGCGUUUGCUUUUGAAUGAAUUCCUUGGGAUAAACCUUCCAUAUACGCUCUGCUCCCUUUCCUUUUGGAACAAAACACCAUAGCAAGACUCCAAAUAUGUAAUAAUAAUCGAUCGAUAAAGUUUCUACAUAAGUUGCAGGUGAUCAAAAAUGGCGGAAAUCAGGAAAUGUAAAUUGUACCUUUAGCGAGAUUAGGGUAAAGCCAUCACAAGUUAGAGCCAUCAUCACCUGUGGGAGACCUAGGGGAAGUUGAUCGCCUCUAUCCACCUGCCAAAAAAGUGAAUCGUCUUCCCAUAAGUUUUCGUCACUUUCUCUCGAUCUUGCCGCUCAACCGGACCAAGGACGCCGGGAAGGAAAAGGACGUCCCUCUUCACCUCAUACUCGUGGAUGUGCCACAUUGGCUUUUCUGAAUCCGGCAAGGUGAAGAACAAUUUUUAUGUUACGAUGUUUUCAACUCCGAUUAAAAAAGCCCUAGAAAUUAUCCCAGUGAUUUUGUGAUAUAUGAGUUGUUGAGGUAUACAGCAGAGGUGGUAUCGUGAUUAGGGUUUGCAGAGAAAAGGGGGAAGAAGAGAAUGAAGGGGAUCAAGCGGGGUAUUAAAAAAUUUAAGAUUUUUGAGAGGAUUUCAUUUCCCCCUUUCAAGAAGGCGCGUUUUAGUAAAAAUUAUAAAGCGACAAUCACAGAGGACGCAUAUUUUAGAUAAAGUGCCCUCCGUGUUUUUAUUUUUUUUACAUUCGACACUAAUUUAAGGGCAUGCAAUAAUGCGUGACCUAAAUCCUCAAAUUUUUUGAAGAGACGACACUUUUUUAUUGUCACUCUCGUUUGCGUAACAUAAAUCAAUAAGUGUCGUGAUUUGCACAUCGUAAAAGGGUCUUUUUCUUGUAGUGAGGAGUUGUAUGAUUAGAUGAUUGUCUUUGUGAUAUCAUCUAGGUUGCUGCUACCUGAUAUGUUAUAUGCUGGUAUGAUAUGUUAUUUGUGAUAGUAGUAGAGUUCGGUUGUUUGGACCGAAGGGUAGGUCAGACACCCCAGAUAUGUCUGACAGUAUGUGAUGAUAUGUUUAUAUGCUGGCAUGAUACGUUAUAUGGGAUAGUGGUAGUAGGAGGGGAACAAUCUCCAAGUUCGGUUGUUAGAGCCGAAGGGUAGUUCGGACACCCUAGAUAUGUCUGAUAGUAUGUUUAUGUUAUGAUAUAUGUGAUAGUAGUGGUAGGGGUGGAAUAGUCCAAGAGGGUCGGUUUUUAGGACUGACGGGUAGGUCAGCACCCCAGAAAGGCUUGACACGGGUAGGACGAUACCCCAGAAUGGCCGCAUGGGUAGGUCGGCACCCUAGAAUGGCCGCACGGGUACCUAGAAUGGCCGCACGGGUAGGUCGGCACCCCAGAAUGGCCGUACCGGGUAGGUCAGGCACCCCAGAAUUGCCUGGCAGUAUGUAUGCUAUGUGAUUGUAUGUUAUGUGGCACGAUGGGGGAACUCACUAAGCUUCGUGCUUGCAGUUUACAGUUUUUGUUUCAGGUACCUCUUCAGCAAAGGGGAUGGAGCUGGCGCGGUAGUGGCACAUCAUGAAUGGUUUUCCGCACUAGUGUUUCUUGGUAUUGUACUAUGACAUUAUUCUUAUUUUUGUGAAUGGUUUUCAGACAUGAGAUGUGGUUUUAUGAAAAGUUAUGAUUAGAUGGUGUUUUCUUAUAAAUGUUUUUACAAGUCAAUUUUAAAAAUGAAAUUUUUGGACUUGUAAAUUGGGUCGUUACAUUCCUUCCAUGGUAAGACUUUAAGCAAAACCAAAUCUCCAACUUCGAAUGCCAUCAGUCGUCUUUUCUUGUCAGCAUAGCUCUUUUUACAAUCCUGAGCUGCUAACAUCCUUUCCCUAAUCACUCUUAACUUUUCAACAGUCUGAUGGACUAUCUCGGGGCCCAUAAACUGCCUUUGUUCAACUUCAAGCCAACAUGACGGCGUACGACACUUUUUUCCGUACAAAGCUUAAUAAGGUGCCAUCUUGAUGCUUAAGUGGAAACUAUUAUUGUAGGAAAACUCUACCAGAGGUAAGUGUUCAUCCCAGUUACCUUGGAAUUCUAGGGUACACACUCUUAGCAUUACUAUAGUGUUUGAAUCGUCCUUUUUCUCUAACCAUCGGUCUGUAGAUGGUAGGCUAUACUUAAACACAGCUUCGUACCCAAUUCUUCUUGUAGACUCCUCCAAAACCUUGACGUGAAACGGCUAUCAUGGUGUAACGCCCAUGUUUCUAGGCUAGGCAUUAAUGAUAAUGUAAUAGUCUAGGUUAACCUUUGUAACCCGUCUUGAAAUAAUAAAAAUGUAUUAUUUGAGUAUUAUGUGUUUUGUGCUUAAUUGUGUGACUUAAAUGAAUUAAGGAUAAAAAUAAGCAUCAAAAUGAAAUGUUAGAUAAACUCGAUAUCUAUGAAGGAUGUGGUAGUGGUCGUGGCAAGGUUUCCAAAUAUAUAAAGAAUGCCAAAAUCUGAGUUAUAACGAAAAAGUUAUGAUCUGUCGAAGUUUCGUUACAGAACCGGCACGGCACUGCGUGACGUAAAUAGUGAAUUUACGAUAGAGCGAUAUUUAGUCUUAGUGAUCUAAACAGAAGUUGUAGAAUAAGUUUAACCGAGAGCGUGCAUAAGAAGAACGUCUAAAUUUGACUUCGUAUGAGGAAGUUAUGAUUUUUCGAAGUUUCGAUUUAGCAGUAUGCAACCCAAAUCUCGAAUUACAGAUCGAGUGAUACUUGGCCGAAACAAUCUAAACGGGAAUCGAAGAUCUCGUCGAUAGUAGUCCAAAAGUGAAAAGACAUACGAAAACGGACGUCGGAUGAAGAAGUUAUGAAUUUCUAACGGAGUUUUCCUGUCCGACCUGCUAAAAAUAAUAUAAUAAAAAUAAGUUCAAAAUUAGCCGACGCAGUCUAAACGAAAGUUGUAGAGCAUAGUCUCACCUAUGUGUGGAUAUAAAGAACAUAAAAAAUGGAGCUCGUAUGAGGAAGAUAUGAUAUUAUGAAGUUUUUAAAUAAUUAAAAUAUAUAAAUUUUAUUAUAUAUUCGGAUAAUAUCCGAAUCCAUGACUCAGCCGAUCUGAUCCGAAGAUUACGCCCAACGUACUGCUUGUAGAGGCAUUACGCCCAGCAUAAUCAGGAUUUACGCCCAACGUAAAUCGAGGUUUCAUCCCCUAUAAAUAGAAGUCGUGGGCAGCCGAGUUUUGUUGCUCAUUUCUUCCUCUCUCUCCCGUUUUACCUCGUUUUACGUGCAAGCUUUACCCCCGAAGCCGCGGUAUCAUUCCCGAGACCCGAAGCCCCGGGGAUCCCGAGAAGUAAAGUUUCUGAGCCGAAACUCUGCCCGUGUAAAGCCCGGUUUUGGAGAAAACGUCCUGGUUUUAUCGGAAAAUAUUAUUUUAAUAUAUGAGGUGAUGUCCGAUCAUCUUCUUAUCAAGUGAGUGUAUAUUCCCUUUCUUCUAACACAUAGAUAUGAAGUAUCUACUUUAGAAUAUGUGUUACAUGUGUAUAAAUAUACGUGUAUAUAUAUGUUAUCUGUUUAUUUGGAAUGAGUAUCUUAUUAGUUUUUAAGUUACAUAUGAAUGCAUAUGUAUGUUGUUAUCUACAAAAUGUUGGGUAGAACUUGUGUAGAUAGUUGAUGUGUGAUAAACUGAUGAGAUGCCUCGAUGUGAUUGUGAUCUAGUCAUUCAACAGAAUAUGGGUGACGACCACGGACUCUUUCUAGACUGUCCCGUGGAAUGCUGGCAGGCUCAUAACCUGUAGGUGUUGGUGAACUUGGGUGUUCAUUUGUUGUAUUCUAUCCCCCUCAUGGUUGCCUUAGGACAUUCAUUGUUGAGAAAACCCCUCUGCAGUAGUGUCCGUCCUGAUGAAAAUCCUAGAUUAGGUCCCUUGUAAUAGUUAUUGUCAUAGUGACGUAAAGUGAGGAUAACAGGAAUGGGUAAUCAGGUUAUUGUUGGUUGGUGAAAUUAAAUAUAAUUAGUUAUUGUGGGUUGAAAACCCUAUAUGCUCACCAGGCUCCCAAGCUUGACCCACUCAGUUUUUUUGUAUUACAGGUAGUGGUGCGAGGGCAUAAGUUGGAGAACUUAUGAAGAUGUUUUUGUUUAUAGACCAGUAGUUGUAUAUAACAGUGUAAGGUCUAUGUUUUACUGUUUAUGCUUUUGUGUCUGUAUCGGAACAUGACAUCCUGAGUUUUGAUAUAUAAUGAAAAUACAUUUCUUUAAGAAAUGUUUUGAUAAACUUUAUUUUAUCAUGUUUUGUUUUAGGGACAAAUUCUGCAACUCUUUUAAAUCAAUGGAUUUACUCUGAAAUUAUUUUAAAAACAUAAAUGAAACCGGCCUUUUCUGGCCGUGAUUUUGGGGAUUUCACACAUGGUCUGAUACUAUCUUUAAAGGAACACCAUGAAGUCUUACUACCUCCUUCACGUAAGCAUUUGCAAGCUUAUCUGUAGACCAUCUUGUUGGAUUAGUGUCUAAGUCCAUAACUAUUUUGGUAUGUACUUGACCCGAUGGUGCAUGGUCCUUUUGGGUUGCCUUCACCAAAGCAACUUGAUUGGAGAAAUAAAUAAAGAGAGAGAGGUUAUUAUGAUUUAUUAAUAUGUUAUAAGAAUAAUAUAUUAAAGGAGAAAUCAUAUUUGUUUAAUUAAUAUUGGUCAAUAAUUAAUUAAGAAUUAAUUUUGUGAUCAAGUGUAAUUAAUUAAACUAGAGGGGCUGAAUUGUAAUUAUGUGAUAGUUACAAAAUAAGGUAAGGAUUAUCUUAAAUAUAGGGUGAACGAAUUUAAGGAGAUAAUGCCUUAGAAUUCGACUAGGAUAAGGGUUUCUAAGACUUAUCUUAUGGUUGCUUGGUGGGCAAGCAACUAGAUAAGGAUAAGGACUAAAACCCUAAUCUUUACACCUAUAUAAACCCCCUAAGGCUCAUGAAUUCGUCUAAGCCUUCCCAAGAAGUCCUAAGGACGAAUUCCUACCUCUAUCCUCUCUCUUUAUACCUUCUCCAUUUGCUCUUGGUGUUUGUGAGCCAUUAGAGGAGUGACACUUGUGACUCUAAGCCUUCCAAAGUCAAUUCAUGGAGAAUUGGGAUUGUUAUUACUACAUAACAAUCAAGGUAACAUCUUAAACCUAAUUAUAUGUUAAUAUUGAUUUCCAUAUGCUAGAAUUAGGGUUUAUAGUCUUGGAUUCAUUGCAUGUACAAUAGAGAAACCUAGAUCCAAGCAUUAGGGUUUGUAUGAGCACAUAGGAUGUCUUAUGACCAAAACCCAUCAGUGGUAUCAGAGCCUAGCUUGGUUUCAAUUGUAUUGAUGCAUUGUAUAACUGGAAAAUUCGUUUUUUGGGUUUCUGGAGGCUGGACUCGCCGAGUCCAUAGAUGAACUCGCCGAGUCCAUGCUGACUCGACGAGUCCAUGCCUGACUCGGCGAGUCGGCUCGUCAGAAGGAGGGAAAACCGGGAUUUCUUGCUGUUUUUGCUUAAGGAUAGUUGCCUUAUCAUAUUAGAUCAAUAUAAAUCCGAUUUUAUGAUAUAUUUGACUAUAUUCUUGAUCUAAUUGAAGAUAUUUAUCAAUUAAUAAAAUAUUUGUUUCCUUAUGUGAUAAUUGAUUAAUUAUUUUGAUUAAAUUGAUAAAUUGUUUUGCAAGAAAUCAUUAAAUAAAUCAAAUAUGGAUAAUUAUGUGAUUAAAUGUUAAUUUAGAUUAUUUGUUAUUUGAUCCUUGUUGUUAUGAAAAGUUUCAUAUUUUCCCCUUUAGGUUUUAUAGUUUAAAUUUGAACCCAAAAGUUUUGUUGUUUUGAAAUUUAAAUAGUUGAAACCCUAAUGUUUUGAAAAAGGUUUCAAAACUUGCCCUCAAGUUUUGGAAUUUAAAUUUUGAUUAAAUAGUUUAAUUUUGAUGUAUAUUUAAAUUCUAAACCCUAAUGUGUUGAAAUGUUUCAAAACUUGCCCUCAAGUUUUGGAAUUUAAAAGUUGAUUAAAAGUUUAAUUAGGAAUGUUAAAUUCUAAAACUCUAGUAUUGUUUUGAAAAAGUUCAAAUCACACCCUUAUGGUUUUAUUAAUUAAUUAAGGUGUAUAAUUAAAAGAGGUUUAAUAAAUCCAUAAAAGUUUUGGUUUACAAUUUAAUUGAAUUAAAAGUAUAAUUGUUAAAUUUGACCACCUAGUAUUUUAAAAGUGUAAAAUACACCCUAUACUAUAUAUAACAUUAAAAGUCUAACAUUAUAUAUAUGUAUGAGUAAAAGUCAGUCUUACCGUUAGUAGGCCUCAUUCACGAAGCUGGUCUAUAAGGGGUGUUUAAGGAAAUUGCCUAUAAAAUGGCGAUUGAAUGGGUAUCCACUCUUACCCACCGCACUCUUGACUAGUGGAGGGUCGUUAGCCGAACGGGUAGGAUAGGACGAAACCUUCCAUUAUAAGUAUAAUGAAGUAUAAAAGUAACUAAAUGUUUUCAUAAAAUUCCCAAUCUUAGUUACUUAGGCAAAAGUGAAUUGAUGCAAUUCCAUGAAAUUACACUUUGUGCCCUUGCGAAGACGUUAGUGGAGCGUGUGUGGUUUACCGGCACACUAAAUGGUUCUAAGCAAAGGUAGCAAAGGGUGACUCAAUGUUUGUCAUAGUUCGGUGGAGCGUGUGUGGUUUACCGGCACAUCGAAUAGGUGACUGUAACAUGUGAGGGCACCAUGUAAGUUUGCAUGGUUAUUCACACCCGCUUUGUGAUCCUCGGCAUCCCAGUCACAAACAAGAGGGGCAUAUCGAGAUUUAAACAUGCCAUUGAAAUGUUCAAUGAAUCUCAAAGGAUCUAGGAGUUUUCAUAGAUUUAAAACUUAAAUUUCUUUUUCGUUUUUCAUGGUGGAAAUUAGUGAAUCGUCAUUCACUUACCUUCAAAUGUUCUGCAAUUUGGGUUACGGCAUCCCUCUCCCGAGUUGUAGAAUAUUGUGUUGGGUCCUAGCCUUAGUAUCUCAUUUGGGUGAUUUACUAAGGACUCAAUCAAUCAACUAACUUGAAUUCUUUUUCUCCCGUUUUGUAGAUGUCAAAGUUCGACAACUAUGGUCUUCCCAAAUCCCGUGGAACAAGCAUUCCACAUGAAGAUGAUAUUCCACGAUUCGAUCGAGGAACAAGAAAUCAUGCUUCACUUCCUCCACCUCCUCCAAUUAUUCUCCCUAACCCACAAGUUCAAAGGCUUGAAAAGUUCAAGAUCACUCAAGCCCUUUUGGCAAGUAAACAUAAAGAAGGAAAGUCGGUGUGUGCACACGUCCUAGGGAUGAAGUCACACAUUGAUAGGUUAAGAAUGUUGGGAUCCGUUGUCUGUGAGGAAAUGGCUGUUGAUUGGGUUCUUCAGUCACUUCCUAACUCAUAUAGUGAGUUCGUAAGAGAGUACUAUAUGAUGAACCGCGACGUGACCCUUAUAGAUCUCACCUAUAUGCUUAUUGCUGCUGAAUCAGCAAUGGUUUGGCGCAAUAGAAAAGCAAAGUUGAUUGGUGAAUCUGCCUUCAAGACCUCUAUGGAUAUAGACAAUGGCAACGAAAGACAUGCUAUGAUCGAAAAGUUUGAUCAUAAGAGAAAGGCAAUGUCUGAAGUAGUUCCAUGUCAUGUUCCAAAAGAGUCAAUUUGCUUUUAUUGCCAAGAGAAAGGGCAUUGGAGACGAAGCUGCCCCAUUUACCUAAGAGAUCUAAGAGAUGGGAGAGUCGAAACGUAUGGCUCUAAUAUAGGUAAAAUCCAUUAACUAACUCUUUUAAGCUUCUAUUCUAGAUUCUUAAUACAUAAUGUGAUAAGAUUACAAUUGAUGUUUUGUAGGAUCGAAGAAAAGAAAGGAAGCUUAAGGGAAGAAGUGAGCAGAAUCUAACCGUGAAGGAAUGGAUUUCGAUCGCAUUUCUCGAAGAUUAGAUUCUUGAGCUACUACUUAGAGUUAGAAUUAGAUUGCUAAGAAAGAUGUAUUAGCAUAGUUUUUCAAUGAAUUGCAUUGUAAGGACAAAUUUUUCCGCAAUAAAAUAAAUUUUGAUUUUAAAUUUUAUUUAUUUAUCCUUACAAUGGCGUGUAUGAAAAAUUGAUGUUAAAAUGUUUCUAUUAUUAGCAAUAAUGGAUUUGGUUCUUAUUAUGUUAUUUAUGGAAAGUCGAGAAUUUACCAAAUAGGGAGAGUUUCUCAUCGCCCAAGUUUCAAUUGGACAGAAACUUGGAAUCAUGCAACUUGGUUGCACGAUGAAUGAGAAAUUUCAUAUUUGGAAAUUAGACUAAUUCAUUGACAAAGUGUCAAGUGAAGGACUAGGAGAUCGAGUACACAAAGUUGCGUGUUGAUCAAGUCCACCAUAAGAGUAACAAAGAUAUUCGUCAUGAUUUACUAAAGGUUUAGUAAAUAUGAUUAUACUUAUAAGAUUAAGUGUAAUUCUGAAUUGAUUGAAAAGGUUUAAAUCAAUAGCAGAACGAAUAAGAAGAAUCAAGUAGGCAGAAAGAUAAAAGUUUCUCCAUUCUAAGAAGAAGGGAGAGUACCUUUUAUGCUUUAUGAUAGGUCUUAAUGAUUAAGAACCAUAUCUCAAUUGAUCCUCUAAGUGAGUCUUAGUACAAUUGUAUGUCUAAGAAGAGGAAUCAAGAAUUGAAGAAAUGGUUAAAUCAAGAAGUCAAUCAUACUUCGUUCCAAAACAAGUCUUAGAGUUAAGAUUGUGACAUUGAGUGAUAAGUAUAAAGAAGGUUUAUAACAUUCAUUAAAUGUGGAAAGUUGUGAUGUCUUGGAUAAGACAAAGACCAACUAGGACCAAUUUAUGAAGUGUUUUGAUAAAAGCUACACUAACUCUUGAAUAUUUGUUUGUCAAGAAAUGGUUAUUGACAAGAGAAUCUUAUAUGUCAAGGAGUCAGUGGGAGUCUUAAUGGUCUUGAAAGGUUUCAAGAACAAAUCAAAUAAACCUUAUCGAUCAUCACUAGCACACGAGUUGAGGUUUACAACCUAUCGUGUUGACAUUAUUUUGAUUCUGUGCCAAUCCAAUCGAGUUAAUUAUGCAUGUGAGUUCUAUGAGUUCUCAUUUUGAACGCAUAAAAGGCAAAGCACCUUAAUCAAUGAAAGGUACAUUGAUAGGAAAGGGUGAGCUGCUUAACUACUUGGAAGACAUGGUGGGCAGCUGUGCUACCAUAAAGGCAAGAAAUCGAGAUCAAGAAAGUUCGAUCCAUAAGAGUUUGAAUUUGUCGUAAACUUUGGUUUUGACAAAUUCACAUGGAUAGGAACAAAUACACCGUUUAAAUCUAAGUGUCAUAAGAUUUCCUCCUUCAUGAAAAUGAUUGUGAGGAAAUGCUUUCACUAAGACAGAUUUUAAGAAGAUAGUGAUUGUAAAAUUGCAUUCUCGAAUUCAAUUAUGGUUACGGCAUCCCUUUCCAUAAUUUGAAUUGUGAGGUUUGGCAAUUAGUCUUAAUUGUUUAGACACACAUAUGAACUAUCGAAGGCAAAGGUGUAUAAGUUCAAGAAGCCUUGAUAAAAGAUUAUCAAAGCACUAAGUAUUAGAAACAUGAACUUAAGAAAUUCAAUAAGCAUUUUUUUUCUGAAAGUUAAGAUGUUUAUGAAUACAUGUCGAAGCUAGUGGGAGCAUAAGUGUUAUGUUUUAUAAUAAUCAUCAAGAUAGUGGGAGCAUAAAAGUUAUGAUUGUAUGAUUAUUAAGGAAAGUAUUGCAAGGUUAGCAAUAUUAAUUAUAGAAAACAAGAGUCAUACUUUGCAAAGUCGCAAUAGUUGAAGAGUUGUUUUGCUAUAAUUAAGGGAGAGAAUAUUAUGCUUCAUUUCAAAUCUAAAGGUUUAGGUUGAGAAAUGUUAAUAAAAUUUAGUCAAAGGUACAAAGUGUGUUCUUAAAAUUUCGAUUAUGAUUACGGCAUCCCUCUUCACAAUUCGAAUUUUGAGAACAUAGCAAAUAAAACAUUAUGCGUCGUGUCCCAUACGCUUCGGGUAUAGGAUCGAUUGCAAAUGCUUUAAUGUUUGACCAUUCUAAAAUUUUCCAAAUGUCGAGCGCAUUUAGAGGGAAAAGGGACUAGAAUUGGUUUUGACUAAAAUAAUUAAACAACUAUCAAAGGACAAUCCAAAGUUCGACGAGGAUUGGUCGCUUGUGAGUAGUUGGAAGUAUAGUAUUGGAAAAUAUGGAAAUGUUUCCAUAUUGGAUGGACCAUAUCGACAUCAUUACGAAUAGAUAAGAUUCUAUUAAGAAUGAGUUGUCAUAUGGAACAUAUGGAAGUGUGUCCAUAUUGGGAAUUGAAUAUUGAGAAAUCUAUGACUAGAUUAGAAACUUCUAUGCAAAAGGAUGUUCAAAGAAUGUACUUUGAGUGAGAGACAUCACAUCUAUGGAAUUGUCUUGUAACAAUCUCCGAUAGAGGACUUUGUAAUAUCAUUGGCAAUAGUCUUUGUGACUUUGGUGCAGUGACAUUACGAAAGGAUCGUUGCAUAAAAUGUUAGAAUCUAGCAUAUUCUAUAAGUAGCAAGAAUUUGAUAUUCUUUCACUUAUGAAAAGGAUUUGGAGUUGUGAAAUGAGAAUGAUUGGAAAUGUGUUCAAUUUGAUCUAUUUCACAAAGUAAGAACCAUAGGUAAACAUUGUGUGCAUGCUAGGAGCAUGGGACAAGUGUAAUAAUUCAAGUAAGAAGUUGAUUACCCGAAACGACAAAUAAUGAGUAAUCGAUAUGGUGAUAAAUAAAAGGUGUUUUAUUUAUACUCAAAGGUUUGAGGCCAUAUGGGAUUAGUAUUAUUCUUGUGUUUCACAUUUGCAUGUUUUGACUUCCAGAAUAAUUGAGUUUAUUAAGAAUAAUCGAAUUAUUCGAACGGGCCACAGUCGUUCAUAUGUUGGAAGUAGAUAUGAAUGAAGACUGUCGUGAAUUGGUGUGUGGAUUGUCUAAAAGAGUAUUAGACAUAAGCAAAUGUUUGCUGCAACGUUCAUGAGUGCUUAUGAAUAUGAUUUGAGCAUUGGAUUAAACCCACGCUCACUUGGAUCACUCCAUGAAUUGUAUCACGAGUGAUUGGUGAGACGAUAACAUCUUAUAUUCUUGAAACCGAGAUGUGUGAGUUGUAUCUUGCGAAUCGGUUGCACAUUGAUAAUAUGUAAACGCACUAGUAACUUGGUGUUAUAAAACAUAUUGUUGUGUGUGAUUUGGUUAGUAAGUGCAAGCAAGCAUUGUAUCAAAGUUUAUCCGUUCCUUUUAUCCAAAGUAGGAUAAAAGCGAUAUCUUUGGGCCCCUCGAUGAUUUAGUGAUGACAAACGUAAAUGCUCGGCCGGGCUAGGGCUAAUUUGAUUUGUUCAAUUAGUCAGUCGUCAUAAAUCGGGAAUCGAGAUAUAGUACAAAGAGAAUGAUUUGAAAUCAUAUCUCAUAUGAUAUCUAGAAUGGAGGAAUAUAUGAUCCCUUAUCUAAGGACACGCGUAUCUGAUAUGAUCAGAGUUGACAGCGGCUUUGGAAAGCUACGAUUGCAGAUCAGGAUCUGAAGUCAUACGCAGAAUAGUUGUUAGACUUAUCCAAGUGGGAGACUGUUGGAUUAGUGUCUAAGUCCAUAACUAUUUUGGUAUGUACUUGACCCGAUGGUGCAUGGUCCUUUUGGGUUGCCUUCACCAAAGCAACUUGAUUGGAGAAAUAAAGAGAGAGAGAGGUUAUUAUGAUUUAUUAAUAUGUUAUAAGAAUAAUAUAUUAAAGGAGAAAUCAUAUUUGUUUAAUUAAUAUUGGUCAAUAAUUAAUUAAGAAUUAAUUUGUGAUCAAGUGUAAUUAAUUAAACUAGAGGGGUUGAAUUGUAAUUAUGUGAUAGUUACAAAAUAAGGUAAGGAUUAUCUUAAAUAUAGGGUGAACGAAUUUAAGGAGAUAAUGCCUUAGAAUUCGACUAGGAUAAGGGUUUCUAAGACUUAUCUUAUGGUUGCUUGGUGGGCAAGCAACUAGAUAAGGAUAAGGACUAAAACCCUAAUCUUUACACCUAUAUAAACCCCCUAAGGCUCAUGAAUUCGUCUAAGCCUUACCAAGAAGUCCUAAGGACGAAUUCCUACCUCUAUCCUCUCUCUUUAUACCUUCUCCAUUUGCUCUUGGUGUUUGUGAGCCAUUAGAGGAGUGACACUUGUGACUCUAAGCCUUCCAAAGUCAAUUCAUGGAGAAUUGGGAUUGUUAUUACUACAUAACAAUCAAGGUAACAUCUUAAACCUAAUUAUAUGUUAAUAUCGAUUUCCAUAUGCUAGAAUUAGGGUUUAUAGUCUUGGAUUCAAAGCAUGUACAAUAGAGAAACCUAGAUCCAAGCAUUAGGGUUUGUAUGAGCACAUAGGAUGUCUUAUGACCAAAACCCAUCACAUCUUUCAUUGGCUACUAUGAAGUGUGCACUCUUAGUAAACCGAUCAACGACCACCCAAAUCAUGUCGUGACCGUCCUUCGUUCUGGGCAGUUUAGUGACAAAAUCCAUGGUAAUGUCUUACCACUUAUCCAUGGUUACACAUAAAGGUUCUAAAAUCCUAUAUGGUUUCUGAUGUUGUGCCUUAACUCUCACAUAGGUCACACACUUGGCCACAUACUUUGCAAUGUUGAGCUUCAUCUUCGGCCACUAGUAGUAGGGUUUCAGAUCCCUAUACAUUUUUGUGCUGCCGAGAUGAAUCGAGUACAUGGUCUUGUGAGCUUCUUCCAUCAGAAGAUCUCUUACUUCGCCCAUCUUGGAAUACCUUUAAUCCUUGAUUAUUUGUACCGAAAACCAAGUUUUUGCUUAAACAUUCUUCCUUUUGGUCAUUCUCCUCUAAAACUUCCUCCCAAGCUUUGUUGAUGCUUUCCACAAUCAUUGUGACAACCUCUAUUGAUUGUUUUGAUUAUAUUUCUCUUCAAUCUUCUGUCCUAACUCAGAUGCUACAUGAAACUUGGUUCUCUGAACCAUGUAACAUACUCAUCUUAGUUGGACUCGAUAUGAUACGACCACUAGGGUCAGAAUCAGAAUCAUCUUCUUAGUCAUUACCAAAACGAUGGUAAUGAAGAACUUGAACAAAACAGAAUCAAUUACUAGCUUCUUAGUAACCUUGCGACUUUCACUGAUCCAAGUGCAAGUCCUGUGCUUCCGGUAGUAUAGGCCUCUACUACCAUUCACACCUACUCAUACUCGUUCAAGGUGCUAUCUCACAGUUUUCCAAGUCAUCAUUCAAGAGUUUCACAUAAUCAUUUAACACAUCAGAUAACAAAAUCAAGGUUUUAUAUUAUUUCUUGAAAUGAUUACAUAAAUGUUCAACUUCGUCCUAUACUAUGCCUCUAAUAAGUUGCGCUACAUGAUGCUAUCCACAUGGCCACUUCAUAACUUGAUCUUCGGAUAUCAGUCCUCACUCCUGCUUCCUUGCAUUGUCAGCUGCUUCGUUAAGGAUCAUUUGGAAUGCCCUUGGCUGGGGCGGUGCGUUUGGCCUUGCCGCUUUAUUCUUCCUUGGGCGGUUCUUCAAAAUAUGCCAUCCUUCAUUGCAUUCAUAGCACACCCUCUUGCGGGAUGUACACUCAUUGGCGUAGUGCCCAGGAUUUUCACACUUAAAACAAGUGACCUCCCGUCACAUUUCCCAUGGUGCUUCUUUUUGUACUUUUCACACCAUUUCGCUUCAACUCCUCCUCCUCUCGAACCAGACUUCGAGAAAUUACUUUUCUUGUUGGAUUUCGAAGAUCCAUCAAACUUCCUUUUCUUACCAACCUCUGCCCUCUCCAGACCCUUCUCCCUUAUCCGUGUCUCAACAAUCUUCAUAGCUCUAACGACUGCCUUCAACGUGCUUGCCAUUUUGACUAUUGGGCCAAAGUCUGAUGGCAAUCCGUUAGCAAAUUUCUCUAUCUUGGCGAGUUCAGUCGACACCAAGUAUGGAAAUAACUUCAUCUUCUCAGUGAAUGCAGUAGCAUAAUAAUCAAUGCUUAUUCUCCGUUCUUCAAUUUCUGGAACUCAUUGUUUAGAUCUAUCAUAUCUAUUUCGGAGCAGUACUGCAUUUUCAACUGCAUUAUGAACUCUUCCUUAGACAUUUUCAGAGCUUUUCCUCGUGGCAUCGUAUCCGUUAAUAACUUCGACCAGCUUAAAACUUUGGUCUUUACUUGUUUGACCGCAAAGACAAUUUUUUGUUUGUCGCUAUAGUUGCAGCUUUCAAAUACCAUCUCUAUUUCGACAUGAUCUUCAUUGUGAUUUGACGAAACAUAUUUGGACGGUUAUGCUUUUCAUGGCCAAUUUUCGAAGAAGUACUUCUUUUAAAUUGACGAGUGUGACAUCCACCAUUUUCACGGUCAGAAAAGACUGAUUUUGUUUAUGCUUUAUAAUAAAAUCAGAGUAACCUUUUUAAAGAAAAGUGUUGUGGAAUUUGUUCCUAAAAUAAAAUAUGAUAAAGAUUUAUCAAAACAUUUCCAAAGAAAUGUAUUUCAUUGUAUUAAAACCUUGGGAUGUCAUUAUUAAUACAAAUCAGAAACAUAAGCAGUACAACAUAGGCGUUACAACAUUUAUUUAAAUCUACUAGCCUAUAAACCAUAAUCCUCUCGUCAAGUCAUCCAACUAUGCUCUUGCCACUACCUAUAAUACAAGAAACUGAGCCGGUCAGGCUUGGGAGCCUGGUGAGCACAUAGGGUUUUCAACCCACAAUAAAUAAUUUUGUUAAUUUCAACAAAUGAAAUAAACCAGAUUACCCGUUUCUAUUUAUCCUCACAUUACGUCCCUAAAACAUCUAAUAUAAGGGACAUAGCCUAAGGAUUAUUGUAGCACCUGGUUCCUAGUACGUAAUCCUUGUAAUUAAUAUUUCUUAAUUUUGCAUUUUUGCCUUGGACUUGGCGAGUUGAAGAACCGACUCGUCGAGUAGAAGCGGGAUGAGAAGCGGGGUCUGAGCUUUGGACUCGGCGAGUAGACCCUGUUUGGGCAAAAACCCUAACCAAAGUGUUUGCACCCUAUUUAAACGCUCUAACUUGGCCUCCUUUGUCCCGAACACUCCCAGAGAGCUGAAGAGCGAAACCCUAGCCCCCAUUUUGUUCUUGAGAGUGAUUUUUGGCUUUGUGAAGAAGGUUUGGAGCUUAGAAGAAGAAGAAAUAGGUUGUAGUGUGCAAAGAGGGGAAGUAGAUCCGGAAUCUACACUACAAGAGGCUUCCAUUCAGCCGGAGGAUUACCGAUUCAGCAGUCAGGCGCUUAGCAAGCAGAUUUUCAGCAGCUACUUUUCGAGGUGAGUUACCUUCCAGUAGCGGUGGGUCUAAGGCCACAAUGUCGGCCCACCAGUAGGAGACGUAUGAUAGAUGAGUGUCUUUGUGAUAUCAUCUAGGUUUGUUACUACCUGAUAUGUUAUAUGCUAGCUUGAUGUGUUAUAGUAGUAGAGUUCGGUUGUUAGGACCGAAGGGUAGUCAGAUACCCCAGAUACGUCUGACAGUAUGUGAUGAUAUGUUUGCAUGUUGGCUUGUUAUGUUAUAUGCGAUAGAGGUAGUAGGGGGUGAAAUAGUCCCCGAGGUUCGGUUGUUAGGACCGACGGGUAGUCAGCACCCCAGAAUGGCUUGACAUAGGGAGGGCGGCACCCCAGAAUGGCCGUACAGGUAGGUCGGCACCCCAGAAAUGCCUAGCAGUAUGUAUGUGAUAUGAUUGUAUGGUAUGUGGUACGAUGGGGGGGACUCACUAAGCUUUGUGCUUACAGUUUUCAGUUCUGGUGUCAGGUACCUCUUCAGCGAAGGGGAAGGAGCUGGCGCGGUAGCGGUACAUCAUACACACACAUUGGAUUUCCGCAUUAUGAGAUGUCCUGGGAUUGUACUCUGACAUUAUUAUUAUUUUCAUGUUUUGGGUUUUCAGACACGAGAUUUGUUUUAUGACAUGAUAUGAUCGGAUGAUGUUUUACUGCAAAUGUUUUACAAACCACUUAUUUUAAGUGAAAUUUUUGGGCGUGAAAAUUGGGUCGUUGCAAUUAUCAUCGGGGUAACAACAUUGCUUAGGGGAUACUGUGACAUCCCCAAAAUCUUGGCCAGAAAAGACCGAUUUUCAUUUAUGCUUUUAAAAUAUUUUCAGAGUAAAUCCUUUUGAUUUGAAAGAGUUGCGGAAUUUGUUCCCAAAAACAAAACAUGAUAAAACAAUGUUUACCAAAGCAUUUCAUAAAAGAAAUGUAUUUUCAUUAUAAUCAAAACUCGGGGUGUCAUGUUCCGAUACAGACCAAUAAGCAUAAACGAAUACAUUACAAGUCAUAUAACAAAUAUAAACAUAUGCAGACUUGUAAACAAAACAACUUGAUGGUUCAUCCAUCUCAUGCCCUUCCGCCACUACCUGUAAUACAAUUUAAAACUGAGUGGGUCAGGCUUGGGAGCCUGGUGAGCAUAUAGGGUUUUCAACCCACAAUAAAUAUCAUAUUUAAUUUUCACCAACCAACAAUAACCCAAUUACCCAUUCCCGUUAUUCUCACUUUAAUGUCCCUAAAACAACUAACAUAAGGGACCUAGUCUAAGAAUAUUUCAUCGGGGCGACAACACAUGCUUCGGGGGUACCUCAGCAAUAUAAGUCAAAUAAGGCAACCAUGAGGGGGAUGGAGUACAGCGAAUGAACACCCAAGUUCAUUAACACCUACAGGUGGCGAACCUGCUAAUGUUUCCACAAGACUAUCUAGAAAAGUCCGUGGUCGUCAUCUAAACUCCGCUAGAUGACUAAAUCAAACAACAACGAGGCCUCUCAUCUGUUUAUUACACACCAACUAUCUACCCAUGUUCUACCCAACAUAUUAGUAGAUAAAAAUAUACAUUUUUAUACAUAGUUUAAAAACCUGUAUAGCAUGCUUUAAUCAACACAUAUUUCACAUAACAGAUGAGGCACACACACACAUAACACGUAUCUCAUAGAGAAUAAAUCAUAUCUAUGAGAUAGAAGAAAGUGAAUACACAUUCACACACAUAACCACAAAAUUAUACACAUAAUACGUAUUCCGUAUAAAAUACUUCAUAAUUAUGCGUUAGAAGAAAGUAACUACACACUCACUUGAUCAGAAGAUGAUCGGACAGCACUACGACUUGCAGAAGUAGUAAUCCUCAGCAGAUCUGGAAGAUCUUCACAAAAAUCGAACUUCUCGCGGGCAGAGCUUCGGCUCGGGAACCGCACUUCUCGGGAUCUUCGGGAUCUCGGGACUUGCCUCGGGGCUCGAGUAUGAUACCGGGGCUUCGGGGUAUUUCUGGCACGCAAAACGAUGCAAAACGGGAGAGAGAAGAGAGAAAAUGAACAAAAGAAUCGGCUGCCUUCGGAUCCUAUUUAUAGGAGGCUGAAGCCUCGGAGUACGCGAGGUGUACUGGUCCGAAAAACGUCACUGCUUACGUAUCCGAAGACUCGAGUGCGAAUGUCGACAUCCCUCGGUGUACGCGGGGCGUACUUCGGAUCGGAUUGCUGACUCCCCUUCGGAUAAUACCGGAUUUUCUAAUAAAAAUUAAAUACAAAUUAUUUAAUAAACUUCGGAAAUUCAUCUCUUCUUCAUACGAACUCCGUUUUCGACGUUCUUUAUAUCCACGCGAAGGUGAGACUACGCUCUACAACUUUCGUUUAGACUCCGUCGGCUAAUUUUAACUUUAUUUUUAUUAUUUAUUUUUAAUAGGCCGGGACAGAAAAACUUCGUUAUAAAUUCAUAACUUCUUCGUUUGACGUCCGUUCUCGCCUAACUUUUUAUCGCUUCGAGACCAACAACGAGACCUUCGAUCCUCGUUUAGGUUGCUUCGGCUCAAAACCGCUCGAUCUCAAAUCGAGUAUUUCGGGCUGCACACCGCUAAACCGAAACUUCGAUAAAUCAUAACUUCCUCAUACGAAGUCAGAUUUGGGCGUUCUAUAUAUACAUUCGUAAACCUCGUUUCAACUACUACAUCAUCAACCAAAGAUAUCAAGUUUAUUUUACACUUUAAUUUUGACGCUUAUUUUUAUUCUUAAUUAAUCAAACCACAUAAUUAAGCAAUUAAGCACAAAACACAUAAUACUCAAAUAAUACAAUCAUAUUAUUUCAAAACGGGUUACAAAGGUUAACUUAGACUAUUACAUUGCUAAAAAUGGCAAGCCCGGAAACACAGGCGUUACAGAUACCUCAACAUUUUAUGUCAAAUAAGGCAACCAUGAGGGGGAUGGAGUACACCUGGUGAACACUGAGUCCAAAUAAACACCUACAGGUUGCGAGCCUGCUAGCGUCCCAUUGGACUGUCUAGAAAAGUCUAUGGUCGUCAUCUAUACUCCGCUAGAUGACUAGAUCAUCGUCAAUAUCGAGGCCUCUCAUCAUUUUAUUUCAUCACACGCCAACUAUUUCAUCUACCCACGUUUUACCCAACAUAUUUGUAGACAUAAAUUACAUAUACAAUUCAGAUCUAAAAAACAAAAUNUAUAUAUAUAGUUUAGAUCUGAAAAGAAAAGUCUAGAUCUGAAAUGAGAAAGUUUGGAUUUGAAGGAAACAGUUCAGAUCUGAAAGAAAGAGUUUAGAUUUGAAAGAAAAGUUCAUAUCUAAAAAGAAAAAGGUUUAGAUCUUUCUUCCAACAUAGAUCUCAGGUAAACAGAUAAUAUAUAUACACAUAACACGUAAUUUAUAUAAAAUAGUUUAGAUCUGAAAAGAAAAGUCUAGAUCUGAAAUGAGAAAGUUUGGAUUUGAAGGAAACAGUUCAGAUCUGAAAGAAAGAGUUUAGAUUUGAAAGAAAAGUUCAUAUCUAAAAAGAAAAAGGUUUAGAUCUUUCUUCCAACAUAGAUCUCAGGUAAACAGAUAAUAUAUAUACACAUAACACGUAAUUUAUAUAAAAUAUUUCAUAUUUAUGUGUAAGAAGAAAGUAAAUACACACUCACAUGAUAAGGUGGCGAUUCGGACAACGUUUUGCUUCUUAAAAUAAUCUCCAUUGAUGAAACCGGGAAGUUUGGUUGAAAACCGGGCUCUGCGGGGGGGCAAAGUUUCUAAACCGAAAAACUCUUUUUCUCGGAGACUUCGGGCGCUCCGGGGCUUUCUUCUAGUGCUAAGGAGGUCCCCUAGGCUUCGGGGGUGUUUAGGGUGGAUAGAGAGAGAAAGAGAGAGAGAGAGAGAGAGAGAGAGAGAGUAGAGUAGAGAGUGAAAGAAGUGUGAAAUAUGUGAGAAAACAUGGCUAGCCUCGCAUCCUAUUUAUAGUCAGGAGGUCUCGCAUUACGUUGGGCGUUCCUCGGUCUACAUGGGGUGUUCCUCGGUACGCAGGGCGUACCCUCGUACGCGGUACGGUUUGCGAGGUUCGGAUUUGUCACCCUUCAGAUGGAGCUAUGUGGCCAAUUCCGGACCUAGCCUUUGCGAACGCGGGGUGUUCUCUUCGGAUAGCCUCGAAAUAUGUACCUCUUACUUCAAAAAUUCAUAUAUUUUGCAUACGAGCUCCGUUUUCGACGUUAUUUAUAUCCACGCGUAGGCAGGACCGUACUCUACAACUUUUGUUUAGACUCAGUUGGCUAAAUUUGACUUUAUUUUUAAAGUUAUAUUUUUAACAGGCCGGGACAGGAAAAGUCUAUUAAAAAUUCAUAACUUCUUCAUCCGACGUCCGUUUUCGUUUUUCUUUUAACCGUUGAACUACUAUUGACGAGAUCUUCGAUUCUUGUUUAGGUUGUGUCGGAUAAAAAUCCCUCGAUUAUAAUUCGAGCUACGGGCUGCACACUGCUAUGCUAAAUCUUAGAAAAUUCAUAACUUCCUCGUACCAAGUCAGAUUUGGACCUUCUUUUUAUGCACGCUCUUGAUUUAACGUAUACUAGGAUUUUCAUUUAGAUCGCUAAGGCUAAAAUGCACUUUAUCGUAAACUCACUUUUUACGUCACGCAAUAUCGUGCUAGUUUUGUCGUGAAACUUUAACAGGUCAUAACUUUUUUGUGAUAACUUGGAUUUCGGCAUUCUUUAUAUGUCCGAAAUCCUUGUCACGACCACUACAACUUUCUUCAUAGAUAUCAGAUUUAUAUAACAUUUUAUUUUUGAUGCUUAUUUUCAUUCUUAAUUUAUUAUAUCAUUAUAAAUAAGUAUAUAAUCACAUAAAAUCACGUAAUUCACAUAAUAUUCAAGUAAUUCAUCUUUAUUACUUUAAAAUAGGUUACAAUAGUUGACCUUGACUAUUACAUCAUCAUACUAAUGUUUAGCCCAGAAACAAGGGCAUUAGAACGAGUAUGUUACUAGGGAGAAGAGAAAGAAAAAGAGAAACGGAAAACAUGAAGGUUUCACGAGAACUUCUCACUGAUAUCACUAUUCCCGUCGGUAACGUCAUGGACAUUGCCGGUGAUAAGGUUACCUCGUUACCAGAGGCAUUUUCGGUGAAAAACGACAUGAGUGAAGCUUUUCAUCGGAGUUGAUAGAGAGAAAAAGAGUAACACGGAAGAGGGAAGAAUGAAGUCGCUAAGGGUAUUAUUCGUGUCACACUUUAGCAACGAUACCAUUUAGUGGUGUCGAAAGACAUUUGUGGCAACUCGAAACGUAAUAGUCGCGACACACUUUUGAGGGAAUAAUUGGCAGAGGGUUCGAGUAUUAGCGGUGACACCGUUGCUGGUAUUAGUUAGUGGUGUGUAUGGGGCGGUUUGGUUCGGUUAUUGGUUAAAACCGAACCAUAACGAUUAUGAUUGGUUAAUGCAUUUUGGUAGCCAUUGGGUAUGGUUAAUAUUGGUUAUGGUUAGUAGUUUUUAUCGGUUAACGGUUUUGGUUAAUGGUUAAUAUUGGUUAACCAUAAUGUUCAAAAUAAUAUAAACGACGAAAGUAUUUUGGCAUGAAAAAUGAAAAUAAAAUACCAAAAAGUCCUCGACGCCGAUGUUUGUAACCUAACUUAUAGUAAUAUAAUAAAAUGUGUAUCUGUAAUACUUAGAGUGAGAUAACACAUAGUCACAUUUAAAAUCAAAAAUAUUUAAUAAAAAUAUAAAACAUUAAAAAAAUUGACAUUAAUAAUUUCAUAUAUUGAUAAUUGAUAUUAAUAUUAAAAUAAAGUCAAACAUUCAUACACGUUCAAUACGAUUAAAUUAAAACUAUUAAAUAAAAAAGCCAAACAUUCAUAUUCUGUGUUAUUAGAUAUAAAAAAAAAAAAAAGUCAAUCACUCAUCUACAUUCAAUGUGAUUAAGUCAAAAACACUAAAAAAAUUCAAAAAAUUAAAAAAAAAUACAUUCUUAAUAUAUCACAUAGUUAAAAAGAACCAAAAACUUAACUUACCUAGAAGUCUUGAGUAUAAAGUCAAAAAAAUCCUUCGAAUAGGACUAUAAAGUCCAAACAAUCUUUGAUUAUGAUUAACGGUGUGAGAAGCCUUCGAUUAGGAUUAUGAGUGUGAAGAUUAAACUAAUUGUGAAUAAUGUUUACAAAUUGUAGAAUUAGCCGAUUAUGAAUUACAACAUUAAUUAAUAAUCUAACUCAAUGUAUGAUUGGAAGAUUAUGUGUGUCUGAGUGAUCAGUCUUUGAUGAUUUGAUUGCUCGUUCGUCUCCUGGUAAGUGAAGAUUAAUAGAUUAUAUUUUCAAAAUUUUAAUGGAUCUUAAAUAAGUUUGACUAUAUNUCUCUUUCUCUCUCUCUCUCUCUAUAUAUAUAUAUAUAUAUAUAUAUAUAUAUUAAAAUAUAAAGUUAGCGGUUCGGUUAAUAAUGGUUCGGUUAACCUAUAAAACCAUAACCGAACCGUUAGUUAUUGGUUAACAAAAAUUAGAAACCGAACCAACGGUUUUUAAAAUGGUUCGGUUAUAACGGUUAAUUUGGUUUUGGUUCGGCUUUUCGGUUAUUAUGCUCACCCCUAGUAUUAGUUUCGCCGUUAUUGUUAUGUACGAAAUCAUUUUUCAAGUGUUGGAUUAUGACAAAAUCGACGAAUAGGGUUUAACCUCAGAUUUUGACGCGGAUCGGGGUUGAUGAGUUUCGCCUUUAGCGGUGACAACCACCAUUACAACGAGACCUAAUCUAAAUGUUGGGUAUCGCUUGUAAUGGUGGUUGUCGCAACUAAAGGAUUCGCCACUGAAGUCCUAUAUUGUUGUAGUGAUAAAUGUUAAACCUAAACACCAAUUUAAACACACCAACCACUAGAAAUUGGUGGCGACAAGUUCAUGGCAUUAAGAGCGAUAACAAAUGGUGUAUAAAUCCAUUAUGAUCUUCGUUGCGAUUUAACAGAACAUAUUUGGACGGUUAAUGAUUUUGAAGCUCAAUUUUGGAACAAUUUUUUUUUUGAUCCAUCAUGUUAUUAAGUUUUAAGUUUUUAAUUUUUUGAGUUGUUAUGGUUUAGUUUCUUGUUGUGUAAUUUUUAUUUUGAUUUAAUAUAAAAUUUAGUUUUUAAAAAAUUAAUUGCUAAAAAAAGUACUGAUGUUAAAAAAAUGAUGUUAAUCCGCCUAACCUAAAUGUAAAUGGUAUGUUGAAGACGGUGUGUAGCAAAAUCAAAUAUAAGCUGCUGGUUGAUGCAUCGGGUAUUGUAUUACGUGAGGUUGAUAGUUUGAUUUGUUGAAAUUAUCUUUUGUGUGUUUGAGAAUUCUUUUAUGGAAGUCCCUAUAAAAAGGAGUUCAAACUCAAAUGUUGGUUGAAAUAUUGCGAGUACACUUCACUUAAUUUGAUUGCGGUUAGGAAGCAAUUUAAUUUCUCAAAAGAUUAAAUGCCACUAAUAAAUUAAAAAAAUAAACUAAAAAUCAACACCAAAUUAAUGCCAAAGCUUUAAACCAUAUAUUACUAAAUUAAUUCACAUACGCCAUCAAAAAAAAAUUCAUGUCACAAACCCAUACUCAUAAAACUCACUUUCCAGGUACAAAGUUUGUAGCAUAUGACCAUGCAUUGUUUGCAACAGGGUCAGCAAGGUGGUCAGCGAGGUUCUCCAAUGGUCCCUUUCCGGUAACAAUGGCUUGAACAAAGAAUCCAAACAUAGAGAACAUGGCUAGUCUACCGUUCUUGAGCUCCUUCACUUUCAGCUCAGCAAAUGCCUCUGGGUCAUCAGCCAGACCCAAUGGGUCGAAGCUACCACCAGGGUAAAGUGGGUCAACUACCUCACCAAGAGGUCCACCAGCAAUUCUGUAACCUUCAACUGCACCCAUCAAGAUCACUUGGGUAGCCCAGAUGGCUAAAAUGCUUUGUGCAUGGAUCAAACUUGGGUUCCCCAAGUAGUCAAGACCACCCUCACUAAAGAUCUGGGAUCCAGCCUUGAACCAUACAGCCUCACCAAACUUGACACCAUUACGCGCCAAGAGUUCGGGGAAGACGCACCCAAGAGCUCCGAGCAUGGCCCAUCUGCUGUGGAUGACCUCAAGCUCACGGUUCUUGGCGAAUGUUUCAGGAUCAGCAGAGAGCCCAGCAGUGUCCCAACCGUAGUCACCGGGGAACUCACCGGUCAGGUAAGAUGGGGCUUCGCCGGAGAAUGGGCCAAGGUACUUAACACGGUCGGGGCCGUACCAUGGACUUCCUGAUGGUGCGACUUUCUUGACUGCUGUCUUCCUCAUGGAAACCCUUCCAUUUCCGGUGAUUUCUGAACCAGAUGGUGUUAUUUUCACUGCUUGUCCGAUGAAUGAAGAAGAUACAGACAUAGUGGAAGCUGCCAUUCUGUUAAAUUUGGUUGAAAGAUGUUGUGGAGAUAGGAGAGUUUGAGUUAUGAAGAUGGGGAGAUCUGCAAGUUUAUUUAUAAGGUGGUUUUUUGGUCAGAUAGAUAUGAUCGAUGCUUAUCUAGAUACAAUCUUCACCUUCAUUUUGAUUGGCAAACAACAUUCUAGUUUUAUCUAAGGGUCAGUAAUCUGCGUGCUGUGAGUUCUCUGGUCCACCAGAGAUUUUUGAAGGGGCUGCGGUAUAUUCAUGGCUCUGGUUUAUUGAGGGAAUGUAAUGGCUCCCAUUCUCAGCCACAAGCUGUUCUUGGUGGGGUUUUUCAUCUUUAACCAUUUUACAUUUUCACAAAGUUACAUAAAUAGUCAUCAUGCUUUACAAAGUCACCGGUUCAGCAACAAACUUUUUUUCCAUGAUUAAAAAUUCAAAACGGUCCGUAUGGUUUUAAUAUUAUUAGUAAUCAUCUUAACAUUUCUAAUUUUUAAAGACAAAUAUUCAUAUAAAUGGUUAUGUGAUUUUCCAGAAUAUCAAGUGGAGCACAUCAUUUUUUCGGUCUUAUGGAAUGACUAUUUGGUUUCAAUUCCUAUCAUAAUUGAUCUUAGAGCAUCCACAAUAGGGGAGUUUAAUGGAAGAGUUGAAUGAGGUGUCAUGCCUACUUGUCAUUCAAUGGAUACAACUCCACCAUUGUGAAAUGCCACCUUGGCAUUCAAUGAAUUUGGAGUUCAAUGGUCAUUGAACUCUUCAAUGGGAAAAAGGAAAAUCUUUAAAUCUUUAAAUAAAUAUUUUUUAAUAUAUUCCAUUGAACUUGUAGAGUUUAAUGCAUUGUGGGAUAAAAAUGAAAAGAGUUGUAUGGAAUAAUGAAUGAUGACGUGACACUCCAUUGAACUCUAUAGAGUUCAAUGCAUUGUAGAUGCCCUUAGUCCCACAUAAAUAAACUUUUAUACCCUUCUAUAUUAUAAUUAGUUUAUUUAAUAUAUAAAUAGCUAUGUUUUAUAGUUAACAAUAAAUUUUGUUCAUNNNNNNNNNNNNNNNNNNNNNNNNNNNNNNNNNNNNNNNNNNNNNNNNNNNNNNNNNNNNNNNNNNNNNNCUCUCUCUCUCUCUCUCUCUCUCUCCCAUCACACCCUCCUAAUCUUUAUUUCUUUCACUCGAUCGGUCAACCUCUUUUCUUUCUACAUAAAAAUUAAUCCAAAAUGCAGCCUUUUCCCAUACUCUGUGCUUGCACCGCCACUUUACCUUCUUGAAACCAAAUUACUAACCAUACACAAGUCUACAAAUCUACUAAUGUGUCUUCCAUUUCUCAAAAUCGAAAAAUAGAGAAGGUGUAGAACAUUGAGCUCACUUCUGUGCAUCUCCCACCUCUUUUACACAAAUAUGAAAUUAAAAUUGAAGAACAACUUUGUGAAGAACCUAGAUUGUGGAGAUGAUGAUGAAUAAAGUCGAUAGUUGGUGGUGCUCGGUGAUGUUUGAUGUUAGCGGCAGUACACUAGUGUUGUGGUGAUCGCCUGUUCAGUUGGUUAUAUUCUGGUAGGGUGGACGAUGGUGACCGUAGAACAGUUCAUAUAUAUAUNNNNNNNNNNNNNNNNNNNNNNNNNNNNNNNNNNNNNNNNNNNNNNNNNNNNNNNNNNNNNNNNNNNNNNNNNNNNNNNNNNNNNNNNNNNNNNNNNUAUAUAUAUAUAUAUAUAUAUAUGUGUGUGUGUGUGUGUGUGUGUGUGUGUGUGUGUGUGCGCGCGCACACUACAAGAAAUUUAGGUGUUUAUCCACACACGUUAUAUGUGGCUAAAAGACCUUUAUGUGUAGUUAUCUUUAGCUACACACAGAUUAAGUGUCAUAAUGUAUUGACUCAUGCCUAUAGAUAUAUAUCAUUAACUAUACAUUCAUUAUGUGGAAGUAUAGUGCAAUUAGUACACACAUACAUGUGUGGUUAAAACUAGUAAGUAUGUGCAUAUAGAAAGGGAGCUGAUCCGUUCACAACAAUUUUUCUCCAUACACAAUAAUUGAUGCUUUAAAAUGUUGUAUUAUACAACUAUAUAAUGCAUGAAUUGUUGUGUAUGGCAAAAAACUGUUGUGUACGAAUCACUUCCCAUAUAGAAGUACUAAAAAUUGUUUGAGUUGUCAACGAUGUGGCUGAUGACAUGUCAAAUUAUGUGGCAAGCCCACACAAAGUGUUGGUGAUAUGUGUUAUUCGAUAUGUGUGGGUAAUAAUUGUUAUAUGUGUAGGUUAAGAUAAGAUAUAUGAAAUAUAUAAAACACAAUAAAUGAAAUAUAAAAUUUAACAACACAAAUUGUUAUUACUUUUAAUAAGGAGUUAACGAUAUAUAAAACUUCUUUUGGAAUGGAAGUAUGUAGCACCCAAAGUCAGAAAGGCCAAGAAAGGAAAGGAAACCCUAAGUUUAAGGGACGACUCAGCAAGUCCAAGGAGGUACUCGGCGAGUCCGAGCGGGAUCCGGGUCGAGGAGUAAAUGACCGACUCGGCGAGUCGGCCAAGGAGACUCGGUGAGUCUGGUCUGUACGAGGAAAUCCCUAAAUUCGGGACUUGGAGCCUAUUUAAGCGCCUCAUUCUCUUCUCUAGGGUUCCUCUACUGCCUCUCUAACCNCUCAACCCCACCCCCGCCCCGCCAUAUCCAUUGUUGAGCCAAUUAUUGCUUUGAAGAGUGCAUUAAAGCUUGGAGAAGGAAGAAGGACCUUGGAGGUGCAAGAAGGAGCUAUAGAUCUGGGCUUGGGAAGAUAUUUCUGAACAUUUGGAGGUAAUAAACUAGUUCUUGGACUCCUUUGCACCUAGAUCUAUGUGUGAGUUUUGGGGCUUUUGGCCAUGAUUGGUACCCAUUUAAGUUAGAAGCCAGAUCUAAAGUUGCUACUUCGGAUAUAAGCAUAUUAUGGGCUUGUGAAGCAUAAAGUAUCAGCCCUUGAGUUGAUUAUGGAGCCUCUUUGCAUUAAACCCUAUUUUAUGGUGUGUCUAGCCUAGAUCUCCUUCUCUACACGUAAAGUUUGCAACUUUACGUGAGGAAUAGGCUUGGGAAGGGUAGAUCUACAGUUUGGGGUCCAUGCAUGACUCAAAAGUCCUCUACAUGUAUGUAGAUCUGAAUGGACUCGGCGAGUCCUUUGAGUGGACUCGGGGAGUAGCAUGAAGAUUAGGAGGAACUCAACGAGUGGGAUGAACAGCUCAUCGAGUCGGAUGAAGUUGGGCAGGAACUCGGCGAGUUGGAAGAACAACUCGGAGAGUCGGUUGAAGAUUGCCUUGGACUAGGUGAGUCUGUUCUUGGACUCGGCGAGUCAGGUCGCGAAACCCUAAACCCUUCGACUUGAGACUCGAAUCAGUGAGUCGAGUGGAGACUCGGUAAGUUGGACAGGUCAGGACUCGGAAAUCGGUAGACUCGGCGAGUCAUGGACUGACUCGGUGAGUCGAGUCGCGAUUGGAAGGACUUAGAGCAUAUGAACUCGGCGAGUCAAUAGGUAGACUCGGCGAGUAGGGUUGACCUGGAAGAUUGACUUUGAACAGGACUUUGACUUUGACCAGAGUUGACUUAGUUGACUGUUGGGGGUCAGUUAGUCUAAGUGUUUCAUUGAUAUUGGUAGCUCGGGGAGCUAGUGGAGCAGGAGUUCAGAGAGUUUCCGGGCAGCAUCCAGAAGGUUAUCAGCAUGUUCAGCAAGUGCAUGUGAGUUUCCCUUUGUGCCAAUGGGUCUACGGUCACAAUGUCGGCCCAUGUAGUUAUGAGUAGAAGACCCGGGGGUUAGCCCUAGGCACAGUAUGCUAGUAUGAUAUUCAGGACGAGGUCCAAUGAUAGCGGGCGGGUGCCCAAGGAAUGGUUUAUGUGAUAGUUUAUACUUGUUGUAUGUGUGAUACUUGUAUGUGUCUGGUAGGGAGGUGAGUGUGGGCGAGGUCCCGUAUCUCACCAAUAGCAGAGUGUGGAUGGUGUUCCACAUCUCAGUAGCAGCAGAGCAGGGGCGAGGCCCAAGUUAGGGAAGGAGUGAGGGUGGGCUGGGCCCGUACCUCACUAUCAGCAGGAGUAUGGACGGGGUUCCAUGACUCAUCAGUAGCAGGACAAGGGCGGGGCCCAGAGAUAGGCGAGGCCUUAGGACAAGAUCCGUUAGUAUGUGUUUAGCUUAUGUGAUGUGAUGUGAUAUGUUUAUGUGCUAUUAUAUGUUAGUGGGCGAGGCCCUGUGACAGGCGAGGCCUAAGUGAAACAGAUCUGUAUCCGAGCGGGGCUCGAAGCCAGGCGGGGCCUGGAGCGGCGGGGCCGUUGUAGCGGGCGAGGCCCGAGGUAGGGGGGGAGGCCCAGGAUAGCGGGCGUGGCCCAGCGUGUGCAGUAUGUGGUUAUGCAUGGUAUGUGGUAGGGUGGGGAACUCACUAAGCUUCGUGCUUACGGUUUUCAGUUUUGGUUUCAGGUACUUCCGGUAGCGGAGGGAAGAGCUCGGGGGUGAUCGCAUGGCACACACCAUAGAUUAGACAGUCUGGGAAUGUUUUACUCUGACAAUGAACAUGUGUUUUGGAAAAUUAAUACUCUGAUUAUGUUUUGAAUUGGUGACCUUGCUUAAAGAAAUCUUUUAUUAAAAGAAAUUUUUAGUCAUGAAUUUUGGGACGUUACAAGUUGGUAUCAGAGCCUUGGUUUGAGGGAUUCGGGCAUACUCUCGGGUGUGCCUGAACUCAAACUAAGGGGUCGGAUAAAAAGUUUUCAAAAUGAAAAGACAGUUUUCUAAAAAGAGAGUUUUGGGAAAGAAAACAGUUUUAGAAAAGCAAAAAGAAUUCAGAAAGAAAAGAACUUUGAAAAGAAAAAAAUGGUGUGGUGCAUGCAAUCAGCUGGUCUUAAGUAAGUACCCCAAAUUACCCAUACAAGUUUAUGUUAUGAUUAUCAGUUAGUAGAACAGCAUGCUAGAUUAGGACUAAGGAUCUAGGGAGGAUGCCUUAUGUGCCUAUUAUAUGUGCUUUGAGUUGCAUGAUAGUGUUGAUUAGACAGUGGUAGGAUAGCCUGUUUAGGUUAUGCCUGAGUAUAUGAGUUUGUGUUGCAUGCUAGUUCAGAUUCUUGCUAUGUGGAUAUGAUUGCUUAUGUAUGUUAUGGUUAGAUUUUCCCCUUGUCUGAAUGCUGCCUGCUUUGUGCAAUAUGGGAUUCCGAGUGAUGGGAGUAACCAUUAGGUGGAUACGUCACGUCACAUGUGAUCAGGGUUGAAUAAUCUCAGAGUGCUAAAUUUGGCCCUAUUUCGCAGCUCUCGUUUGAGUCCAACCAUUGUAGGGAUGAGUCUUUUACUCGAAGAAUUAUCUGAGCCUUGUCACAUGUGAUGGUGUCCAGUUGAUGGCCAAUUGGCAUCACAAGGAGUCCUUCAGCAGCUGAGGCCUGGUUUGGUGUGAGUCAGAGGUUUCCUUAGGGUAAGCCUAGGAUGAGAUAGUGUUGGGAGCAGUAGUAGUGGAUAAGGGACCUGGUGGAGUCGAAGCAAUUCCNGAGGAAAGUACAGAUAGAUAUGGAUGGUAGUAUGGGCCCGUACUACUGAAAGCAGAGGAUCCGUACUCGAUUCGGGAAAGGCUGAGACAAGACCGAGAACCUAGUAGGGUGAGUGUGUGUCUGGUCUCACAGCAGUGAUAAGUAUUCUGAUAGAGGAUGUAUUAUAUAUUCAGCAUGGUGACAUUGCGAGAGAGACCAGUGGGUGGACCAGGCGCCGGAGAGGGAUCGCUCGGGGUCNAGCAGCUCGAGGAGCGGAUGAGGGAGUUGAUAUCAGCUGAGGUUACGCGCAGUAUUCUAGAUCAGACUCCUGUGAUCUUUGGCACGGUCAAGGAGGGUAUAUUGGAGAUUUUGGAUGAGAGGCUGGGAGCCUUCCGUACCGAGAUGAUGGCAUUGAUGGGAGCACGUACCUUGACAUUUCGAGAGUUCAGGGCUUGCGGGGCACCAGAUUAUCAUGGGGCUAGGGACCCCAUCGCUAGCAGCAGAUGGUUGGUUGAUGUUGCCAAUGCAUUCCGUACGAGCCGGUGUCCUGAGGGGGACAAGGUUAGGCUCGCUUCUUGUCUUCUGAAGAACAGAGCAAGGGAUUGGUGGGAGGAGAUUAGUCAUGCCUUGGGGGAUGAUGUCGCGUUGGAUGCGAUGACUUUGAGCGAUUUCUCGUCCAGGUUCAGGGCGGAGUUUUCGCCGAUUAUUGAGGUGCAGCAGUUGCCACAGGAGUUUCAGGAUUUGACGCAGACCACUGAGACUGUGGCGGAGAUCACCGCCAAGGUCAGGGAGAGGGCUCUUCUUGUACCGCAGUGUGUCGCGGAUGAGGAGAUGAAGAAGGCCCGAUACCAUGAGAUGUUGAGGGAUGAUAUCAGGGUGUUCGUGAUCAGGUCCAGCUGUAAGACGCUAGAAGAUAUGAUUUCUCGAGCUAGAGAGAGGGAAAUUGAUUUGGAGCAGAUCCGGAAGAGGAAGCCGGAUGAGGUUUAGGUAGCCACAGGUUCGGGCAAAAGGCCUAAGGGAUCAGAUUCGAGAUCGAGGGAUUAUCAGGACCGCAGUCGGUGCGGGAAGUGUGGCAGGGCGCACAGGGGUGCGUGUAGGAGUGGUAGCGGUGGUGAUUCUGGCUGCUUCAAGUGCGGUCGGACUGGUCAUUUCAGUAGAGAUUAUACUGUUACCACCACACAGGGAUCAGACUUGAUAUGUUUUCACUGCAAUCAGCGGGGCCACAAGAAGGCCCAGUGCCCCAGUUUGUUUUCAAUAGGACGGGUGAUGACACUUGCCCCUGCAACUUUGAGGAUCACAGACGGCCGUCAGGGCCGUGCAGAGGCGCCUGCGGUAGGAGGCAGGUCUUUUCAGAUGACUACCUUGGAGGCGCGAGCAGCACCGGACGUUGUAGGUAUGCGAUUUUGUUUUCAGUUCUUUUAUUUGUGCAUGAUUAUAUUGUUAUGGUUCUGGAUCAUCAUUGGUUUGAGUAUUUUAUUUUUUGAGCGGUUGAUUGUGAUCGAGUUAUAUGCCAUCUUAAUACCUUGGAUAUUUGAAUGGUAGUUAGGAGAUGUGCUCUAUUAGAGAAGGUUUCAUAGGAUGCAGUAAUUGUAGCAUGCCUGGGAGGGACUUGGUAUGUCUCGCUAGAUCGGAGUUGUAUAAUGUUAGAGAUGGAUUGGUUAGAUCCCUAGCUAUGGUGAGCUUGGGUUCCUCAGCAGCUUGAUUAUGGAAUGGUAGCAAGGAUUGGGAUUCUUUUGAGUAUUGAGCAGCAAGGGGUAAGCAGGAUCGAAGUGGGGGAGAAUCCUCCGAGUGUGCAAAGGUAGGAUCACGCAGACCCAAAAUGAGUGCGCGACCUCCGAGAAGGAAAAGAAGUAGUUCAGCGUUUGAUGGAUUGAGGAUUUCAGGGUUGGGAUUUUGAGAAACUCCCCAUCAGCUAGUGCGUGUGAUGGUGAUGGUUAGUAUGUGGUUGGGAAUUCAGGUUGUGGAUCGCCCGUAGGACUCGAGGGAGUCGGAAUGAGGAUCUUGAGAGCUAAUGGCACAUGGGUGCCUUCGUAUUAGCAGUCAGUGGUAGAAAGUGAUGUAAGACUACGGGGCAGCCGUAGCAUUCACUAACAGUUAGUGGUAGAAAGUGAUGUAAGACUACGGGGCAACUAUAACACUCACUAGUAGUCAGUGGUGGAAGUGUUGUAAGACUACGGGGCAACCAUAGCAUUCACUAGCAGUCAGUGAUGGAUGGUGAUGUAAGACUACUAGUAAGCCGUAGCAUUCCUUAGUAGCUUCGUUAGCGGAGUUGGGGCGAGGCCCUUAUCUCCUAGCGAUCAGAUAGGGAUCAGGAAUGGGUAGUGGAUGAAAGUGAUAGGAAGUUUGCUUGUAUAGCCCUAGAGAGGUGAGACCUUGGGAGAGGCCGCUCCAGGAUAUAGUUGGGUGAGGCCUGUGGGCGAGGCCCGUAUGAGAGUAGCGGUAUAGGUGAGACCUGAGAGUAGGGUUGCUCAGUAGUAUGGCCGGGUGAGACCCGUAGGCGAGGCCCGAGAGAGAGUGGUUAGACAAGUAGGACUAGAAGGAUAGAGGCGGGGGGGACCCGUGGGCGAGGCCCGUGUGUUUUAGCGGCAUAGGGGGGACCUGGUAAGGACCUUAGUGUCAAGAUAAGGGAUCGGGGAUCCAUGGAUUGUAGUGACUGAAUGGCAGAAUAGAUUGCGCAGUUAUAGGUGGUCAAAGUUCCUUCGAAAGUCGCUGGGAGCGACUAGGAGUAGUGUUGGGACUAGCGACCGGUGGGAUCCGGUAAUCCAGAUAUUGGUAGGACGGUAGGGAUUAGGGUGGUCUCAGUUCAUCCGGAAGGCAGAUAAGGAAUAGCAGAAUUUUCAGUCAGUAGUAGUGCGGGUAAGCAGUGUAUGGUGGAAUUCAGUUAGUUGUAUCGAGGGGUGCUCGACACCAAGUUUUGACAGAGAGGAGUGUCAGUGGUUACUGGCGGUGAUGACCUGUACUGGAAGUAGCGGGGGUGAUGGAGUUGGCGAAGGAUAUGACCUUCACAGUGACAGAGGAAAUAGUUGGUUAUGGAGCAUUGCCUUGGGAAGGCAAGGAAUUCGCACAAGGAAAGAAGGGGUGAACCCCUAUAGGUUCAGUACAGUACUCGGUGAGUACCGGAAGGAUUGUCGGUUGAGUAAGUUGUGUUUCCAGGAUGUUCAGGGUCAGGGUGACCUGAGUCUAUUAUCCGCAAGGAAUGAUGUUAGUCAGAAUGACCGGGCGGAAGACCAGCGAAGGUAGGCAGCUGGUGUUGGAAUGAUUAGUUGGGUAUUGAAAGCAUAUCGCAGGCAGUGGCCCAUAGCAAACUUCGAGGAUGAAGUUUAGUUUAAGUGGGGGAGAGUUGUAACACCCAAAGUCAGAAAGGCCAAGAAAGGAAAGGAAACCCUAAGUCUAAGGGAUGACUCAGUAAGUCCAAGGAGGAACUCGGCGAGUCCGAGCGGGAUCCGGGUCGAGGAAUAAGUGAACGACUCGGCGAGUCGGCCAAGGAGACUCGGUGAGUCUGGUCUGUACGAGGAAAUCCCUAAAUUUGGGACUUGGAGCCUAUUUAAGCGCCUCAUUCUCUUCCCUAGGGUUCCUCUACUGCCUCUCUAACCCAGAACACCAAACCCUAGCCGCCAUAUCCGUUGUUGAGCCAAUUAUUGCUUUGAAGAGUGCAUUAAAGCUUGGAGAAGGAAGAAGGGCCUUGGAGGUGCAAGAAGGAGCUAUAGAUCUGGGCUUGGGAAGAUAUUUCUGAACAUUUAAAGGUAAUAAACUAGUUCUUGGAAUCCUUUGCACCAAGAUCUAUGUUGAGUUUUGGGGCUUUUGGCCAUGAUUGGUAUCCAUUUGAGUUAGAAGCCAGAUCUAAAGUUGGAACUUCGGAUCUAAGCAUAUUUUGGCCUUGUGAAGCAUAAAGUAUCAGCCCUUGAGUUGAUUAUGGAGCCUCUUUGCAUUAAACCCUAUUUUAUGGUGUGUUUAGCCUAGAUCUCCUUCUCUACACGUAAAGUUUGCAACUUUACGUGAGGAAUAGGCUUGGGAAGGGUAGAUCUACAGUUUGGGGUCCAUGCAUGACUCAAAAGUCCUCUACAUGUAUGUAGAUCUGAAUGGACUCGACGAUUCCUUUGAGUGGACUCGGCGAGUAGCAUGAAGAUUAGGAGGAAUUUGACGAGUGGGAUAAACAGCUCGUCGAGUCAGAUGAAGUUGGGCAGGAACUCGGCGAGUUGGAAGAACAACUCGGCGAGUCAGUUGAAGAUUGCCUUGGACUUGGCGAGUCUGUUCUUGGACUCGGCGAUUCAGGUCACGAAACCCCAAACCCUUCGAGUUGAGACUCGAAUCAGUGAGUCGAGUGGAGACUCGGUGAGUUGGACAGGUCAGGACUCGGAAAUCGGUAGACUCGGCGAGUCGAGUCGCGAUUGGAAGGACUUUGAGCAUAUGAACUCGGCGAGUCAAUAGGUAGACUCGGCGAGUAGGGUUGACCUAGAAGAUUGACUUUGACCAGGACUUUGACUUUGACCAGAGUUGACUUAGUUGACUGUUGGGGGUCAGUUAGUCUAAGUGUUUCAUUGAUAUUGGUAGCUCGGGGAGCUAGUGGAGCAGGAGUUCAGAGAGUUUCUGGGCAGCAUCCAGAAGGUUAUCAGCAUGUUCAGCAAGUGCAUGUGAGUUUCCCUUUGUGCCAAUGGGUCUACGGUCACAAUGUCGGCCCAUGUAGUUAUGAGUAGNGGAAGGUUGACUUUGACCAGGACUUUGACUUUGACCAGAGUUGACUUAGUUGACUGUUGGGGGUCAGUUAGUCUAAGUGUUUCAUUGAUAUUGGUAGCUCGGGGAGCUAGUGGAGCAGGAGUUCAGAGAGUUUCUGGGCAGCAUCCAGAAGGUUAUCAGCAUGUUCAGCAAGUGCAUGUGAGUUUCCCUUUGUGCCAAUGGGUCUACGGUCACAAUGUCGGCCCAUGUAGUUAUGAGUAGAAGACCCGGGGGUUAGCCCUAGGCACAGUAUGCUAGUAUGAUAUUCGGGACGAGGUCCAAUGAUAGAGGGCGGGUGCCCAAGGAAUGGUUUAUGUGAUAGUUUAUACUUGUUGUCUGUGUGAUACUUGUAUGUGCCUGGUAGGGAGGUGAGUGUGGGCGAGGUCCCGUAUCUCACCAAUAGCAGAGUGUGGAUGGUGUUCCACAUCUCAGUAGCAGCAGAUCAGGGGCGAGGCCCAAGUUAGGGAAGGAGUGAGGGUGGGCUGGGCCCGUACCUCACUAUCAGCAGGAGUAUGGACGGGGUUCCAUGACUCAUCAGUAGCAGGACAAGGGCGGGGCCCAGAGAUAGGCGAGGCCUUAGGACAAGAUCCGUUAGUAUGUGUUUAGCUUAGGUUAUGUGAUGUGAUAUGUUUAUGUGCUAUUAUAUGUUAGUGGGCGAGGCCCUGUGACAGGCGAGGCCUAAGUGAAACAGAUCUGUAUCCGAGCGGGGCUCGAAGCCAGGCGGGGCCUGGAACGGUGAGGCCGUUAUAGCGGGCGAGGCCCGAGGUAGGGGCGAGGCCCAGGUUAGCGGGCGUGGCCCAGUAUGUGCAGUAUAUGGUUAUGCAUGGUAUGUGGUAGGGUGGGGAACUCACUAAGCUUCGUGCUUACGGUUUUCAGUUUUGGUUUCAGGUACUUCCGGUAGCGGAGGGAAGAGCUCGGGGGUGAUCGCAUGACACACACCAUAGAUUAGACAACCUGGGAAUGUUUUACUCUGAUAAUGAACAUGUGUUUUGGAAAAUUAAUACUCUGAUUAUGUUUUGAAUUGGUGACCUUGCUUAAAGAAAUGUUUUAUUAAAAGAAAUUUUUAGUCAUGAAUUUUGGGACGUUACAAAGUACAUUAAUCCUUGGUACAAAUAUUACAUCAACAAAAGUUAUCUCUAAGCUUUCAUGAAAUUGAAGACCUUAUGCCUAACACAACCAUUGUAUCUAGAUAAGAUUUUCCUACUUAUUUACUUUGUUGUGUGCAAAUAUUAAUACACUUGACUUAAGCAUCACCAACAUUUGGACAUAAUUGUUGACGUUGAGGUGGUUGGUUAGAGCAUUAGUCAACUUUAAUAUUCAAGUGAAGACGUAUCAAAUACAAGUGAUUGUAGUUCACUCCUAUAGCAACAAGAGGAGCAGAGGCUUUAAGUAGUUUAUCCAUUUCAACAUGAAACUCUUUUCACACAUGAACGAUCUUAUGACACCUGUCAAAUGCCUCUUAAAAUAUACAAUCAACACUUGGUCAGUAGCUUUCUUCUCUGUGGCCAGAACCAUGACCUCUUCAUUUCCCUAUAUUAAUGAUGACAGGUUCAUAAACUAAAAGGACUGUAAAGUCAAAAUAGUUGACAUUAUGUUGACAUACCUAGUGGUGUGAAGAGAAGAAUAAAUAGAAUGUUUGUAAUAAACCCGCUUUCUUGGGUGAGGAAACCAUGACACUUGUUCAGAAAUGAAACAUCCCAACUAGCACCUAACGACUUUUGCUACAUUGAGAUAUACUAGCAAACAACAUAAGCAAAUCACAUGGAAAAUUAUUACAAUUAAUAAAACUCAUAAAUAAAGUGGUAAAAACAGCCUUGCACACACUCUUGAUUAAAAAAAUAGUUUAUAUUAGUGUAACAUCCCGAUUUCUCGAUAUCAGUUUAAAGUUCUAGAGUCAUGUUUCAAAGACAACUCGACGAGUUGAUAGGCCAACUCGUUGAGUAGUGACCAAAUCAGCCAUGUGGAUUUUAGACCCUACUCGUCGAGUUGGAGGACCCGACUCGACGAGUAGGUGCUGGAAAGUGAAAACCAUAAUUUUUAGGGUUUGCACCCUAUUUAAAGGUCCUUAACUUUCCUCCUCAGCCUCCCUUGUCACCUUCACGUCCAAAAAAACCAACUAGUCUCUAUUCUUGAGUGUGUGAGACCAAAAGAGAGUGUAUUGGAGCAUUCUUAAGGAGUUAAGAGCUUUGAACAAGGGAUAGCUUGUAGAUCCAACUUUUCCAGUGUUGUGACAACAAUAUUGAGUUAUAAAGCUACCACCUUUAUAUUUCAUUGCUUAGAUCUUCCUUUUUGGUAAAGUAAUUGUCAUGUCUAGGGCAUGAUGGGGUCACACUCGGAUUUAAGCUUGCCACAAGGGCAUAGUUUUAGAACUUGACUUCUUAAGGCCUUAUGAACAUAAAUCCUUAAGCUUUAUGAAGCCCUAGCCCUCCUUCAUGUCCAAAACCUUCUCCUAAUGCUAAUUAUGAGUGUUUUAGCUUCAUAGAACCAUGCAUGCAUGUAAAGUUAGCAACUUUAUGUGAUAACAACACCCUAGGAGCAUAGAUCUACUGUUUGGAGCUUUGGAGCAGCUUAAAAUAGUCUGAAUGAGUGAUGGACUGAAGGAGACUCGACGAGUUUCAUGGUUGAAUCGAAGAGUCGGUUGAAGAUUGCCCAUAAUGGUUUUGCAUGGACUCGGCAAGUCAGUAAGAAGACUCGACGAGUCAGUUAGGGUUCUUCCUGACAUUUAGACACGCGUAGACUCGCCGAGUUGGUGGGGAAACUCUGCGAGUUGGCCCAGGGAUUUCACGGUUUUCUGAGUUUUGGAGGAACUCGAUAGGUCAGUAGUUGGACUCGACGAGUUGGGUCAACAUGGACUGUUGACCUUGACUGUUGACUUGGAGUUUGACCAGGGUUAACCAUGUUUGACUUUGGAGGGUAUUUGGUAAAUGGGUAUUUAAGGAAAUGGAUCAUGGGUGGAUAUAGGUAAUGGAGUUUGGGGCAGUAUUUUGAGAGCGUGAUUUCGUGGUUUAGUUCGGCAUUGCAAGGUGAGUUAUCCUCACUAUAUCAACAGGGUCUAAGGCACCAAGGUCAGCCCUUUAUCUGAUUUGUAUUCGGGUAUUUGCUUGAUAUGUUUUUUGAUCUGCUAGAUCUGCAUCCUGGUAGUUAGGAUGGUAUUAUGUUUAGUGACCUGGUUUAGGUCAGUAUCCUGGUAUAUGGGAUGAUGUUAUGUUAGUGACCGGUUAGGUCGGUAUCCUGGUUAUAGGACGGUUGUUGUGUUAGUAAUCAGUUAGUUUGGUAUGAUUAUCUGUUGUAUACAUGCUCGCGUAUAAUAUUUAUGUGCACAUGAUUGUUUGAUUGUUAUGGGGGUUGGGUUGAGGCGGGUCCUGCUUCGUGUUGUAGGCCAACAUACCCAUGGCGGACCGGAAAGACUACAGGCCCAGGAAGGCACAUUGUCCAACCAAUGGCCCAACGAGCGGUCCGGAUAGGCUGAAGGCCCCGAGAGGGUGGUCCAAACGUGCCGAGGCUCGGAGAGUGGGCCAGGUGGACUGAAGGCCCGGUGCGGGCGGUCCAGUCAUACUGUAGACUCAAAGAGUGGACCAGGUGGACUGAAGACCCAGUGCGGGUGGACCAGUCACACAGUAGACUCGGGAUGCAUGGCUGUUCAGUGUUUGUUAUAUGAUAUGAUUAUGGAUUGUAUGAGGUUGGUAUUUUGGGGGUAACUCACUAAGCCUUCGAGCUUACGUUUAUCAAUUUAUGUUUCAGGUACAACGAAUUAACCCAGGAAGACGAAUGUGUGAUCGUACACUUCCCCAUAAUAUGUUUUGGAUUUUCUGGGAUACUCUGAUGUGAAACUAUUUUGGAAACCUUUUUGUAAUAACUAUUGGCAUUUGAAAUGUUUUUAAAAGUUUAAAUUUGGCUUGGAUUUUAUGGGUGUUACAAUUAUUUCAAUUAUCCAAGACGAUUUUAUGUCGAGAUUUUAAGUUAACAUUAAAUCUCAAUUAUUUGUUUGAAUGAUUUUUUUCUUUUAUCUUAGAGAUUUGUUUGAAAUUUAUUAAUUUUUUUUAUAAAUUUGAAUUAAUCAAAGACACAUAUAAAAAUAUCUCAUCAAAUCAAAUAAAUUUAAUAUAUAAAAAAGAUAGUAUCCGAUUAAGUCAAUCUAAAAAUACCAACAUAUAAAUAUAACUCACAAAUCUUGAUGGGAAUAAGAAUCAAACUCAAAAUCAAUCAAAUAAAAAAACCUUUGAUUUGUGUUAUAAGUAUAAAAUAAAUCAGGAUUCCAAAUAAAUAUUACAAUGAAAAAAAACCUAAAAUGUUUGAAACAAAAUAUGAAAUUCGCCAUCACUGUCAAUUUAAAAAAAAAACCUUUAUUAAUACUAAUGGGCUAUUUGGUAGCAUCCUGAUGAAUCAUAUCUGAAUGAUCUAGAUGCCUGGAUGAUCUAGAUGCUCUUUAGGAAUUUCUAUCGGAAUGAUAAAAUAAUGUUUGGUUAGGCAUCUAAAUAUCUGCCUCUUAAUGAGGAAAAUAACCAUUUUAGCCCUCUAAAUUAUUUUUUGAAUACAAAAUAAACAUUAUACAAUAUCCAACAAAUCGGUUAAAACAAAUUGGCUUUUGAUAUUCAGAUUCAUGUGUUUCUUCAUCAACAAUCUCUUUGAAGAGGACUCGUUUUGUUUCUGUUUUUAGAUCAUUAGGCUUUCUUGCUUCUGGAACAUUGAUGGGCCUAUUUUCUUGCUGAAUAUCUUCCAUCACUAGCAACUUCAUCUUGCUCCUAGAUCACAUAUCAACUAAACAAGUUGAAAAAUAACCAAACACAUAUUUUCAUAUAGAACAUUUCAAGCAAACACAAACACAUUUUCAAAAAAAAAAAAACAAAUCAAUUGUUAUUUUCAGAUUUCCAAAGGACAAAAACAACAUCAACUGAACACAUAUAUAGAGCAAGAAGAACAAAGCACAAAAAUCGAUUUCAUACAAAAUCGAGCAGCAAGAACACGAUUGACACCAAUUUCAUGCAAAAUUGCUCAACAAUAACACGAUUGAAGCAACAGAUUCGAGAAAAAAAACCAUACCUGAAAACUUACCGACGACGAGUAGGCGGAGAAGUAGGAGCGUUGUCGAAGGCAUGCAAGGGGAGGCGGCGACGGAGCCAAUAAUUGGAAGUUGUCAACGCUUAAUGAAGAUAAAGAAUGAGGGAUGAAAGGUCGAUCUCUAGAAAGAAGGAGAAGAAAAAAGAGUCGGCCGCAAUUUGUUGUUAGGGCAAUGGUAGAAGAUGAAAAUUUUUUUAUUCAGACUUCUCCUCAUAUCUUAACGAAUCAGAUUAGUUUUAGCUACAUCUGACCGAUUAAGAGCGUAAAAAUGUUUCAACCAAACACUCUGAAUCUUAAUGAUCCAAAUGCAACCUCUUAAUGAGACCAUUAAGAGGCAAAACAAACAGCCCCUAAAUAAAAAAAACAAUAUAGUUUCCAUAAAAAUCGAUUUAAAUAUUAAAGAAGAGAAGAAAUCAGCAUUUAUACGACGUAAUAGUUUUUUAAAAUUAAAAAAAAAAAAUUAUUCAUAUUAUAAGUAUAAAAUACAUUUUAUUCUUAACUCUCAUUUGUAAUUUGCCAUAUGUUUUCAUAAGAGUUUAUGGUAAUAACUUAAAUUUUUAUUUUUCCAUAUACCAUUUUUCAUUUACAAAAUUGUUUGUGCUUAUUUUUUUUUGUUAUAUUAAAAUUUAUUAUAUUUUAUUAUAUAAUAUAUAUCAUAAUUUUUUUCAUUAAUUUACAUAUAUCUUAUUUUUACGUGUUUAUUUGAAACAAUCGUUAUAAUGCAAAAUAAAUACCACUUCUCCAUAUUAAUUAUUAAUUUUUAUUAAAAUACUUUAUUAAUUAUUAUAAUUUUUAUCUAUUGAUAUUCGUUUAAUUUUGUAAGUUUUAUUUUCACAAAGUAUAACCUAAUUAAUUUCUCAUCAUCUAUAGUAAAUGAAAGUUUUUUUUUUCACAUGCAAUCACUAAUUAAUUUUGACACUUGUCAUUUUAUAAUAUUUUUUAAAUAAAUAAUAUCCACAUAUCAAUUUAUGAUUUUUNNNNNNNNNNNNNNNNNNNNNNNNNNNNNNNNNNNNNNNNNNNNNNNNNNNNNNNNNNNNNNNNNNNNNNNNNNNNNNNNNNNNNNNNNNNNNNNNNNNNNNNNNNNNNNNNNNNNNNNNNNNNNNNNNNNNNNNNNNNNNNNNNNNNNNNNNNNNNNNNNNNNNNNNNNNNNNNNNNAUCAAAUGUAAUAAAUAUUAUUUUAAAAUUUCAUUUUAAAAAAUAUUUAUUAUUACAUUUUAAUAUUUUAUAUUCUUUAAUCAACCGUGUAAUACAUUUUAAUACAUAGAUUUUCCAUCUAAUAAAUAAAUAAAAUGUAACCAUUUUAAUCACUAAAUAAUUAAUCAACCAAAGAUUAAAACCCACUGAUAAAAAGGAAACUAAAUCAACACCAAAUUGAAAAUUAAACCAUAUAUUACUAAAUUAAUUCACAGAGAGUUCGACAUCAAUCAAAUAUUAUCUCGCACUCAAAUUCACAAAACUCACUUUCCAGGUACAAAGUUUGUAGCAUAUGACCAUGCAUUGUUUGCAACAGGGUCAGCAAGGUGGUCAGCGAGGUUCUCCAAUGGUCCCUUUCCGGUAACAAUGGCUUGAACAAAGAAUCCAAACAUAGAGAACAUGGCUAGUCUACCGUUCUUGAGCUCCUUCACUUUCAGCUCAGCAAAUGCCUCUGGGUCAUCAGCCAGACCCAAUGGGUCGAAGCUACCACCAGGGUAAAGUGGGUCAACUACCUCACCAAGAGGUCCACCAGCAAUUCUGUAACCUUCAACUGCACCCAUCAAGAUCACUUGGGUAGCCCAGAUGGCUAAAAUGCUUUGUGCAUGGAUCAAACUUGGGUUCCCCAAGUAGUCAAGACCACCCUCACUAAAGAUCUGGGAUCCAGCCUUGAACCAUACAGCCUCACCAAACUUGACACCAUUACGCGCCAAGAGUUCGGGGAAGACGCACCCAAGAGCUCCGAGCAUGGCCCAUCUGCUGUGGAUGACCUCAAGCUCACGGUUCUUGGCGAAUGUUUCAGGAUCAGCAGAGAGCCCAGCAGUGUCCCAACCGUAGUCACCGGGGAACUCACCGGUCAGGUAAGAUGGGGCUUCGCCGGAGAAUGGGCCAAGGUACUUAACACGGUCGGGGCCGUACCAUGGACUUCCUGAUGGUGCGACUUUCUUGACUGCUGUCUUCCUCAUGGAAACCCUUCCAUUUCCGAUUAUUUCUGAACCAGAUGGUGCUGCUUUCACUGCCUGUCCGACGAAAGAAGAAGAUAGAGCCAUGGUGGAAGCUGCCAUUUUUGUGAGAUUUAUUUUGAAGAUGUUGUGAUGGUUAUACUUAUGAAGAUGGGUAGAACUGGAAGUAGAUUUAUAGGGUAGUUUUUGGAUCAGAUAGGUGAUCAAUGCUUAUCUUGAUACAAUCUUUAGCUUCAAUUUGAUUGGCUACAGAGAUUCUUGUGGGUCCGUAAUCUGUGGUGUGAGUUCUCUGGCCCCCCUGAGAUAUUUUGAAGGGGCAGGAUAUUCGUGGCUCUGGUUUAUUGAGCCAAUGACUGGCUUUCACUCACUACUCUUAGUGGUGGUUUUUUAUAAUAUGCUGUAAGCUUGUAACCAUCCAAUCGUCUAAGUUUAUAACUGACCUAUUAUUACAAAUAUAUACUAACCAGGCAAAACUUUUGGUUAUAAAAGUUAAUGUGACCGAGAGACUAACACAAAAAAUUAUAACAGGAGUAGUUAAUAAUCCGCGAUUUACCGCUAUGCCGAGAGCCGUAGGGAGGAUCCACCAUUUACCCCUAAGUGUGCAGAAUGCCUUUUUUUUUUUAGUAUUAAAAUAUCAAGAUCGGACACGCGUUGUAAAAUUCUUGUUCGAAUUGUUUGCAAACUCUUCGUCACAAUAAGGGGAGUUUAAAUAUGCGUUUUAAUAUAAUAACAUUGGCAUUGAUUAAAUGUUAAUAUUCAAUUAUCAUCCCACAUGAGAAUGAAAUAUAUUAAUGAUUUAUUAAUCUAAAAACAUUAUCAUCCCACAUGAGAAUGAAAUAUAUUAAUGAUUUAUUAAUCUAAAAACAAUUUUUUUAUGUCAUUAUUUUUUGGGGUUACAGUCGAGCUUGGAGGAUCUCGACUUUAGGUAUGCCCAUUUUAUUGAGAGGAAUUACUAAUAAAUUUCGGAAAGAGGAAAAAAAUAUGAUCGUGGACAUAUGGUUUAGGAAUAUUUUCAUGUUCGUUUGACACAAGUAAAGUUCUUGAAAUGGGUGCUUCAGUUUGUACGAGCGGCUAACUUGAUAAAGUUCAAAGACAUAAAGGCAAUUUUCAAAAACUCACAUGAUCAGUUAUCGAACAAGCAUGUCGUACUAGUGUGCCCACUACACAUGUUAGUUAGCGGUUUCAAUAGGAAAAGAGCAUCAUUAGCUGUCAAUGAUAAUAUUCUUUCUCUAGUACUCGAUCCUUACGACUUUUAUAUUUAUAUCAUGUAAUUUAGAAUUUAAUUUAAUUUCUAUUAAUCUUCGAUUACAGUUUAUGUGAUCUAAUUCAUGGAUGUUUUGGCACUACAUAUCUCAAUGGAGUAUGCCAGGGAAAUUUUGGUCAUAACAACAGCCUCCAUGGGUUUAUAUAUAUUUUUAAGGUACAUAUAACAUCCUAUUUUUAGGCUUAGAAAUUUUGGUCAUUUAUAGUGAAAAUAAUUUUUUUUAAUAAAAAAAUAAAAAAGGAAAAAUAAAAAUAAAAAGAAUGACUGAAUGAAUACAUGAGCUAAUAAAAGGUUUAGAUCAAAUGUUUAAAGAAAAUAGCGAAUUUAUACUUAAAAUAGGAAAUAAAUAAGGAAGGGUCAGUGGUGGCAACUUUGGAAAACUUGUUUAAUUUAGAUCUAACUAGACAAUUUAUUUGUAAAGAGUUAAAAAUGUAACGAAAUGAUACUUAUAAGCUUAAGAGGGAGUUUUUCAGUUGGAAAUGUUGUUAGAAACCCUUAUUGGAAAAAAUUAGGACAAAAGGACUAAAAUUGUCAAGUUGAUGAAACUUGUGUUAACCUUAAUGUAACGACCCUAAAAUCUUAAAUUAUGUGUUUAAUUACUUUGUAUCAUUUUGUUGAAAAAUGAACAUUAAUGAUGCAAUAAUCAAUUUGUUAGUAAAUUUCAUUGUAUAUCCUUACAUUUAUCAUGUUAUAAUCGAAAAUAUAGGACAUUUCAGCAAAAAAUAACCCUGUAGGAAAGUCGCAUUACACCUCGAUAUAUUCGUGUGGAUAUAAAUUCUAUGAAAAUCCAAAUUUGUAUGACGAAGUUAUAGUCAAUAUAAGUUGGAAGUACAAAUUUUAAUGUUUAAAUGUGUAUGUUNNNNNNNNNNNNNNNNNNNNNNNNNNNNNNNNNNNNNNNNNNNNNNNNNNNNNNNNNNNNNNNUAUAUAUAUAUAUAUAUAACAUCUCAAAACCAUAAUAACCAUAACAUAAAAUCAGAGUUUCAAAACAUAUUAUCUCUCUAAACCAUAACAAUCACUGGAUGAUGUGUAGAGUCACGUGUAACAUCUCGUUUAAAAUUAGAUAAAUAAAAUAAAAUAAGUAAAUAAAUUAGAUAAAAUAAGUAAAUAAAUAAUAAACCCUAAAACCUCAAGAUGAAUUUUAUAUUUUUAUGUUAGCCUUAAAUCCAUAAUAAUUAUCAGAGUAUUAGCGCAAUAAGUUAAAUGUUAUUAAUUCUGGAAAUAGGGGUUUAAAAUGUAAAUUUCGAACUAGUUAAGAAUAGAUUUGUGGAAGCUGGGGAUUGUUUGGUAAUUUGGACUUGAAUUGAAAGGAUUAUUGGAAACAGGUAUAGAGUAAAUUACAGAUUUAAUUUGUAAAGGAAUUGAGAUGGAGGGACUGAAAAUAUAAGAAAGGGACUAAUGUUUGAAGAGAUAGGCAUGACUUAAACCCAUUCCCCCUCCACCCUCUUGCUACUCGGUUGCACCCAUAUAAACCCUAACCCUAAUAUCUUCUCAGCCGCCACCUUAUCCCUCCAUAUCUCCAGUCGCUUCCAUCACCUGUGUCGCCGUCAUGAACCACUGAGCACCACUGCCGCUGCUCCCACUGCCGAUGAAAACGAAGAUCAACGUUUGGACACCGUGACAGUGGGGAAGUAGGAAGAAAGGAAGCUCGUGGUUGUUAUUGCUGUUAUUCUCGGUUAGGGGUCGCAAAACCUUUCUCUUCUCCGUUUCCUUUUGUUGCUACGUUGUCAUCGUCAUCGCUCCAUGUGAGGGUGGUUGUGUUUGUGUUUUGUGAGUGUAGGUGUGUGUUGCUGCUGUGGCAAGUUGGAGAGGUGUGUGUGUCUUUUGUUGGCCAGAAAAACGAAGAGAAUCACCAUGGCAACCAACCAUGGUGGUUUUCACCGUUCUGGAGCCACUAGCCACCACCCUAGGUGGCUGUGUGUGUUGGAUUGACAUUUCUUCUGUACCAGGAUGCUUUUGAUAGUGUUUGGCCUAAAAUUAUAACUACCACCAUUAAAAAGUGGUGGCUGUCGCCUCCUACCGCCAUGGACCGCCGCCGACCACCAAUGCCCGAGGUGGCAGUGGGUGGUGUCUGACUUACUAAACAUUAAAUAACCUAAACAUCUAACCUUAGACCGAGUGGUACGUGUUUGGGUUGGAAACUCUUACUAGGCUUUAGAAAAUCCUAAGGUCAAGAAAACCCUAGUUUUGGAGUUUUGUCGGGACCCGCGUUGAAGUGUUAAUUGAACUUUAAUUAUACUCGAUAAGGCCCUACGAUUAACUUAAUGCAGUAUUGAACUUAAUGAAUUAAGUCCUUAAGGGGUUAUGUGUGGAGCACUAACCCUAGUUAUCAUUUUAUGUGGAAACCCUAAAAAUCAAGAAGCCUUAUUUUCGGCAAUGAUCAGGGCACAUAUUUGGGAUAUUCCUUGGAUUAUUAUUAUACCCGAGAAUGAAUAUGUCAAACCUUAAUCACUCCUACUUUUAUUUGAUUAAGUCCUUAAUGGGUUAAGUGUCCUUACUUAACCCUAAUCGUCAUUUUAUGUGGAACCCUAAUCACUAUUUCAUGUGAGGUAGUCACUGCUGCAAUUGACGAUGACUUGUGAUCGAGUAUUGAAUCAAGUAUCUUCCUGUAGGUGAUUGGAAGUGAGUUGAAGCUGGUAGAGUUCUUCGUUACUACGGUGGUUACCUACUAGCAUAUCGAGCUGAGUUUCACCUCACUGUGUUAGAUCUAUAUGCACAAGAAUCAUUAUUCAGUGACAUUGCUAAUAACAUAUGAUCCUAUAAGGUCACACUUUAAUCAAGUUGGUACUUAUUGAAUAUUUAUUAAGUAUUUUAUAAUUAAUAAUAAAAGUUCAACUCAUGUAUUUAAUUAAAGAAAAUUUAUUGUUUUGUGAAAAUAAUAAUAAAUGAAAGACUAACUANAUAUAUAUAUAUAUAUAUAUAUAUAUAUAUAUAUAUAUAUAUAAGUCAUGUACAAAGUUUUGGACACUUUCACCAAAGAUUGACAAACUAGCUAGUUAAUUAAGUGACUAAACAAUAAACUAGAAAAUCCAAUGGACCAUUUUAGUCCUUAAAACCAUGGGUUAUCAAGGCGAGGAGGUUGAAAGUCAACCUCCAACAUUCUUGUCCCCCAUGUUUGUUCAUUACCUUGCAUGUAAUACACACCAUGAUCAUAUUAUAUAAGGCUAGUUGUUUUAUCACUAUAUGACUAGAAGAAAAAAAUCAUUUACACUUUCAUCCAUAGAAUUGUAGGUUCUCUUGGCUUCUCCCUAUCUCUCACUUGAAGUUAGUUCUUGGUUUUUUAGAGUUCGUCUUUUGUGUCUUCCUUUUACACUUAUUAUCUAUGUGCUUAAGGCUUAAAGAGAAAAAUAUUAUACAAGAAGAAAUCUAGCAAUUUUGGUACCUUAUUCUUGUUGGUGGAUUACUUGUAGAGAAGAUCAGACUUGUUGUUCUUGCCAUCUACUUCAACACCCCAAAUCUAAGAGGGUCCAAAGUCUACGAAGGUUGUAUUUUCUAAACUCCCUAUGGUUGUUAUAAUAUCAUUCUAAGCACUUUAAAAGGAUCCUUGAUGGUUUGUUUUGUUUUCAAAUUUAUAAGAAAUUUUUAAAGCUUCCGUUGCCAGUUUUUGUGAAAAACUAUUUAUUUUAUGCAACAAACCCCUUCAGUUGUAACACUAUAAAUUUUCAAACAAAAUUUCCAUUUUUAAAACACACAAAUCUUAAAAUCACAUUUCUCAAAAAUCACAAAUGUAUCAAUUGUAAGAAUAUCCCAGAACCCUCAAACAUAAUCUCGAACAGGUGUGUACAAUCAAGUCGGCGCCUUACCGUGAUUCUGAGAAGUACCUGAAACACAUAACACACAACAUAGUAAAAACGAAGCUUAGUGAGUUCCCCAAAAUACCACAUACACAAAUAAUAAGCCACUCAUAGCUAUAGCUCGGCAUGGACCUUCCAGUCAUGCGUCUCGGUGAGGACCCUCCGGUCUCACGGCUCGGUGUGGACCCUCCGGUCAUGUGUCUCAGUGAAGACCCUCAGGUUUCACAGCUCGAGUUGGACCCUCCAGUCCUGUAUCUUAGUGAAGACCCUCCAGUCUCACAACUCGGUUUGGACCCUCCGGUCCUAACUCAGUAAGGCACAAAAUAAUAUAGCAUAUAUGACAAAGACAAAAUGCAUAAUAUCACAUAACUCAGUAUAAGCACAUAGGACCAUCCGGUCGAUAACUCAAAUAAGACCCUCUGUUCACAUAGUAUUACCACUCAGGUAAGUAUAGUGAUAAGACUCGUCUCGGAAGUAAGCAAAUAGAUCUAGUACCCCACGAACAGUUUAGACUCCGCCUACAUAAUAUAAUUAUCUCUAAUAAGCAAUUUGUAAUAACCAUUCCGAGAUGUUAAGCUAGCUCCCCCACUAAAUCUCAAAAAUGGUGAAAAUACCAUUUUACCCCUCCAUGGUCUCUAAGGUCCACAGUUGACCAAACCCUAAAACUCAACGUAAGUCAACGCUCAAGUCAACAGUCCAUGUUGACUAAACUCGUCGAAUGCAUCCAUGCGACUCGUUGAGUACCGUCGUUUUCUCUGAAGUAUCGGGAAAAUCCAACUCAACUCGUCGAGUUGUCUCAUCAACUCGCUGAGUUGUAACGCAUUUAGACUAUCAGGGAAAACCCUAGCUGACUAGUCGAGUUGUCUCAUGCACUCGUCGAGUCCCUCUAUACAAAUUCUCAUUUAGACUAUUCUAAGCAGGAAUAAGGUCCCAAACUCUAGAUCUAGCCUCCCAAGGCUGAAAUACCAUGUAAAGCUGCAAGCUUUACGUCUAUGCAUGGAAUCUAGCGCUCAAAAUGCUAAAACAAGCUCUAUAUAGGGUUUAAUGCAUAAAAUCUUGCCACUAGCUUGAUAAAGCUUGGACCUUUGGGCUCAAGGGACCUCAUAUUGUCCAUAUCUGAAGUCUCAAAUUCAUGGCAGGCUCAAACAACUCAAGUACUCAAAGAAGGAUGGAAAAAGGCCCUAAAACUCCUUAGAAAAGAGAUCUAACCAAAUAAUGAUCAAGGUGGUAACUUUUUACCUUCAAACAGAAGCUAGAAAUGAAUAAGCACCAGAUCCAAGAGCUCCCUCUCGUCCCAAGCCUUUUGUUCCUCAAUCUUUCUCCAAAAAUGCACCAAAAUACACAAUAUUAUCCUCUCCUUCUCUCACACAUAGAUAUAGCUCGAUUAGGGUUUCUCUCAGAGUUUUAGGAUGAUAAGGGAGGAUGAAAUGAAGGCUUAAGGUCCUUUAAAUAGGACACAAACCCUGAAAAUUGGGGUUUUCUCACUCUGCUCCUACUCGUCGAGUUGGGGUCCUCCAACUCGUCGAGUAGACUCUAAAAAUCACGCAACCUUUAACUCCUCUACUCGGCGAGUUGGGGCAUCCAACUCGUCGAGUUGCUCUGACAUCAUAAAUGCAAAUUUAUUAAAUGUUAUAUAUGGGAGCAGGAUGGUACAUGUAACGACCCAAUUUUCAUGACCAAAAAUUUUGUUUUAAAAACAUUACUUUAGAAAAUAUUAAAAGCUAAAAACAUUGUCGGAUCAAAUCAUAACACAAGUGAACCAUGUCUAAAAGCCAAUUCAUACAUUCAAUCAAAAUAUCAGAGUACAAAUCCCAGUGAAGCUCGUAAAUGCGGAAACCGGAGAGUGUGUGUGUGACAUGCUGCUACCGCGCCGGCUCCUUUCCCCUAGCUGAGGAGGUACCUGAAACCAAAACUGAAGACUGUAAGCACAAAGCUUAGUGAGUCCCCCCGUCGUACCACAUACCAUACAAACACGUAACAUACAUACUGUCAGGCUAUUCUGGGGUGCCUGACUACCCGGUACGGCCGUUCUGGGGUGCCGUCCUACCCGUGUCAAGCCAUUCUGGGGUGCUGACUACCCGUGUCAAGCCAUUCUGGGGUGCUGACUACCCAUGUCAAGCCAUUCUGGGGUGCUGACUACCCAUCGGUCCUAACAACCGAUCCUCGGGGACUAGUCCCCUCUUACUACCUUUAUCUCAUAUAACAUAACAAGCCAGCAUGCAAUCAUAUCAUCACGUACUGUCAGACAUAUCUGGGGUGUCCGACCUACCCUUCGGUCCUAACAACCGAACUCUACAACUAUCACAUAUACAUAUCAUGCCAGCAUAUAACAUAUCAGGUAGUAGCAAACCUAGAUGAUAUCACAAAGACAAUCAUCUAACAUACAACUCCUACUGGUGGGCCGGCAUUGUGGCCGUAGACCCACCGCUACUGGAAGGUAACUCACCUCGAAGUAGCUGCUGAUCUGAUCGGGAACUGACUGCCUACUGCUGCUGCUGCUGCUCCGGAAAUCCUCCGGCUGCAAUUCCCACAACAUACUCAAUCAAACACUGCUCACUGACCUUUGGGUAAAAUGACCAUUUUACCCCUGAUCAUGCCCUAAGUCAAAGUCAGAGUCAACUUUCAGUUGACCCGACUCGCCGAGUUGGCUUUCCAACUCGCCGAGUCCCUACCCAAACGACUGCCCUGAAACCCGAUCCUACCCGUCGAGUUAGGCGACGACUCGACGGGUUCACCUUCUUAACCAAUAUUCAAGUCCUUCAUUCUACUCGCCGAGUUGUAUGAACAACUCGCCGAGUUCAUCUUCAUCCGAAGAACACUUAUGCUAAGACUCGCCGAGUUGUAUGAACAACUCGCCGAGUCUGUUCUUGAUCUAAGGAGAUUGCCUUGAACUCGCCGAGUCAGGGCAUUGACUCGCCGAGUACCUCCAUAGAUGAGUUAAGCUUCCGACUCACUGAGUCACACCCCGUGACUCACUGCUCACUCGACACUACGAAAAGGGGACAAACUCGGAGACUCGCGAACAGACUCGCCGAGUCAUAUGAACGACUCGCCGAGUCGUUGCCAUGCAUCCACUAAAUACACAGAUUUGCUCGAUUCCAGUCCAUGCCAUUCAUAGAUCUGGGCUUCUAGGACACGAAUCACACGUAAAGUUUCCAACUUUACGUGUGGAUAUUCACCAAUAUGGAUUUUAGGGCUCAAAAUGUCUCAAAAGGGUAGAUCUAGGGCUAACAAGCAACAUGGGGCCAUAAAGCUAACAGAUCUGAGCUCCUGGAGCUCAAUCUUGCCUAGAUCCAGAGGCCAAACAUCUUAUUACGACAUACAAUGCACAUACAAGCUUGGGGAUUUGACCAAGAAGGACCCAAAUGAAGUUUUAAGCAUAGAAUCAAGGGGAAAACGGGUUAUACCUCAAAGGAACUGCUGGAAGAACACAAAUAAUGCCUGGAUGGCUUCCCUUCUUCUGGAUCUACUUCCUUCCUCCUUCCAAACCUUCAAAAACACACACACUAACCUCAAACUCUCAAGGAAUAGCUUAGAACGAGAGAUACAGGGCUUUAAGGGUCAAUGGGGGCCGGCUUGGGGCUGAUAAGUCCUUUAAAUAGGGUGCAAACCCCUGAAACUUAGGGUUUCAUCCAACAGCUAUGACUCGCCGAGUCCAGGAUAUGGACUCGCCGAGUCGCCAACUUAAACGUGUCCCGGGUCCCGCAUCCACUCGGCGAGUCGGACCUAUGACUCGCCGAGUCCAAGGCUAAAAGAAAGGAAAUACUCAAAUAACAUUUACGUACCAGGAACCGGGUGCUACAGUACAUCAGUUGUAUCAAAACCAUCUUUUAAAUGUUAGAAUGAUUUUUAUGUUAUGAUAAUCUUUGGUUUUUGGGAAACAAGCAUGGAUUUCUUUUUAGCUUGCAUCAUGUUAAUGAUUCGACCGAAGUGGCUUGCAUCAUGCUUGCAACUAUGACUCCUGAACUUCAAAAAACUUUUGAGUUUCAUGAAGCAUUUGAAAUGAUUGAACAACUGAGUCAUGUUUCAAGUUCAGGCUAAGCAAGAUAGGUUUGAGACCUUGAAUGCUUUCAUUGGUUGCAAGAUGGACAAAGGAUCUUUUGUGAGGUCACAUGUACUAAAAAUAAAAGCUUAUGUUGACCAACUUUCCUGCCUCAGAUUCUAAUUUGGGGAUGAGCUAAAGACCAAUGUGAUCCUGGCCUCACUGCCUAAGUCAUUCAACCAAUUUUUGAUGAACUUCACAAUGAAUUAUUAGGAGAUGAGCAUUAAUGAGCUUCAUAACUUGCUCAAAAUUGUUGUGAAAAACGUCAAGAAGUCUGGGAACAAUCAAGUGCUGAUGAUUCAUGAGGGUCUAAUCUCUAAGAAGAAAACUAGUACUAAUAUCGGUUAGGGGAAAGGAAAAGCUGCCAAGAAAGGCAAGGGCAAGGGAAAGGGUAAAGGGAAGCCUCCUUCCACUAACCCAACUCCUAAACCCAAGCCUACUGCUAAUGUUGAUUGCUUUAAAUGUAAUGAAAAUGAACAUUGGAAGCGCAACUGUCCCAAAUACCUAUAGGAACUUAAGAAGAUCAAAGCCAACUAGUUUGGCACCUCAGGUAAUAUGUGAUUGAAUUACAUGCAUUCCGUACUAAUUCUUGGGUAUUCUAUACUGGAAGUGGUACUAACAUCUGGAAUGAUUUGCAGGGACUAAGGAAUGUUAGAGAACUAAGAGAUGGCGAUUUGGAACUUCAUGUUGGCAAUGGCAAUCGAGUAGCUAUCAAAGCCAUAGGACAAUAUCAUCUUUUUCUUCCAAAUGUCCUUAAUCUUAUUUUUAACAAUUGUUGUUAUGUACCUAGUAUAACUAGGAAUAUUAUAUCUACUUCUCGCUUGUAUGAACAAGGUUGUCGUUAUAAGUUUGACUUUGAUUUUGAAAACAUUUUCGUGUUUAAGGAUAAUGUGUUCUAUUUUGAGACUAGUCCCACAAAUGGAAUAUACGAAAUCGAUUUAAAUGGUUCAUACACAAAGGAUAAUUCAAUAUUCAACUUAAAUAAGAAAACAAAGUUAGACUCAAAUAAAACUUUUUUUUGGCAUUGUCGACUUGGGCACAUAAGUAAAACUAGCAUUACUAAGCUCCAAAAGGAUGUGAUAUUAGAGUCAACAGGCUCAAAGUCUUUUGAUGUAUGUGAAUCAUGUAUAUGUGGCAAGAUGACCAAAGCUUUGUUUACCGGUGUUGGUGAAAGAGCUUCGGAUCUAUUAGGACUCAUACAUACUGAUUUAUGUGGACCUUUUAGAACAAUGACCAUAAGCGGUGAAAGAUACUUCAUUACACUUAUUGAUGAUUACAGUAGAUUUGGAUAUGUGUAUCUCAUGAAACACAAAUAUGAACAUUCAAUGUCUUCAAGGUUUUCCAAACUGAAGUACAUAAUCAACUUGGUAAAAAUAUUAAACCCAUACGAUCAGAUCGUGGUGGUGAAUAUCUGAGAUAUGAGUUUGAUGAACAUCUGAAGAAUUGCGACAUAGUGUCACAACUCACUCCACCGGGAACACCUCAGCAUAAUGGUGUCUCAGAAAUAAGAAAUCAUACUCUACUUGAUAUGGUGCGAUCAAUGAUGAGUGAUACUUCCCUUCCUCAUUUAUUUUGGGGUUAUGCCCUUGAAACCGCAGUUCGAACUGUAAACAUGGUCCCAACUAAAAAGGUUAGUAAGACUCCCUACAUGUUAUGGCAUGGAAAGGAUCCAUCAGUGUCUUUCUAAAAUAUAUGGGGUUGUGAAGCAUAUGUUAAAAGAGAAACUUCUGACAAGCUUGACCCUAGAUUUCAUAAGUGUAUCUUUGUUGGAUACCCAAAAGAAACCGGGUGUUCAUAGCUCGUAAAACAAUGUUUCAUGUAACUGAAUUUAUCUUGCAUAAAGUAAGUGGGAGCCCCCUUGACCUCGAAGAAAUUCGAGAGAAACAACCUUUAGUUGAAAACGAUAAUCAACAAAGCAUUUUUGAACAUGAACUUAUUAUUCAGAUGCCGGAAACCACACCAAUUGUACGAUGUUCCAGUAGAACUCCUCAUGAACCUGACAAAUUUGGAUUUGUCAUUCCUGAAUAGGAAGUCUUCUUGAUGGAUCAAUAUGAGCCCAUCAACUAAAAGGAUGCUACUGCAGACCCAAAGUCUAACAAAUGGCUUGAAGCCAUGAGAACUAAAAUCCAAUCCAUGAAUGACAAUCAAGUAUGGGACUUGGUUGAUUUACCUCCUAACAGUAGAGCUGUUGGAAGCAAGUGGAUCUUCAAGAAGAAGAUCUACAUGGACGGAAAUGUACUCAAAUUCAAGGUGUUGACUAUGAAGAUACCUUCUCGCCAUUUGCUAAGAUUGAAUCUAUUAGAAUUAUCAUGGCAAUAGCUGCAUAUUAUGACUAUGAGAUUUGGCAAAUGGAUGUCAAAACCACGUUCCUUAACGGAUAUCUUGAGGAAGAUGUUUUUAUGGAACAAUCUGAAGGUAUUGUCAAGCCGGAUAACCUAAAGAAGGUACGUAAACUAAAGAAGUCCAUUUAUGGAUUAAAACAAGCAUCUGGGGUGUGGUAUCAUCGUUUUGAUGAAAAGUGUUGGGUUUUGAGCAUUCUAACACUCCUAUGGUGUACAUGCAACCCUAAAUACCUUGGAUCUAUGUUUUCUCUAUUAUACAUGAAAUAUCAAUUUCCAAGGUAUUUAUCCUAACUAGCAUAUUAUGAAGUACAAGUAAUAUAGAAACUAGUAGAAAUACAUACCUCUUUGUUGGUGCUUGAUUCCAUGGAGCUCAAGAGCCUAGUGCCCCAAAUGUGACACCUCAAAUGGUUCACACAACAUCAUAUGCACGUGGAAUAACUUAGACAGAAAUCAUCACUUCAUGAAAUCGACUUGCCCUCCAUAUACACACAUAGUGGCCGAUUUUUCACAAGAAUAUGAUGCUUAUAUAGUUGUUACAAUUAGGGUAAACCCUAAUUGUCAUGGCUUUCCAUUUCCUUAGAUCCAUGGGUUCAAAUACACCAUGGAGCAUCCAUGGAGUAUCCUAUGGGUUUUAGCCUAACUUAACAAUCCAUGGAGUCUUAGCCCACUAUACAGGUAUGUAUGAUAUACACAACCAACCCAUAUAUUUAAUUAGUCUUCUUUUGAUCACUUAAUUAAUUCUAGAUUAAUUCUUGAUCAAUAUUAAUUAAAUAAUCUUAUUAAUAUAUUAUAACUUAUAAUAUAUUAAUAAACCUUAAGUGUUAUUUCUCUCAUUUUAUUCUAUCCAAAUGCAUGAUGCCAUGCAACCCAAAUGGACUAUGUCGGGUCGGGUCAAGUAUAUACCAAUUAUAGUUAUGGACUUAGACACUAAUCCAACAAUCUCCCACUUGGAUAAGUCUAAUAACUAUCAUUGCAAGUACGGCUUCACAACCCGACCAGCAAUCAUAGCUCUUAAAAGUUGUUGCCGAUCUCUGAACAAAUCAAUGACGCGUCCAUUAGAUAAAUGAUCAUAUAUUCCUCCAUUCUAGACAUCAUAUGGACUGAGACAUGGAUUAUAAUCAUUCUCUCUGCCAUUUGUUAUUUCCCGAUGUCUGAUUUAAGAUGAUCAACUAAUUGAACAAAUCAAAUCAGUCCAGGCUUAGCCAAGCACUUAGGGGUGCCAUCACUAAAUCAUCUAGGGGCCCACAGAUAUCUCUUUUAUCCCAUUAAGGGUAAAAGGAAUGGAGAAACUCCAACUCAUAUGCUUGUACUGACUACUAUUUGAAUCAUACAUAAAUUCACGUUUAUAACAUCGAGUUACCAAUGCGUUUUCGUGCAAUCAAUGUAUAACCAACUCGUAGUCAACAACUGAUAUCUCUAGGUUUGAAGAAUAUAAGAUAUUAUGUGGUGUAAGUGUUCUUAUCCAUGUGAAUUUGUCAUCACCAUAAUCACAAGACAAGGUGUCACACCCCAAAACCGAGAACGGCGGAAACGUUCUGGGGCGGAGGACGUCAUGUAAUGUAUCACAAUAAAUGUAAAGUAGUAAACAAGCAACAACAUCGUCCAUUCAUUAAUAGUAAAAGUUUAAUAUAUGUGUGUUCUUUCAUAGUAAUAAGACAUUACAACAAGUAAUCAAAAUAAAAGACGAGUCUUGACUGCUCUGUCUUCGCAAAACCUGGUCAUCGUACCUGUCUACUGGUGACCUGAGAAUACAAGUUAUUUUGAAAGUGUAGGUCAGCAUUUAAGCUGGUGAGUUCAUAAGUAUUUAAUGUCAUCGUUUGUAUAAGUAUGAAGAAAACAUUUGGAAUUAUUCAAUGUAAUUGUUUGUAUAAGUUUGAAGAAAACGUUUGGAAUGAAUCAAUGUAAUUUUUCAUAUAAGUUUGAAGAAAACGUUUGGAAUUAAUCAACGUAAUUGUUUGUAUAAGUUUGAAGAAAACGUUUGGAAUGAAUCAAUGUAAUUGUUUGUAUAAGUUUGAAGAAAACGUUUGGAAUUAAUCAACGUAAUUGUUCGUAUAAGUUUGAAGAAAACGUUUGGAAUUAAUCAAUGUAAUUGUUUGUAUAAGUUUGAAGAAAACGUUUGGAAUUAAUCAAUGUAAUUGUUCGUAUAUGUUUGAAGAAAACGUUUGGAAUUAAUCAAUGUAAUUUUUCUUAUAAGUUUGAAGAAAACGUUUAAAAUUGUUCUACAUUUGUAUAAAACUGAAUAAAAUAGUUUGUACAUGUUUGAAAGUUUCUAGAAAAUCUGAUAUUUUCUACUAGUAUAACCAUACUAAGGCAUUUGAUAAUCCCGUAAACCAGUGUGUUUCUAAUACUCCAUGUGAGUUUUAUAACCAUACUAAUGACCCAGACUUCCUGUAACAACGUUCUUCAGGCGUUGAAAUGUUAUGACAUUUGUCACCCCAGGCCUGCGGGCCUAGCUGUAGCUAACAACUUAGGUGCGGGAUUGUCAAUCCCGUAUAGAUCUAUACACAAGUAUCACGCUCCCCCUACAAUGGAUUAUGGUAUGUAAUACAGGACUUAAAAUGCAUACUCGAAAGUACGUGAAAUGUCUCACAAAACUUAGUAUCAAACAGAUUUACGUAUGAAAAUGUCCAUUUGUUCUUGAAUAUGAAAGUAUUUCUUUGAUAUAGUAUUUCUAGUAUGUAAAUGUUCAUGAUUUCCUCGUAAACUAUACCUAUUAUAGUCAUUCAAAGUGUGUGUUUCGUUCGUAUAGCAAAUCCUAGUGUAAUGUUCACUUGUUAUGUAAAGUAUAACAUCUAAAAUGACAUAAAUGAUCACAUAUACUUAAAGUAUAAAUAAAGGGUUUGAUUCGCAUAUCUAACUACUUUAUAAUACAUACAUCUUGGUGGGGACCACAAAAUUUAAGACAAAGUCUUAAAAACAAGGGGAAUCAAUUUUGACCUUAGAUUUUUUUUGAACGGUGGAGAUUAUAUUAUUGUUGGUGAUCCAAGUAAACAUCUUUAAACCAAUCACAAACAAGUAUUCUAGAUUUUCAAUUCUUUAAAGUUUAUGUCUUCCAUAUUUAAAUUUACAGGGAACGGGAAAGAAAUCACCUUUCAUUUAAAAUCACAUUUCUCAUCUUCUCGAAUUGCCGUCUCUCUAGAACCUCCUCACUAUCUUCAUCUUCUCCAUUAACGACUCUGGAGAUCAAUGUCAUCAUUACCUUUACUUACAGCUAAUCCGUUCACCAUUACCUUACUUCCAUCAAACCCCCACACCAACAAUAGAGUUUCUCAUGACAUUCUCCCUCUCUCUUUCUUCAACGCCACCUCCAUUCUCAAACACGGGUAGGAUAAAAUUUUUUCAAAUCUUUAUGUGUAGAUCCAUUUGUGUGUGUGUUUUACAGAAAGAGACUAAGGCCACAGGUAGGAUAAAACAUUUAAAAUCUUUAUGUGUGUGUUUUAGGGAUCUAUAUGUAUGUAAACCUAUUUAUAUGUAUAAAUUUGUGUAUUUAUGUUUAAUAUAUUUUCGAUUUUGAUGUUCUAAGAGUUUUAUAUUUCAUAUUUUCAGAUUUGAAUCUGCAAAUUCUACACAAAAAGACAAAAAGUUGGAUCUCUUAUAAUCUGUUGUAGAUAUUUGUAGGUCUUACUUACUCAAUGCAGUGUAGAUAUGUGUUUUAGAUGUGUUUUUUGUUGUAUUUUGUAAGUAUCUAUAUUUUGUUUAAAGAUAAAUGAAUUAAUUAGUUCUAUGUUUUUUAUUAUUAUUAUUUAGAUAUGUAUAAUGGAUUUCAAUGAUUUGGAAUAAGAACUAGGAACUGUAUGUCACAGAUUAAGAUUUGUAUUGCAUAAAUUACGUUUGAUUUUUUACAUCUAGAUUUUUAAUAAUUUUAUAUUUUGAUGCAUGAGUGAAGGACAUAAAAACACAACAAAACUAAUUUCCGGUUUUUGUUUUUCUCUUUAGAUGUAAGGUUUUGAUGGUAAAACCUAAAGGUGCAAAAUUUGUUGUUCCAUGAUUUAGUGUGAUUUGUAUAUUCUAUCUAUUUGUAUUAGUAUUGAAUGAGUUAUUUGUUUAUUUUUAUUAAUAAACGAGAAAAAUAUUUCCCUUUUUUUGUGUAGAAUAGUCUUUCUAUUUUUAAAUAUUUGGAGUUAUACUUUUUAUAUAAAAAAACUUGAAUGAGAUAUUGUAACUAUUCUAUUUACAAAUAAAAAAAUAUUUUGCUAGACAAAAAAUAAAUAACAAUUGAAAUAUUUUGAAGAGGUUGUAAAUUUUGUUUAUAGAUAAAAAUAUUAUGUUUGAGUAUAUAAUAUUAAAUAAGGAAAACUGUUUUCUUAUAAGAAACGAUUAACUUAAUUAAUAAAUGACUUUUGUAAACAAAAUUAUAAGGAAAAAAAUCAAAGAUAAAAAUGGCGUUGCAAAAAAAUAGAAAGAGUUAAGAUUCUUUCAAAUAUGCUGAUUAUCAUAAAUGUUGCGAUUGGUACAAAGUGCUUUGGGUAUUCUAACAGUUUAAAAAAAAAAAAACUUUUAGGUUUGUGAAAAGAAAUGUGGCGAUAUCAUGGGUUUGUAAAAUACGUCUUUUCGUUAAAAAAAUGAUUUUUUUAUAUUUAAUACUAAUAUUCAUUUUACAUUUAUAUUUAAUUAUAAAACUUUUUGAUUAAUAUAACAAAAUAGACGUCAUUUCAUUUUAAAAAAUGAAAUCAAUUAUGUAUAAGGUAUAUCCAAAUUUAUAAAUAGUUGUUUUUUAUACAAACAACAGUUUAGGAUGAUUAACAGUCUAGGAUGAUUAGAAAAAAAUUUGUCUAUAAGUUAAUAUGCUAACAUAAAAGAUGUUAUAUAAACAAGUUAAAAUAACAAAUAUUACUGCAUAAUAUUUUAAAUUUUUUUGAAUCUCUAGAUAUAUGAUUAUGUUGUUUUAAUGGGUUUUGUUUUGCAAAAUUUACUAUGAAUUAAGAAACCACAAAAAUAUAAACACUUGAAAGAUUAAUACAAGUGAAAAACAAUAAGUGAGUUUCCUUAAAAAAAAUGAUAUGUACAAAGAAAAAAAGUGAUUAAAUGUAUAUAACUUUGUACAUAUUUUUUAUUAUCUUUCAUAUUUAAAUAAUGGGUUAAUAACUUUUUUUGGACGGGAGUUUUAGUUUUUUCAAUAUCUCUGAAUAAAAUAUAAAUGAUUUUGAACUAUUACUUUUAUCCAAAAAUCUAACACACUUAAUUUUUUGUUAAUUUUUGGUAACAAAAGAACGAAUUAAAAAAAAAAUUCUAAUUUAUUGAAUUUUAACAUGCUAAAAAAAUUGACAACUUUAAGUGUAUUUAAUUAUAUCUUAUAAUAAUCAUAUAAUACUAUUUUAUUAAACUUAUAAUUAUUAUAUAAAUAUAUAUACUAAACGAAGCCUUAAACCAGAUCCUCCCGUUUUUACUAUUUCGUUUAUUAGAAGUAUUUAAGAAUUUUAUUUGUUGCUUAUUAGCUUAUUACUUAUUUGCUUAUUGUGGUGAGAAUAAAUAUUUUUUUAAAAUGUGUUUGGAUUAGCAUAUUGCGGUGGGAAUAAACAAUAAGUAAUAAACAUUUAAGUGUUUGACAAAAUAAAACAACUUAUAUGAGUAAAAUGACCAAUAAACAAUAAAUAAUAAGCAAUAAGCAUUCCCCCUCUUGCUUAUUAAAAUCAGUUUAUUUUGUUUAUUCCUACCGCAAUAAGUUGAUUUUUAAAGAUUACUAUCCAAACACUUAAAUUUGCUUAUUGCGGUUGGGUUUAGCAAUAAGCAAUAAUCAACUUAUUUUUUCCCUAUCAAAACACCCACGUAAUAUUAAUUCCAAAGCCAACUACACGAUUUAUAUUUGGAUUUGGAUUACAAGCACAAAGGUAACACAUCAUCAAAUAUGAAAUUUAUUAAUUUAUCAUUGUGGUCCCAUUUUUUCAACUAUUUGUAUUACCCUCAUUUUAAGUAUAUUUUAAAAACUAAAAAACACAUCUUUAUUUAAAACCAAAACAAGAAUGCAUGUAAAAUAAUUGCACACAAAGAAUAUAUUCUAGAAAUAAAUUUCUGAAUCAAAACAAAUUGCGGAAAAAACUUUUUUCGCUAUAAUUUGUAAUCCAUUNUUUUUUUUUAAUUUUUUAAAAAUUUUUUUUUUUUUUUUUUUUUUUUUUUUUUUUUUUUUUUUUUUUUUUUUUCUAAAAAUAAUAAGACUUUUCUGUUAAAAAAAAUUAAGACUUUGAUUUCUGAUAAAAAAAAAAGACGAGUCAAGAAAAAGACCUGUACGAAAAACGAACGGUCGAGACAACCCGUAAUACAUCGAAAGCAAAUUAUUCGUUGUUCGGGAAAAAUUUACUAAUCUCCGGAAUGAAAUUAAUCGUCGUCCGCUGCAUCGCGCGGGUAGCCUACUAGNNNNNNNNNNNNNNNNNNNNNNNNNNNNNNNNNNNNNNNNNNNNNNNNNNNNNNNNNNNNNNNNNNNNNNNNNNNNNNNNNNNNNNNNNNNNNNNNNNNNNNNNNNNNNNNNNNNNNNNNNNNNNNNNNNNNNNNNNNNNNNNNNNNNNNNNNNNNNNNNNNNNNNNNNNNNNNNNNNNNNNNNNNNNNNNNNNNNNNNNNNNNNNNNNNNNNNNNNNNNNNNNNNNNNNNNNNNNNNNNNNNNNNNNNNNNNNNNNNNNNNNNNNNNNNNNNNNNNNNNNNNNNNNNNNNNNNNNNNNNNNNNNNNNNNNNNNNNNNNNNNNNNNNNNNNNNNNNNNNNNNNNNNNNNNNNNNNNNNNNNNNNNNNNNNNNNNNNNNNNNNNNNNNNNNNNNNNNNNNNNNNNNNNNNNNNNNNNNNNNNNNNNNNNNNNNNNNNNNNNNNNNNNNNNNNNNNNNNNNNNNNNNNNNNNNNNNNNNNNNNNNNNNNNNNNNNNNNNNNNNNNNNNNNNNNNNNNNNNNNNNNNNNNNNNNNNNNNNNNNNNNNNNNNNNNNNNNNNNNNNNNNNNNNNNNNNNNNNNNNNNNNNNNNNNNNNCCGGGGCUUUGGGAGGGUCUCGGGGGCUUAAACGCAGAGUUUCGGCGCGAGAAAGAAGGGAACUGAGCAAUGGAACUCGGAGCCCUUGAAAUAUAUUUAUAGGGGCAUUUUUGAGGUGUGCCACGUCAUGGCAAGGGAUGGACACGUCGUGGGGAGUCAAACUUAUCCUCUUCCAUUGAUUGGACGCCCUCAGUCACUUGUCGGGUCGCGGCAAGCUUGUGCCACGUCGUAGCAAGCCUGACAGCCUCGGAUUUCGAACGUCGAAUUUGUAAAACCCAUAACUUUUGCGUACGAGCUUCGUUUUGACGUUCUUUAUAUGCAUGCGUAGCUGAAAAUAUGCUCUACAACUCUCGUUUAGACUUCAUUGGCUAAUUUUGACUUUAUUUUUAAUUAUUUAUUUUUAACAGGCCGGGACACGAAAAUUACGUUAAAAUUCCAUAACUUCUUCAUCCGAUGUCCGUUUUCGUCAGACUUUUCGCCGUUGCGCUACUAUUUUUGAGACCUUCGAUUCUCAUUUAGGUUGUUUCGGUCAAAAGUCUCUCGAGCUCUAUUUCGAGUUUUUAGCUGUCUACUGUUAUAUCCGGAUCUUGGAAAAAUCAUAACUUCCUCAUACGAAGUCAGAUUUGGACGUUCUUUUUAUGUACGCUCACGGUUUAAUGUUAUCUACAACUUUCAUUUAGAUACUUAAGGCUAAAAACUAUUGUAUUGAAAUUUCGUGUUUUUCGUUUAAUCGGUGUUGCCGGUUUUGCCGCGAACUUUCGGUUGGUCAUAACUUCUUCGUUAUAACUCGGAUUUUAGGGUUCUUUAUAUAUACAAAAACCUUGAUGCGAUUUGUACUACUUUAUUUAACCCAAAUAUGAUUUUAGGAAAGUUAUAUUUUGACCUAAAUUUGACUGGUUUUACAUUACAUUGUCUCUAAAUAUCGGGUUGUCACAUCAUCCCCCCGUUAGAGACUAUUUCGUCCCGAAAUUAGAGUUUUAAGCAGAAUUGAUAAAUAUGCUACGGAUAAAAGUUUUAUUUGCUCCUCGUGUUCUUAAGUGAACCCAGGUCCUCGCUUGGCAUUCCAGCGAACCUUUCACUAUCGGGAUACAACUUUGCUUGUUUCGUUUGACUUCCCUGGUAUGAUAACUCCUCUUUGUCGAACGUGUGUUGAGUGUUUUUGUCGUCUGUGAGAGUAUUACACCUUGUACCUUACAAGUAGUGUCUCCAGAUCUUCAGAGCAAUUACCAUUUCUCCUGACUCAAGAUCAUGUGUUGUAUAGUUAACUUCUUGCGUCUUAAGCUAUCUUGAGGUAUAUGCAGUGACCUUUCCUCUUGCAUAAGAACACAACCAAGCCGUUGGUUGGAUGCAUUGCAUUACACCAUGAAAUAUUCUAUCCCUUUUGGGAGGGAUAAUAUUGAUGUGAUGCGUCAGGCUUACUUUAGCGUUUGGAACGCUCUUUCUUGUUUAUAGACAAGUCUGGUGCUCCUCCAAGUGAGAAACUUGGCCGAAGGAAUCCUCUUUUGAGGAGUUCGUUAAGCUGUCUGGGAAGUUCUAGUAUCUUAGUUAGAGUUAGACGAUAAGGUGACUUGGCUACUGGGGUAGCCCUUGUAACUAAGUCAAUUCUGAACUCGAAUUGACGUUGUGGUGGUAAUCCCGGUAGUUCUUCUGGAAAGGUGUUGGGAAAGUCGCGUACUUUUGGGAUGUUCUGAAUGUCCUUCGCUUCUUGGCUCGUAUCGACGAUGUGUGAUAUUCCCUUCGUAAGCGCUUUUGAGAUUAAAUACAUGAAAUGAUGCGAAGGUUCGUACCUGAUUUGUCUCCGUAAAUAACAAGAGGUUCUGUGAUAGGGAGGUUAAGAUGAACUGCUUUAUCAAAGCACCUGAUUUCGGCUCGACGUAGACUUAACCAACUCCUACUGAUUAUGAUGUCAAAACCUUGGGGUGGAUUAGAUGUCGUGAAGAUCUAAAAGAAAGUAUGACUACUCAUGAAUUAGGGAAAAGGAUAGGUAUUUCUAAGUUUAUUCUCACGGAAGCACGAUCACUCUCAGUCUUGGGCAGUCUCCGUCUAGAAGUUCAUAGUAGAACUCAUACCUGGUUCAUUAAUCACAAUCUUGGGUAUACGAGUCGUAUAUAAUUAAGAUUGAAACUGUGGGUCUUUGGAUUGAACUUGACGUACUGCACGAGUGGUACUUCGGGGAGGUUUGCUGAGGUUUCUUUGGAAAGGGUAAGAAACAUGACAUACUCUACGCAUGAGUACUUAGGAGUUCUGAAGUGAUAGUUUCAUUAGAAAGAUGAUUUUGGAGAAAGAGAUUUACGCACGAAACUGGUAUUGUGAGGAUCAAAUAGACUCUGAUCGUAUGAUGAAAUCGGAAUCACUUGGAAAUAAAGACACUAGAUUCGAUCAUAAAGGCGUUACAGACAAAACACAACAGUGCAACUUUUUUAAUAGAGUUACAGUACUUUAGAGUAACUACAGGAAUACUGCUGCGAACGAAGUACACUAUAAAAGGCAAGUAUACGCAGCACGAGGGUCCCUUAACUGACGGGAUCUCGCAAGAGAUAAUACUCGAGUUGCACUAGUUCUAAACAUGUUUUAAAAACAUACAUAAUACUGACGAUUGGAAGUGAACCUAUACUAUAGUAGGGUCCUUCAUUGCCUCUUUCCAUUAUGAGGUCAAACUCCUCCGGAUUCGCCGUCGUUCUCCUCUAUUGGACAGUCCCUCUUAAAGUGUCCCAUUACGCCACAUAGAUGGCAUAUUCGAGAGAUUUCGACAUUGGUGGUUGAAGUAAUGUGUUGGAUCCGAGUCUUGCAAUAAUGGACGGUGUGUCCCUUUUUAUUGCAAUUUAAGCACUGCAUUUUCCAACAAAGUCCAUGAUCGUGGUAGUUGCAUUUGUUGCACUUUGGGAGAUUGCCAGCAUACUGUCUGGCCGGGUUGGGGAUAACUGGGAUACUAGAAGAAAUGGUAGUAGGAGGUAUAGAAGUCGUGGCUGUGAAGGUUGCCACAGGUUGUUGUCUUUUGCUUGCCCCUUGGGGUGAUUUGCCUUUAGCCUUAGCCCAAAACUUUCGUUUGUUAUUCUUGCGCUUGAGAUUCGGGGUGUCGUGGUAGUUUGUUGUUCAUCGAGGUACUUGAUCGUUACUUGGAUUGGAAUUAUUGUUAACAAUCCCGCUAACAUUCGCGUUGUUAGCAUUAAGGUGGACCAGAAUAGCUGACACGACAGCCGAGACUGCAGCUUGAAAGGUAGCCGCAUUAAUCUAAAGAGUUGGUGUUUGGUUGAUGGGUUGAUCAUUUUUCUUCGGCGACAUGAUUCUGUUACACGGAAAGAAAAAUGAAUUUGUGAGCGAGUAUGGUUGAACCUAGACGUAGUUCGAUUGUUCAUGUAAAGAAUAGAAGUAUGUUCUCUAAGGUUUGACCUAUAUCCCUAUGAUGUCGUCCUAGUAUGGAGUAGAAGUAAGCUCGUAGAGUGGUCUCAAGACGUUUAUCGUCCAAUCCAGGGUAUUAUUGGUUGGUAAAUAACAUGAUCCAACCUUUGAAAGAGACUUGGAAAUGAUUCCAGAGUUAAACUACCAUAGUCCAAUAACUUGACUAGAUGGGGUUUCAGAUAGACUCCAAUGAAAUCAUGAUGAAAGCAUUUGAACAAAGAUUGACACGGAAGUUAGACGACUGUCGAUAUCAUUGAUGUUUAAGAUUUAAUAGGUUUGGGGAAAUUGACCUUGUUGUAAGUCUUACAUCAUAUUCAGGGAAGAAAAGUCUUCGACAACAUAAGGACUUAAAUAAAAGUACUUACAGUACAAGGUAAUUACAUAGAAAGUACUACACAGAUCAUAGGCAAGAACAUGGUUCUAUAAAACAAAGAAGGAAGUAAGGUAUCUCCCACUGGUGAUGGUCACGCCUAUGGUGAACCCUUAGUUCGGCUAGUUGACGUUCCAUAUCCAGCAGGUAUCUUUCGUACACCCUCUGGCGUACUUGGAGUUCUAUGACAUCGGCUCGUGAUUCAGCCAGUGCUUGAAGUAGUGCUUCAUGGUCUCUCUCAGAGCUCUCACGAGCAUCUUCCAGACGAAUGGUGCGGAGGGUAUGCAUUCUCGCAUUGGUAUUAACCUCUUCGAUACAUUAGAGAGCCGUCCUGCCCUGAAUUUCGUUUCGGGCAACUCUACGGAUUAGGAUUGGUAGAACUUUGUCUGCUGAGCUCCCUUCGUUUACGUUGUAGAAGCUUCGGUCUCCAUUAAACGGCAUAGGUUGAUAUUGCUCUUCGCUCCAUGUUUCCAUGCAUUCUACCCAAGGAGGCGUCGGGCCAUAAAAAGCGGGACGAGGUUUAGGAUUUAGAAAUGGAGCUACCGGGGGUAGGUUCUCAACCUCGGUUUCGGAGUUGUCAACAUCUGAAAGGUUUUCAACAUGGUGAUCAUUCAAAGGGAUUGGAUGAUCAUUCUCUGGUCCUUCUCCAACCCAUCCAACAAUGACUUCGUUCGGAAAGUACGGGUUGCCAUGGGGAUGGAGUCCAGCCAUGUUAUCUACGCGAGAAUUGGGGUAAGGAAAUAAUUAUUAGACGAACUAUCUAGAUAAUUAUUAGAAAAUCUUCAUUAGUUACAUCGCUAUUUGUAAAGUGCAUACCAGUCAUAUGUAAUCAACACAGGAUAGGCUUUCGAAUAAGUGACCUUAACUCCAAAUUCACAAGGAAUAGGGGUAAAGCAAAAAUUUCACCGAUUCUAAGUCUAUAACAUCCUAGUUACAUAUAGCCUUAGUGUAUCCACUUAACAACUAUCAACUUAGUAAUGAAGAUCCUUUUUAGUUCUCAAGUAAGUAAUUAUGGUAACCCAAAACACCCCUAUGGUAUUUUAGACUUAGGUUCUGUUAUAAUGUUCUCAUUGUGGUAAUGUUGGUAAGUUUUUAGACUUGUUGCCAUAUNAGUUUUGACCAUAUGUCUCUAAGCCCACUUGUGUUGCCCAACAAUCGUAAUUCUUUUGUACUGUCCUACUGACAUUGAUUUUAGUAUGAAUGCAGGCACGUAUACUCACUUAAAUAUUUUAUUAUUUUAAAGUAUAAACUCUAAAUCAGAGUAUUUUUAAUCCCAUUGUAUUUAUAGUUAGUAUAUCUUUUAUGGGUUGAUAUACUCAAUUCACUAUAAACAAUGCUCUGAUACCAAUCUGUCACACCCCAAAACCGAGAACGGCGGAAACGUUCUGGGGCAGAGGAUGUCAUGUAAUGUAUCACAAUAAAUGUAAAGUAGUAAACAACCAACAACAUCGUCCAUUGCAUUAAUAGUAAAAGUUUAAUACAUGUGUGUUCUUUCAUAGUAAUAAGACAUUACAACAAGUAAUCAAAAUAAAAGACAAGUCUUGACUGCUCUGUCUUCGCAAAACCUGGUCAUCGUACCUGUCUACUGGUGACCUGAGAAUACAAGUUAUUUUGAAAGUGUAGGUCAACAUUUAAGCUGAUGAGUUCAUAAGUAUUUAAUGUCAUCGUUUGUAUAAGUAUGAAGAAAACAUUUGGAAUUAUUUAAUGUAAUUGUUUGUAUAAGUUUGAAGAGAAUGUUUGGAAUUAAUCAGUGUAAUUUUUCAUAUAAGUUUGAAGAAAACGUUUGGAAUUAAUCAACGUAAUUGUUCGUAUAAGUUUGAAGAAAACGUUUGGAAUUAAUCAAUGUAAUUGUUUGUAUAAGUUUGAAGAAAACGUUUGGAAUUAAUCAAUGUAAUUUUUCGUAUAAGUUUGAAGAAAACGUUUGAAAUUGUUCUACAUUUGUAUAAAACUGAAUAAAAUGGUUUGUACAUGUUUGAAAGUUUCUAGAAAAUUCGAUAUUUUCUACUAGUAUAAAAGUAUUCUUCUACCAAGACUCGACUAUUUUGUAUGCUUACCUUUAGAAGUCCAAUAUCUGUUCAUAAGUGUGUGUGUGUGGUUUAAAAACUCCAAAACUAUAACAAAAUGAUGUUUUUCAUGCCUAAAUAAUAGUUAUGUGUAAAUAUAAAAUCACUAAGGCAUUUGAUAACCCCAUAAACCAAUGUGUUUCUAAUACUCCAUGUGAGUUUUAUAACCAUACUAAUGACCCAGACUGCCUGUAACAACGUUCUUCAGGCGUUGAAAUGUUAUGACAUUUGUCACCCCAGGCUUGCCGGCCUAGCUGUAGCUAACAGCUCAGGUGCGGGAUUGUCAAUCCCGUAUAGAUCUAUACACAAGUAUCACGCUCCCCCUACAAGGGAUUAUGGUAUGUAAUACAGGACUUAAAAUGCAUACUCGAAAGUACGUGAAAUGUCUCACAAAACUUAGUAUAAAACAUAUUUACGUAUGAAAAUGUCCAUUUGUUCUUGAAUAUGAAAGUAUCUCUUUGAUAUAGUAUUUCUAGUAUGUAAAUGUUCAUGAUUUCCUCGUAAACUAUACCUAUUAUAGUUAUUCAAAGUGUGUGUUUCGUUCGUAUAGUAAAUCCUAGUGUAAUGUUCACUUGUUAUGUAAAGUAUAACAUCUAAAGUGACAUAAAUGAUCACAUAUACUUAAAGUAUAAAUAAAAGGGUUUGAUUCGCAUAUAUAUAUAAACAUGUUUUAUUUCCAAAAGACAAGAUGUUAUCGUGAAUAUAUAUAUCAUACGAAAGUUCCUAUGAAGUAGUUAUGAAUCACAUAUGAUUCACUCGAUAAAAAGAGUAUAUGGUGAAACUUUAUGUUACACACGAUAACAACCGUGUGUUUACUUGUAUUCCCCCCCUUUAAAAGUGUAUACAACGAUUUAAAAGUAGUUUGUUUGAUAAGACAGUGUAAAGUAAAAGAAAUCCCUUGUUUGAAAACACAGUUAUAAAUCACAUAUGAUUGAUUAUAUAACAAAGAGUAUAACAACAGAUUUAUGUUUUUCACACGGUGAUAAUCGUGUGUUUACUUGUAUUCCCCCCCCUUUAAAGUGUAUAAAAUGCAUUUAUAAAACAUUUGAAAGUGUUGUUUGUAGGGGUAGGAACUCACUUGAUUGAAGUGGUUGAUUUGAAGUAGUCGAGAAAAGAAUCAAGCAGAACUUCGACAGGAAGAGUUGAAAACGCGGGAAAUCUCGGGAUUCUUGGGAAACUUGGGAAUCUCGGGAACACAAAACCUUCCUUCGGGACUUGAAGGUGAAAACCUGGGCUUUGGGAGGUCUCGGGGGCUUAAACGCAGAGUUUCGGCACGAGAAAGAAGGGAACUGAGCAAUAGAACUCGGAGCCCUUGAAAUCUAUUUAUAGGGGCAUUUUUGAGGUGUGCCACAUCGUGGCAAGGGAUGGCCACGUCGUGGGGAGUCAAAAUUAUCCUCUUCCAUUGAUUAGACGCCCUCAGUCACUUGUCGGGUCGCGGCAAGCUUGUGCCACGUCGUGGCAAUUCUGACAGCCUCGGAUUUCGGACCUCGAACUUGUAAAACCCAUAACUUUCGCGUACGAGCUCCAUUUUGACGUUCUUUAUAUGCACGCGCAGCUGAAAAUAUGCUCUACAACUCUCGUUUAGAUUUCAUUGGCUAAUUUUGACUUUAUUUUUAAUUAUUUAUUUUUAACGGGCCGGGACACGAAAAUUACGUUAAAAUUCCAUAACUUCUUCAUCCGAUGUCCGUUUUCGUCAGACUUUUCGCCGCUGCGCUACUAUUUUUGAGACCUUCGAUUCUCAUUUAGGUUGUUUCGGUCAAAAGUCUUUCGAGCUCUAUUUCGAGUUUUUAGCUGUCUACUGCUAUAUCCGGAUCUUGGAAAAAUCAUAACUUCCUCAUACGAAGUCAGAUUUGGACGUUCUUUUUAUGUACGCUCACAGUUUAAUGUUAUCUAAAACUUUCAUUUAGAUACUUAAGGCUAAAAACUAUUGUAUUGAAACUUCGUGUUUUUCGUUUAAUCGGUGUUGCCGGUUUUGCCGCGAACUUUCGGUUGGUGAUAACUUCUUCGUUAUAACUCGGAUUUUAGGGUUCUUUAUAUAUACAAAAACCUUGAUACGAUUUGUACUACUUUAUUUAACCCAAAUAUGAUUUUAGGAAAGUUAUAUUUUGACCUAAAUUUGACUGGUUUUACAUUACAUUGUCUCUAAAUAUCGGGUUGUCACACAAGGUUAGUGGCAAAUCUAAACACAUAUGGACUGAAGGUUGUAGGCUAGUGAUUAAAAAUACUCUUGAUUAGUUCUUGAAAUUAUUUCAGGAUCAUUUAGACUCCCACUGUCCUCUUGACAUAUAAGACUCUCUUGUCAAGAACCAUUCCUUGACAAAACAAAUAUUCAAGAGUUAGUGUGGAUUCUUAUCAAGACAAACACUUCACACAAUUGGCCUUAGUUGGUCUUUAUUUUAUCCAAAACAUCACAACUUACCAAUUUCAAAUGUACCAGAGUAAGAAAACAUUUUACUCUACAUUUGACAAGUAUUUUAAACCUUUCUUAAGAUUAUGUCACUCAAGGCUCUAUCUUGGAGUAUGACUCUAAGAUUUGAUUUGGAACGGACUAUGAUUUAUCUUUUGAUUUAACCAUUUCAACAAUUCAUGAUUCCUCUCCUUAGUCAAACAAAUGCACUAAGGUGUCCUUAGAGAAUCAAUUGUGAUAUAGUUUCAUAAUCACUAAGAUAGUCAUAAAAAAGGAUACUCAAGUACUCUCCCAUCUCUUCAGAUUGGAGAAACUUUUAUCUUUCUACCUUAUUUGAUUCUUCUUAUCCGUUCUGCCAUACAUUGAAACUUUUCUAAUGUUUCAGAAUUGAACUUAAACUUGUAAGCAUAACCAUAUUUACUAAACUUUUGUAAAUCAUAACGAAUAAUCUUAUCAACCUUUGUGGUGGACCUGACCAGCACACAACCAAGUGUACCUAAUCCUUUAGUCCUUCACUUGACUCACACAUAAAUGUGAACAAGGUCUUAGUCUUAAUUUCCCAAAGAUGAAAUCAUUCAUCACACAAUACAACUUGCAUGAUUCCAAGUUUCUAUACGAUUGAAACUUGGGUGAUGAGAAUCUUUCCUUAUUUGGUAAAUUACGAUACUACCACAAAUGAAAGAAUCAAAUCCAUUUACCAAUAUUGCUUAUCAAUGGAAACAUAUAAAUAACAUUAUUUUUUCAUAAAUGCCAUUGUAAGGAUACUUAAAAUAAAUAAAACAAUUUUUUUAUCUUAAAAACUUGCGGAAAAAAAUAUACUUACAAUGCAAAUACAUAUGAAAAACAUUUUGUUGUCUAUUCCUAAGCUAUAUAUAUCAUAACUCUUAUGCAGUAGCACAAAAUUCUGAUCAUCGGACCAUGCGAUCGAAAUCCACCGAAGCCAAUAGAUGGAUCAAGAAGGAUCCAGAAGAAGAUUUCGAAGAGUACCAAUAGAUGAAAUACGAGGAAGAAGAUUUCCGAGAAGGGACCAGAUAGAGAAAGAAGUUCGGGAGAUACCAUCAAUAAACCUUACCCUAUCAAGAGGAGUGUGAGAACCUCCACCUCUCAUUUCAGGAAGCAACCCGCAAUUAACUACCUAGCCACACAUAUAGACUGGAGAGGACAACCGAUGAUCCAUAACCGACAUAAACUCACUACACCGUACUUCGGGCCAUAGCACCCAUAGACCGGCAAGCAGAUCAAGAGAACAAUACGGAUCACCUACACUCCUUAGAAAAGGAGAUAGUCGUUAUAGGACAAAGAACCCUUACAGCUACAACCUGGACAGUCAUCACAGAACUGAGAACAGAGGAGGCCACUCGCGAAAUAGAAUCAUGCCGACACAUGAAGGUAAUCAGCAUACUGGUGCAACACUAGUUCUAUAAAUAGACCCUACAACAUUUCAAAUUGCGGUAACAGCCGCCGUGACAGCAGUCAUAGCACACCUCGGCGCUAACAACACAAACAAAAGCAGGAACAACGCCGAAAGUUCCAAUCGUAAUAACAACCAGGGAAACCUCGAGUAUGUUCCUGCAACGACGCCCCAAAUCAAGGACCUACUAAAAGACAACAAAUAGUGAAAUUCCAUACCACCACCAUCCCUACUACCUCAGUGCCGACAAGACCAUAUGUUGGAAACCUGCCAAAAUGCACCAAGUGUAGCUUUCAUCACAAAGGAAAGUGCAGGGAAAUGCACUGCAAGAACUGUAAUGAAAAGGGGCAUACCACAAAUUUAUGUAGGGUGCCGGCUCAACAAACCGCCCAGAACACAAAAUCUGGGAUGAGUCGGACUUGCUACAAAUGUGGAGAAGUAGGACAUUUCAUAAAGGAGUUCCCGAAGACUAAAAACAAAGAUAUCAGGAGCGUCGGAAGUGUUUUAGCAACAGAGCGUGGGAAAGAAGUAAUAGACCCCGCUGAGAUUCCGGUACGUUCAUUCCCGAUAGCACAUAUGCAUGGAUACUAUAUAAUAGCAACGCGGAGAGGAGUAUUGUGAGUCGUAGAUUUAAUCAAUUUCUCAACCAAAAACCUCAAAAACUUAAUCGAAAUUUUUACAGUAGAAUUGGAAUAAUCAAAAGCACUAGAGACGUGUACAUAGGGUGCACUCUAACACUAAAUCAAGCAAUUCAUUCAAACCAUCCUAAAACUGGUCACAAUAAAAAUUUAUGACAUUUUCAUUUUAACAACGUAUUAGUUAGUUUCCUCAACAUACCGAUAUCAUAUAUUACGAAAAGUCCAUUCGCCUAAACCCAUCGAGUAAUAGAACCCUCGUUGUCUAUGGCGACAAACCGGACACAAACCCCCGACUCACCUUUUACAACAAGACUCAGAAGUACCUACACAGGAGGUACCACGCCGUCCUAGCCCGUGCUGUGGAUAAGAAACAAGAAGAGAAAGACAUCAUGGAUGUUGAAAAAGCCCGUAACCUUCUCGAUAUAUUCCGAGAAGAUCUCCUGGGAAUACCAUCCGUACGACAACCCGAGUUCAAAAAUCAACCUAAGUGCAGUAGUUGUGGAAAAGGGUUGUUGUAAAUGCCAUCUCACCCAAGUUAAUCACCCCACUCAAGUAGAGACUAUGGACCCAUACUAGUGAAUCUAUGAUUACUAAGUGUAUAUAUUGGAGCCCUAUAUAAUUAAGAUUCUACGGACUUAGGGUUGGUAAUUCCGCUUUAAAUCCUUUUCCUUGUUUGGAUGUGGGCUUAGAAUAGAAUCACCGAUUCGACUGUCUUUUCAAUCUUAAUUAUAUACGACUUAUAAACACAAAGAGAUGAUAGAUGAAUCAGUUAUGAGUCAUACCAUGAACUCCAUGACAAGUUACCCAGGACAGUGGAUGGACAUGCUACCACUUGAGCGAUCGUAGACAAAUCAACCAAACCCACACACUUUCUACCGACCAAGGAUACAAAGAAAAAUAGAAAAGCUAACAGGAGCAUAUACAAAGAAAAUUGCGAGACUGCAUAGUAUACCACUAUCUAUCAUUUUGGAUAAGGGACAGGCGAUUCGCCUCGUGUUUUUAAUAGUCGUUAAAGAAGUCCUUUUUAUCACCCUCAAACUGAAAGACAAAGAGGAAGAACCAUUCAUCGAAUCCUUAUACAACAUCAACUAUUACAUUAACAUCAAGGUCACGUCAUUCGAAGCUCUCUGCAGAAGCAAGUGUAGAUCACCUCUUUGAUGGGAUGAGGUAGGUGACACACAAAUAGCUAAUAGGCAAGUUCCUAACAACACUUUCACCAGCCCCCAGAUCAUACGAGAAACUACAGAGAAGAUUGUUCAAACCCGUGAAUGAUUGAAGGCAUCCCAGGAUCGGAAGAAGAUCUUGUCUGAUGAGACUCUUGUUAUUCCACUGGAUGAAAUUGAAAUCAACGGGAGUCUAAACUUCAUCGAAGAACCGGUGGAAAUCAUGGAUCAGGAGGUCAAAAGGACGAAACAAAGCCGCAUACCCAUAGUGAAGGCCCGUUGGAACGCCAAGCGAGGACCUGAAUUCACUAGGGAACGCGCGAAUCAAAUAAAAAAAAAAAAAAAUAAAAAAAAGAAACACCCCCAAUUGUUUAGUGAUAUCCCGUCUACAAGUUGAAUUUCGGGGCGAAAUUCUUUUAACGGGGGGAGAAUGUAACAAUUGGUAAAAAUAGGAACGAUCGUACGAUGCUAUCUUUUGAUUAUUAAGCAAUAUGAGUAUUUUAUUAAGAAUGGUUGAAGGAAUUUAACCUCUUUUAUUUAAAUAAGUUAUUGUGAAAUAUAAAACAAGUAACUAUUGAUAAAUUUCGUUAUGAUGUAUGACAUCGAACCAUCACCGGUUUGUGAAAUUAGCAUAUAACAUCAUUUAAAUGCAACAAACUUAAUUUUUGUAUCAACAUGUCUCUAGUUGAUAAGUAAGUUAGGUUCUAUGUAAAUCGUUUGCUUAAUAGAUGUGAAGGAUCUAAAUUUGACAAAUAUACGAACCAAAGUGACAAAACGUGUUUAACGAUAUGGUUAACCGGUUAAAUGUCACGAAAUUAUACAUUGCUCAAUAAAUUUUAUAUUUAAAUAAAUUAAAAUAUAAAAUGAAUUAUUAUAAGGUAUAAUUAAAAUGUAUUUAAGUGUUUUUGAAUAAAAAGAAUAAAACAUAAACAUUAAAGUUCAAAUACACAAAAACUACAUUGUUAUUUUAUACUAAGUAUACAUGUAUGUAUUUGUAUAUAUGUAUUAUUAUCUAGUGAAUGACUAGUUAUAAGUCAUGAAUUAAAAUGAUUUCAUGUAAGUUUUAUGAUGUCUAAAUCAAUUAAGAUAAGAGAAUUGGUGGAGAUAAGUGCCAACUUAACUAAUAAGUGCUUAAUCACUUAAGACAUUUUACUAAGAAUGCUUAUUAAUCCCUCUUCUAAUUUUCGAGAUUAAGACCUUCCCUCUCCUUAACUAGAACUCCUAACUAACUAAAUAACUAGUAGUUAGUUAGUUAACUAACUCUAUCUCUAAACAACCACCCAAGCAAGUGGCUAGACAAGAUCACAUCACUUAAACUCACAUCCCAUCACAAGCUAGUCUAGGUUUUGUCCCCUUAUCCUCUUCCACCCUUUCCUCCUUCAUAACCACGAAAUUUCCUCUUCAUUUUACCCUCAUUUGACCAGCCAAUACUCCAAGUAAUUACUCUCAACCUUCAUCUCAUUUUCAAGCACAAGAACUUCCUUCCAAAGCCAUCAAAACCAUGAACUAAAGGGUUGCUGUCCCUUUUGUGUUUCAGCCACCAUUUCACCCAUCUACACCUUCCUUUUGCUUGAUAUUUUUACCACCAAAUACCCCUGGAAGUUACUUGUUUUGAUACUCAAAAUUAUUGAUUCAAAACAGUGAGUAAACUACCCUUUUUCUUGCACUUUUGCUGUGAAAUUUUCGUGACAGCAACAUAGCCAAAAGAGUGGCUGUUUUGGAGCAUCAAACCAACAACCAAAAGUUCAUCUUCAACUUUCCAUUCUUCAAGUAUUCACAUAAGGUGAGUUCAUACCCCUACAUUUUCAUGUUUUAUUCAAGUUUUAAGGGGGGGAAUACAAGUUAGAACACUAAACAUAACUUAAAUUUAAAUGACAGCUUUCUACAGAAAAGUUGAGUCCUGUUCACGGACUGUUUUGACCAUCUUAAACUUAAUAUCUUUCAAAACUGUACAAUAUGCAAAUAGUUCAAGUUUAUACCUUUCUAAUGACUACUCGCACGCGUUCAUACGAUUUUUCUACAAUUUAUGGCGAUUUUUAUAAAACUGCCUGUCAUUUCAGAAGUGAUUUCGGACCAGUCUGUGAAGAUGUUCAUUUUCACACUAGUUUGAGACCACUAAAAAUCAUAAUAAAAAUUGGGAACAAAGUAGACUCAUUUUAUAAACUCUCAGAGGUGACGGAUUCAGUUUUUGACUUACGAUGAUUUUUCUAUGAGUUUUCUAAAAACAGGGACAGUAAAGGGUAAAACUGUCAAAAGUGGUUUAUAGAUUUAUUAACACCUUCUAACAUUUUUGAGCAAUGUUUAUACAUUAAGGAAGUUAAAACACAAUCAUUUAAAUAUGUUUAAUUACCAUUUUUACAAAAGUGAUAAGUACAAAAAGGUCUUUAGUAUCAAACUUAAGGAUUAUUUCAUGCAAAGUUUCUAAUAAAAACGUAAGAAUAUGAACAACAAUUACGAAACAUACCAAAUUAUCUUUUAAAACUUAUACAUAUAUAUAACCAUAUACAUAUAUAUGUUUUGUUUACAAACUUGUCUUCUACAUCAAAAAUUUCACUUUACUCGUUUUUAUCAAAUGAAUCACUUUUGAUUUAUUACUACUAUGUGAAAACUCUUGUCAUACUUUGCAUGCACUAGAUUUAUACAAAGUAUUUAGAAAUUCCAAAGUAUCCUUCGUUGUUAAACCGUUUUAAUACAUUUUAAAAACUUAUGAUUUAUGCAUUGUCAAAACUUUGUGAGAAAGGAUGAUCUUUGCAUACAAAACUAUUACUUUAAUACAGACUUAGUUGAGAAUCCGUGAGACAAGUACAUCUUCAAACACUGUCUUUUUGCGGAAGGUGACCCUCCUGGCCACAGUUUUUACAAAACUUCUCACGACAUGGGCCAGGGAUACGAUGGUGGUAACUGCACCUGUUGCACCACGGGAGAAUACUAGCAUAUCCAGUGGUAGGUGCUUGAGCUGAGGAACCGACGACAGAAACAGCAGCACGGGUAGUAGCAGCGUGAACUGCCACUGUUUGCUGUUCUUCGAGGACUCCUGCGAAGGCUGACUCUUUUUCUUCUUCCAAAAUUUUCUUUUCUCACCACUUCUCUCUGUCAGUUCAGGAGUGGUGGCUGCUUCCUCUAGGUCAUCACUAUGGUCAAUCAGGGUUUACGCUAGGCAUUUGGCGCUGUAGUAGGUGUCUGGCUUCACAGCCAAGACAUUUUCCUUGGUUGGCUGGGUCAACCCCCAGAUGAACCUCUCAAUCUUUUUUUCUUUCCGGGGUAACCAUAACCGGGCAGAGAAGCGCCAAGUCAUCGAAUCUGGAAGUGUAAGUGGCGAUAUCGGAACCCUUCAUCUUUAGGUUCCAGAGUUUAUGCUCCAGCUUCUGCAUUUCGCCCCGAGGGCAAUACUCCGCAAGCAGGAGUUCCUUCAUGAUCUCCCAACCCAUAGCAUUGGCUACAGGUAGGGUUAAGGAUUUGACUCGGCCAUUCCACCAAGUCAGAGCUUUAUCGGUGAACGUGCAGGCGGCGAAGUUCACCUUGUCGGAUUCUGAACAUGCAUAGAUUUCGAAAAUAGAUUCGAUUUUCUCUAACCACCGAGUUAGGGUUAUGACACCUCCAGUGUCAUCGAAAGAUGUGGGUUUUGCGUUCAUAAAGUCCUUAUAGGAACACUCUUUCCGGUGUCCCUGGCUACCUUCCUGGUUUUGGGGCUGAGUACCACCUCCUUGCCCGCCUGAACCACUGGGGUUCAUUUGCGACAUGAUAGCUGCCAUAGCUGCAGCAACAGCUGCUUGGAACAUGCCGGGAUCAAAUUGAGGUGGAGGUGGUGGCGGAGGAGGAUUGUUAUUCUUUGAGCUGGGUCUUUUCCUUGGAGGCAUCUUGAUCUAAAAUAGCCAGGAAAGAGAGGAUCAUAAGUCCUCUGAAUUGAAUCAAGAGAUAUGGAACAAGAGCUAUCUCGUUAUGACAGACAUAUGGUUCUAUAAGCGAUAAGCAGGAAAGAGUUAUCAAAGCAGAUAAACUAUCGCUAAAGAAGGAACGAGUAGCAAUACUUGGAAUGAUGUUCUACAACGUAUUCGGAUUUGGCUAAAAUACUACCAUAGUAUUUUACGUUUCGCUGCGACGAUGACUCAUUUUCUGGAUAUUAGGUAAGUUUUAGGCAUGCUGCACACCACAGUCACUCCCAAGCACAUGUUGGCCGUGUCUCGAAUGAAUAUAGUUGAUCAGGCUAUAUUGACUCUAGACACAACUACAUAACUGCCCAGGUUUAACCGCAUCACACAACACCCAAUUACUUAUGUUUUGUUCUACUCGAGGUUACGGAUUCCGGCGGUUAGGUAUACUUGUAUACUUUUGAAAAUACUUAUAUUUUAAAGUACACUUUUAGUUCAGAGCAUUUCGGCCCCUUAGUGUUUAUAGUCUUAUACCAUGUAAGGUUUGGUAUACUAGUUCACUAUAAACAAUGGCUCUGAUACCAAUCUGUCACACCCCGAAACCGAUGGCGGAAACGUUCCGGGGCGGAGGACGUCAUGUAGUAUCGCAACCAAUGUACAUAGUAAGCAUAGUAAACACAACCAUUACAUUACAUAGAAAUAUUUACAUUGUCUGAAAACAAAGUGUUACAAGUGUUAUACAUAUAUAUCANUAUAUAUAUCAUAUGAACAAAAACUAAGACGAGUCUUCUAUACGCUCCGUCUUCUCCAAAAGAUCGCAGGGUACCUGUCUAAUGUGGACCUGAGAAUACAAGCAGUUUGAAAAUCAGCAUAAAGCUGGUGAGUUCAUAAACGGUUUGUUUUCGUAAAAUAACAAGUUUCCUUUGGUUUUCUGAAAAAGUCGUUAUCCAAGAAAAUCCCAUAUUUUCUUAUAAGGAAAGUUUAGUUAUCCGUUUGUUACACAGUGUCGUUAAGAGCAGUUAUAUUCUCCCAGGAAAAACCCUUAUUUUCCUAAAAGUCGUGGUUAGUUCUUGGUUCGAAAUGCAAUGUACUAGAAUCUACCAUACUUGUAGUAUUAGAUAAGUAUUCUGAAAGCCUGGUCAUCCUAUACACGAAUGUCGAAUAUUUACUAUACCUAUCUGAAAUUUCGAAUCUUUGGAGACACUCAGAGACGUACACUAGCUGUAUAUUCGAAGUUCUGGUGACAUCCAAAGGCGUGUUUUAGACGUAUUUCCGAAGCUCUGUCGAUAUCCAAAGGCGUAUAUUAGACGUAUUUUUGAAACUCUGUCGAUAUCCAAAGGCGUAGUUUCGAAUUAUUUCUGAAACUCUGGUGACACUCAAAGACGUACUCUAGCUAUAUUUUCGAAGUUCUGGUGCCAUCCAAAGGCGUGCACUAGCUGCAUUUUCGAAGUUCUGGUACUAUCCAAAGGCGUAUUUUAUUAGUAAUAAUCCUAAUUUAUUAUUAGCAUGAAUCCUUCGUAAAUAAUAAAAUGUAACAUAGAUUAUAACGUUUUAUAAAGAGAUCUACAAUCAAUCUGAAAGCUAACUCUACAAGUUAAACGGUUGGUCAAUACGGUUUCAGUGUUAAAACCAUAAGGAAUAUGAAAACAUUUCAAAUGAAAUAAUAAGUUUGAAUACAAGAUUUCCUUGUACUUUUGAUUGUAUCCCCCCUGAAAACAUUGAAACACACGGAAAAAGAUGUAGGGGUAUGAACUCACCAGUCGAGAAAUGUGCCGGCUAGGAUGCUAAGUGUCAGUUCAGGGCUUGAAAACGCGUGAGGAUCCUAUGUAAUAUGAAGAGAUACAUAAUUCUAUCUAAUUAGACUUUGAACUACUAUUUAGAAUAGAAUAUACACUCUGAGGCACGAAAACACUUCAUUUUAAGUGUUAGGAGUGAUCCGGGUAGCAUCUAAGGGGGUGUAUGGCCUAGACAUGGAGUUUGCUCUUCAAGAGUAAACUCCUAAUGGAGAUUACGACCCUAAGACCAUAUCCCCAUGAGUUUACGACCAUAAACUCAUGGGUGGUGGGUUCUUGGUUGCUAAAUGGUCUUAUAACACUUGAGGUAUGAUGCUAGGUUUAGUUCUAGGGCAUUGGAAAGGGGGUUUGACCAUCAAAGGGAACACUUUAAGGAGUUUAUGGUAGUAAACUAGGAGUUUACGUUCGUAAACUAUCAAGUACUCUCUCCUUAUGUGUUUUGAUUGUCCUAGGUUAAUCACAUGUGAUUCUAGUUCAAUAUACAAGCCAUGGAAGGAAGUUAGGGCACCAUUUGACCACCUUAUAGGAGUUUACGGCCCAGGAACCAUUCCUUGGGGGGUUUACGGCUGUGAACUACUAAGGGGAUGGUUUCUUUCAUGUUUAAGGCCCUUAACACAUUGGUGGAUGAUUCUAGACAUUAUUCCAAGGCUUAAGAGGUGUUUAAGGGGCAUCUUAACACCUUAAAAGGUGUUUACGACCUAUGAAAGGGUGUUUACGGUCCAAGCAUGUUCUUGGGCCAUAAACUCGUGUUUACUCCUCAAAUGUUAAGGUUUUGAUGUUCUAAGUCCAAUCUUGUAAGUCCUUAGGUCAUAUCCAAGCUCUAGAAGUGAUUUGGGAGGGUUUUGGGGCUCCAAAACCCCAUUUAUGUGUGUUUAUAGUUUUGGAGUGUUCCAGGGCCGUAAACACAUGUUCUUGGUCCUAUUUCAUGAUUUUCCAUGAAUUUGAAAGCUAAACAUGUUAAUCUAUGAGCUAGGAUGGAUAUCUUACCGAUUUGGAGCUUGAAUUGGGUGGUUUUUGGAUCAAAAGCUUGGAUUUGUUGAGAGAGAGUAGAGAGAGAGGGUGAAAAAGCUUCAAAUGAAGUUCUUUCAACUUUAUAUAUGGUUUAAUUUUGGGGCCCGGUGGAAUUCUACACGAUACUGACGUUAAACGAGGCUUUUGGUCGUACCCGAUUAAGUGUUUGUAACCCGACGUGGUCGAAACUAAAAUUUUCCAAUUAAAUAUCGAAAGUGUUUUCACGUGUUUUUAACAUGUUUGGACACCCAUAAGUCAUAAUAAAAGUCUUAAAUUAAAUUACCUAAUCCAAAAUGUUAACGGAAAAAUUGGCAAAACAAACGGUUUUACUGACGGGAACGGGAUAUUGUGACAGAAAAAUUUUCGGAUUGUCACAAAAUGUGACAUCUCAAAUGGUUCACAAAACAUCAUAUGCACUUGAAAUAACUUAGAGAGAAAUCAUCACUUCAUGAAAUCGGCUUGCCCUCCACAUACACACAUAGUGGCCGAUUUCGCACAAGAAUAUGAUGCUUAUAUAGUUGUUACAAUUAGAGUAAACCCUAAUUUUGGAUCCAUAGGUUCAAAUACACCAUAGAGCAUCCAUGGAGUAUCCUAUGGGUUUUAGCCCAACUUAACAAUCCAUGGAGUCUUAGCCCACUAUACAAAUAUGUAUGAUUUACACAAUCAACCCAUAUAUUUAAUUAGUCUUCUUUUGAUCACUUAAUUAAUUCUAGAUUAAUUCUUGAUCAAUACAAGUUAAAUAAUCUUAUUAAUAUAUUAGAACUUAUAAUAUAUUAAUAAACCUUAAGUGUUAUUUCUCUCAUUUUAUUCUAUCCAAAUGCAUGAUGCCAUGCAACCCAAAUGGACCAUGUCGGGUCGGGUCAAGUAUAUACCAAUUAUAUUUAUGAACUUAGACACUAAUCCAACAAAAACAUCAAAAGGUUUGGUUUUUCAGAAAGUCCCGAUGAACCAUGUAUAUACAUCAAAGCAAGUGGGAGCCAUAUUCUUUUUCUAUUCUAUAUGUUGAUGACAUAUUACUGAUCUGGAAAGAUCUUCCGACAUUGAAGGAGACUAAGGCCUACCUUAGUAAGUCCUUUCAAAUGAAAGAUCUAGGGGAUGCUGCAUUCAUACUCGAUAUUAGAAUCUAUAGCGAUAGAUACCAAAGACUCAUUGGUUUGAGCUAGAGUACCUACAUUGACAAAAUCUUGAAACGUUUUUCAAUGGAUAACUUGAAACGAGGAAUUAUUCUCGUACUGUCUGGUACCAUUCUUUCUAAGGCUAACAACCUUAGUACUGAAGAUGAGAUCAAAAUAAUGAAACGCAUACCGUAUGCUUGAACAGUGGGUUCAAUUAUGUAUUCUAUGACAUGUACAAGGCCAAAUGUAGCUUAUGGUAUUAGUAUAACUAGUAGAUAUCAAGUUAAUCCUGGAGAAAAGCAUUGGGUGGCUGUUAAGAACAUACUUAAGUACUUAAGAAGAACUAAAGAUAUGUUUAUAGUCUAUGGAGGAGUUGAAAAGGAGCUCACUAUAAGAUGUUACACUGAUGCCGGUUUUAACACUGAUCGAGAUAACUUACGAUCAUAGUCGGGAUAUGUGUUCACAUUUAAUGGAGGAGCCAUUGCUAGGAAGAGUUCAAAGCAAGAAGUGGUUGUGCUCUCUACAACAAAAUCAGAGUACAUAGUUACAUGUGAAGCGACUCAAAAAGUUAAAUGAAUGAAGAAAUUCAUCGGUGAUCUAGGUGUUGUUCCAAGCAUCAAAAGUGCCAUUGAUAUGCUUUGUGACAACAAUGGUGCCAUCGCUAUCGCAAGAGACUCGAUGGUUAGUAAAAAGACUAGACACAUUCAAUGAAAAUUAAAUUUCAUUUUUUAGGAAUUAGAAUUGGGAAAUGUAUGCAUUGAAAAGAUUCAUACAGAUGAUAAUAUAGCAGAUCCGUUCAUAAAGGCUCUACCUCAAAUCAAGUUUGAGAUUCAUGCAAAAGGAAUCGGUCUACGAUUAGCUAGCGAUUGGAUUUAAAUAUGUACUUGACUAAUAUUUGGAUAUUCAGAACUAUGUAGCAAUGAUAUGUAAUCUCCUCUGAAUAUGAGACAUCACUUUUGUGUUGAAUAUUAUUGUGUUCUAUAUUAGCAUGUUAUUCAAUCCUUGAAUAAUGCAAUUAUUCAAAAUUUGUCCAUACCCAGUCAUUGUUGCGAGAGCAACUGUGAAUUAAGACUAAUAUGAAUCGGCUUGGUUGAUUUCAAGAGGUGAAAUAGCAAAGUGUUGCGUCCAAAUUCAUAUGUACUUGUUUGAGAACAACUAUUGGAAAUGACUUGCAUCAAGAGUUACUUCAUGGAUCGAUAUCAUAAUUGAAUCUUGAUCACAGGAAAAUAUAUUUAUGUAUUUCGACCUGAGAUGCAUAUUGAAGAACUCAAGUAUGGGGAUUAUUAUACUUUGACAUGGUUAAACACUGUUCGUAACCGUGCAGUUAUAAAAGCCUUCAUUGGGUAUAUCAUGAACUAUAUGAGAGUGUGUUUGUAGUCAACAUGGGAUUUGUUCCUCUUAUGUGUUGAGAUUUAGACAUCUAAGGCAUCUUUCUUUAAUGUUGAAUGGCAAAUGAGAAUGAUCACGUUCCAUGUCUCAUAUCCAACAUGAUGCAUAUAACAAAAAGAAUAUUGAUACACUUACCUUAUACUUCAAUUGUAGCUAGUGAGCUCCUAGAAUUAGAUGUUGAUUGAUGGCACCCCUUCGUAUGUUAUUAGGGGCAGUAGCCCGUUGCUAAACAUCAGUUAUUGUCUAUGUCAGUCUUUAAUUGAAUCUUGUGCAAGUGGGAGAUUGUUAGAUCUAUAUGCCCAAGAAUCAUUGUUGAGUGGCGUUGCUAAUAACAUAUGAUCCUUUAGGGUAACACCUUAAUCAAGUUAGUACUUAUUUAAUAUUUAUUAAGUAUUUGAUAAUUAAUAAAAAAAUUCAACUCUUGUAUUUAAUUAGAGUAAAUUUAUUGUUUUAUGAAAAUAAUAAUAAAUGAAGGAACAAACUAGUUAUUAUAUCAUAUNNNNNNNNNUAUAUAUAUAUAUAUAUAUAUAUAUAUAUCAUAUGGUAUGAUAUAUAAGUCAUGUACAAAGUUUUGUACACUUUCACCAAAUAUUGACAAACUAACUAGUUAACUAAGUGACUAAAAAACAAACUAGAAAAUCCAAUUGACCAUUUUAGUCCUUAAAACUGUGGGUUAUCAAUGCUAGGAGGUUGAAAGUCAACCUCCAACAUUCUUAUCCCCCAUGCUUAGAUUAUGUCCCAUGUUUGUUCAUUACCUUGCAUGUAAUACACAACACGAUCAUAUUAUAUAAGGCUAGUUGUUUUAUCACUAAAUGACUAGAUGGAAAAAAUUCAUUUACUCUUUCAUGCAUAGAACAGUAGGUUCUCUUGCCUUCUCCCUCUCUCUCUCUCUCACUUGAAGUUAGUUCUUGGGUUUUUAGAGUUCAUCUUUUGUGUCUUCCUUUUAAACUUAUUAGUUAAGUGCUUAAGGCUUAAAUACAAAAGGAUUAUACAAGAAGAAAUCUAGAAAUUUUGGUACCCUAUUCUUGUUGGUGGAUUACUUGUAGAGAAGAUCAGCUCCUAGUUCUUGCCAUCUACUUUAGCACCCAAAAUCCAAGAGGGUCCAAAGGCUACAAAGGUUGUAUUUUCUAAACAUCCUAUGGUUGUUAUAAUGUCGUUCUAAGCACUUUAAAAGGAUCCUUGAUGGUUUUUUUUUGUUGUCACACUCAAAAUUUGUAAGAAAAUUUUAAAGCUUCUGUUGUCAGUUUUUGUGAAAACUAUUUAUUUUAUGCAACAAACACUAUACCCAUGGGUCGAAGGCAUCAAUGUCGACCCACUAGUUUUUGGUUAUCUGUUAGUAGGGAGAUGCCUUAGGAACUGUAUAUAGUCAUGUAGAAUAGACUAAGGACUCUUGAUCUAGUCUCUCUUACAUGUUCCUUGUUUGGUUAUGGUUCUAGAAUAGGAUCACAUGUAUGGGUGUCUAUCUCACCUCUGAGUAUAUACGGUCAUGCAUUCCUUGGAUUGUUGAUAUUUAGUAUGUUCCUUUUCCAUAGUGGUUUGUUAGAUCUGUAGCCUGGUAUCGAGUACGUCGAUUUGUGGUAGUGAUCUGUUAGAUCUGUAUCCUGGUAUCGAGUAUGUUGCCUUGCUGUAGUGAUAUGUAGAACUGUAUGUUAUUUGUACUUGUUGUUAUCAUUUAGUGGAGUGCUCUAAGGACUGUCUAUAGUCAUGUAGGAUAGCAUGAGAACUCUUGAUCUAGGCUUUCUUUCAUGAUCCUUGUUUGGUUGUGGCUCUAGACUAGGAUUAUCUGUUCGGGUGGCUAUCUUACCUCUGGUUACUUAUGGUUAUGCAUUUCAUGGAGUUUAGCUAGCAAUAGGCUUAUAUGUUGUGAGAGAACUAGUAGGCGAUACUGAGUUGUAUGAUUGAUGUUUGUCUGUAUUACAUGCCUACUCGAUCCUUGAUUGUUUACAUGUUGACAUGUUGUGUUGGUUGGGUUGAGGCGAUCCUGCUUUGUGCUAAAGGUCAAGAUAUGUGGUGCAGGCUGACUGUAAGUCGUAGGCACGGAGACUCGGGUUGAGCGGUUGGGUUGAGUUGGUAAGGCCAAUAAACCCAAUAUAAUUGGCCAUUCUUGUACGAUAAUUGAUUGGGCCCGUUGCUCAUUUAUAUGUUUGGUUAUGUGUGGUAUUUUGGGAAACUCAUUAAGCUUUAUGUUUAUAUAGUUGUUUAUUAUUUAAGGUAUCAUCGAUGUCUAUAGGAAGGCGAAGGCAGGACUGUACACACUCAUCAGAAGCAUUGAGGAUUUCGUGUUUUCUAUGAUACUCUGAUUUUUAAUAAAUGUAAUUUGGAGCAAACGGUUUUUCUUAAUAAUGGAUUUAUAAAUUAGGAAGCUUUACCUUAAUAAAAAUGAAAAAUUUUGGUUGAUAAAAAUGGCACGUUACAUCAUGCCUUCGCCAUGCCCUGAUCCCUAAAAGUACCUAAAACAUUAUAAUAUGCAACUGUAAGCCAAAGCUUAGUGAGUUCCCCAAAAUAGCCCAUAAACAAUAUACAUACAAUGCAUGCACACCUGGCCUAUAGCAUAUGGCUGAACAACCUCCCGAGCCUAUAGUAUAUAGUUGGACUGCUCUCCUGAGCUUAUAGUAUUAAAUGGACCGCUCAACAUCUAGUUGGACCACUCUCUUGGGUCUACCAGUCUAACGAAUCACUACAUCAUAUCAAUAUCCUAACACGCAAAGAAUACAUACUACAGUACAAAGUAUAGUAAGAAAACUCACCUCACAAACUAUCAGACUUAACUAUGGCUCAUGCGAAACUAAGAUUAUCCAUACGAACCACAUGUACAUCAAUUAGAGGAAAAUCCUAUUUCUACAGCCAAAAACCCUUAAGUUAACCUAAGUUUACAUGAGAUAUCCAGAAGGCUUAGUACAUGAAAAGUUUCCUAAUAGAUUGUGUAAGCUUGAGAAAUCCAUUUAUGGAUUGAAACAAUCAUCUCGCAAUUGGAAUCUUUGCUUCCAUGAGAAAGUCAAAGAACUUGGAUUCUCUAGGAUCAAGGAUGAGUCUUGUGUGUAUGUCAAAGCUAGUGGGAGUAUAGUAACUUUCCUAGUAGUGUAUGUUGAUGACAUACUUGUUAUGGGAAAUGACAUUUCGACCUUGCAAGAAGUGAAAUCUUGGCUUGGGAAGUGUUUCGCCAUGAAGGAUCUAGGGGCAGCAGCCUAUAUUCUUGGGAUAAGGAUUCCGAGGGAUAGAAAGAAAAGACUUACUGGUCUUAGUCAAAGUACAUACUUAGAAAAGGUACUAAAACGUUUUAGUAUCGAAAAUUCCAAGAAAGAGGAACUGUCUACUAAGAGUAAUGCCAAGUUGAGUCAAAAUCAAAGCCCUAGUACAAAUGAAGAGAUAGUUGACAUGAGUCGAGUCCAACAUGCUUCGGCUAAUAGGUUCAAUCAUCGAUGCUAUGACAUGUACUCGCCCUGAUGUGUCUUAUGCUUUGAGCAUGGUCUGUCGCUUUUAGGGAAAUCUUGGCAGAGCUCACUGGACUGUAUUAAAGAACAUUCUUAAGUAUUUACGAAUGACAAAGGAAAUGUUUCUGGUCCUUGGUGGAAGUGAUAAAUUGAGAGUGAUUACAUAUAGUGACGCCAACUUUCAGACAAAUCAAGACAAUUUUUUUCUCAGUCGGGAUGGGUGUUUUUGUAAAACGGUAGAGCAGUUACUUAGAAGAGUUCCAAAUAGGAAAAUGUGGCUAAUUCUACUUGUGAAUUAGAGUACAUCGCAGCGAGUGAAGCAUCAAAGGAAGCUUCUUGGUUAAAGAACUUCAUCGGUGAUCUCGGAUUACUCCCAACCAUUCAAGAGGCAUUGGAGCUUUUCUGUGACAAUGAAGGCAUCAAUGCUUUGACCAAAGAACCCAAGGAUCAUAGUAGAUCCAAGAAUAUCGACAAAAAGUACCAUUACAUCAGACAAAGGGUUGAAGAUCACCUCCUGGUGUAGAGAGUAUCCUCAGAAGAUAAUCUUGCAGAUCCUUUCACAAAGACUUUGAGUAGGAUUAAACAUUACCAACAUGCUAGGAGCAUCGACUUAAGAGAUAAUAUUAGUUUUAGUAGUUAGUUAGUAGUUUGAAACUUGUAACAAAAUAAACGUAAUUGAUUUUAGUGAUUAAAUAAUAGAGAUUAUUUAUGAGUAUAGUUACUGCCUUUUUUAAAUGUUUAUUCUUGUGUUUCUCUUUGCAUGUUUUACUUCCUGAAUGAUUUAAUUAUUCAAAACCACACAGUCGUUCAUACUUUGAGAUAAAAUGGAUCAAUUAAAAGUGCAAGGAUUAAGCUGUAAUUGUUCAGUAGUUUCACAAGAAGGUAUUCCAGAACAUUCUUAAGCCUUGGACGGUUUUAGGAGGCUUAUUAUGUUUUUUGGAAUAUUCCUUAAGAAUAAUUCGGGAGUUAGAUAAUUACCAAAUUUGAAAUAUGAAUAUUAUAUUCAAAUUAGGGUUUCCAAGGCUCCUUGUGUCAGGUAUAAAUAGAGUCUUUUGGCUCCUUAUUUUCGGCCACAACAUUUACCAAAGGAAUAGCCGAAACUAUCAUCCCUAUCCUCUAUACUCGAGUGUUCUAACUGCUAGGGUUUGGGUACUGGUAUCAUAAAUUGUAAUUCUAGAUUAUGUAUGCUUGGGUUGCUCAACUAAAAAUACCUUGAGGGUAAGAGGUUUUCUACGGAUGGAUUCGGAGGGAUGCAUAAAAUGAGCAUAGUUCGGGGUGAGUGGGCGAAUGUUUAUGAGGAUUGUGAGUAUUUGGAGUAUGGGGGGUUAUUAGGAAAAUUUUAGACACAAAUGCAUGCGUUGCGGUCUUGGCAUAAUGGCUGGGUUGGAUUGGAGUUGUCAUAUGUGAUUCUAAUGUGUUAAAAUUCAGUUUUGCUUGGGGGCAAGCAAAAGUCAAGUGUGGGGUAUUUUGAUAUUUGCAUAUUUAGUUCAUAUUAAGUAUAGAUUUUUAUUCAUUUAUUAGCUAAAUUAUUGAAUAUCAUGGACAAAAGGUACUUAAAAGUGUUUGAAUUAUAUUUUCAGUCCAAAAGUGAAGCUUGGAAGCAAAAGGAAGCAGGAGAAGCGGUUGAGAGCUCAGGAAUUGAACAAAGAAGAAAAACACUAAAAACAACACCUACUCGACGAGUAGGGUUGACUACUCGGCGAGUCCAAGCGAAUAUUCGAGAAGAUAAAGACUCGAAGACUCAGAGACUUAUCGCAUACGGGGACUGAGAGAUGGACUCGGCGAGUCGUCACCUGACUCGACGAGUCGUUUCGCAUAUAUAAAGAUAACUUCUCAGAUCGACAGGGGAGAAUUCUGGAGAGGUUAGCUGCGAUUGAAGAGCCAGGAAAACCCUAGAGAACGAAGAUACAAGCUAGCAUUCAAUUCCGAAGAAGAUUUGAGGAAAAUUUCAUCAUUCUACUCAAUCUUUUGUUUUUUUAUUAUGGUUAGACAAUUAGAAUUUGUUUGGUUUCUGUUAUUUACUUCAAUCAUGAGCUAAAACUCUUAAACUUUUGUUUGGGGAUACAAAAUUGAUACUAUGGUNUGAUUAUUGGUAGGAUUAAUUCAAUGUUGGUGAUUUUUGUUAGUUUUAGCUUGCUAAAGAACCUUGUGUGUGAAUGAUAAUUAAUUUUCUGUUAAUAGGAAGGUAAUUAAAUAGCAUGAACAUCUUUUGAUUAUCAACCUCAUAUGUUUAUGUGACCACUUUGUCAUAUGUCUAGGAUUAAUGAACAUGAAACUAGAAUUAACAAGAAAAUUAAGUAAAUUCAUGUGUGAGCUUGCAUGAUGACCAUCAACAAGAUGUUAACUAAAGGACCAAAUUAGUUAAUUAUUGCAAGUCUAAAUUAACCCGAAUAAUUAAUCCAGUGAAUUUCAUUAAGUUAGACAACUGAUCACUGGUUGAGUUAGUUAUUUCACUAAGGUUUAGUGUAGUGAACGCGAAGCUAAUCAUUAGAGUCGGUAGCCAAUAAAAGAAUUAAUCCAUUGCACUAUUACCAUGAAAUCAACCAUAGGAUCAAUUGAGUUGAACUAAACAGAAGUCCUUCCCAUUAUUGAAUCUAGUUAAUUCUUUGCUUUUCUAGCUUUUAGAUUAAGUGAUAGUUAGUAAGUUUCUAGUCUUGUAAAACUAGAGAAAACCCCUAGUUAUUAAUUAAUUUAGAUAAAAUUAGUUUUUAGUUUUAAUUUACCAGUCCUUGUGUUCGAUACUCUACUUAUUUAGCUUUACCACAAUUGAUAGGUCCACUGCCUUUGUGUGUUUAUUUUUAUUAAAAACUAGGUUUAAAACUAGUUGAGUUUUACACACAUCAAGUUUUUGGCGCCGUUGCUGGGGAACAGUUCUAAAAUUAACAUUAAAUUCUAGUUUAAUCGAUCCUUUGUGUCGGAUUUAUCUUACACAAAGUUAAUUAAAAGGUAAUUUAGUGAUUAGUAUAAGUUUUAAUAAAAAUCCGUUUUAAAGAAAGUAAUAAAUUUUUUUCUGUUUUUGCCUUGAACUUGCCGAGUGCACUCGUGCCGACUCGGCGAGUACAUCGCUGAUUCACAGUUUUAAUUUUUAUUUAUUUUUUGUUCUUUUUACACGUUCUUUUUGUUUUGUUUACAGUUGUUUCAUGACCCGAGGAUCUGAUACACCUCUGGUCCCUCCUCUUGAAGACCCGUAAUCCGCACUAAGGAGGAGCAAAGGCAAAACCGUUGGAGAAUCCGCUUCUUCAAAGAACUCGCCACUCAAGAACCUCAAGUCCGUUUUCAGCAAGAAGAGGAGCAGCGGAUCAGGAGCAUCCAGUGCCUCUGUGACAAUCGAAGACACAAUUAAAGAAGACACCGAGUACGAGACCGAGGAAGAGGAAGAACCCACAUACGAGAACGAAUCCGAUUUUGAAGACGAUUUAGCUAUAACUAUGGCUAAUAUCGAUGAAGUCCCCAUGGGGGAAUGGAAGAAAAGGAUGCGCGAUGACACUGGCCCGGGACUUGUGCAGCCCGCAAUUCCCGCUACCGCUACUUUCGAGCUAAAGGGUCAUAUUCUUGCGCAACUCAAGGAGAUUCCUUUUUAUGGGAAAGACCACGAAGACGCCUACAAGCACUUGGACGAAGUGAAUGAUGUGGCUGACUACUUCAAUGUACCAAAUGUUCCAUGCGAGACCCAGCUUCUUCGCAUGCUUCCAGUCACGUUCAAGGGUGCUGCAAAGGAUUGGCUAAAGUCACUUCCUCCCGGAUCGGUCACCACAUGGGCCAAGAUGAAAGAAGAAUUCAUAGACCACUUUUGCCCGCCUUCCAAAAUAGUCAAGCUAAAGAAAUCCAUUGCCAACUUCGAGCAAUAACCCGGAGAAUCUCUUUAUGAAGCUUGGGAAAGGUACAAAGGUCUUCUUCGAAAUUGCCCACACCAUGACCUCAAUAGCCAACAAGAGGUCUCCAUCUUCUAUGAUGGAGUCAAUGUCACCACAAGGCAAUUGCUCGAUUCACAAGGCCCGCUCACGAAGAAGGCGCCCCCGGUAAUCAAGGAGUUAAUUGAAGAAUUCUCUAAGCAUUCUAGAGAAUACCACAAUCCAAGAAACGAAGUAAGUCGGGGGGUAGUGAACUCGGCAAAUGAUAGCAUGGCGGCGGUGAUAGCUAAGCUCGAUAGUCUAGAUAGAAGGAUGACAAAAAUGGAUCAAACAAUCCAUGCUAUUCGGGUUGGAUGUGAGAAUUGUAGAGGGCCCCAUCUCACAAAGGAUAGUGAUUUGGAUGAAAAUGGAAACAAGAAGGCUCAAGUGUUCUACUCAAGUGGCGAUAGAUCCGAUGAGAAUUGGCGGAAACCGAAGGAGGAAUGGCUCCCAUACGAAGAAUACAAGAAGGCUAAGGAGGAGAAAUACAAGCAGAAGGAGAGGGGAUUUUAUCAAAAGGAAGAACUGGUAAUGGAAAAGAAAGUCGAUUUAGAAGAAUUGUUCACUAGAUUCAUAGCAACGUCCGAAAAGAGACACAAUGAUCACGAUGCUGCAAUACACAAGACCAGAAAUAUGCUAAGGAAUCAGCAGGCAUCCAUUCUCAACAUUGAGAAACAGCUGGGACAACUUGCACAUCAAGUGAAUGAAAGAAGACCGGGUCAACUUCCAAGUAAUACCGAAAACAAUCUGAGAAUGGAGAAUGUGAGUGCAGUGACUUGCAGCAAUGAAGAAACUUUCACACAUGCACAGAGGAUCUCCAAUAGGAAGACAGAAAAGGCAGAAGAGUUGGCUCCAGCUAAGCCCGACCAGACUCGCCGAGUCCCUCUAAUGGACUCGACGAGUCCAUGCGUUAAUGACAAAACUGUCAUUCCCUUAAAGCCAUAUAAUCCCCCUUUGCCGUUCCCAAUCAGAGCCAUGCCUAUUGAAAAAGUUGAAGCUUAUAGAGCUUUUAUGGAGCAUGUUAAAGNNNNNNNNNNNNNNNNNNNNNNNNNNNNNNNNNNNNNNNNNNNNNNNNNNNNNNNNNNNNNNNNNNNNNNNNNNNNNNNNNNNNNNNNNNNNNNNNNNNNAAUAACUAGGGUUUCGUGAUUAGGAAGGCGAAGACGAACGACCUUUUCGCGACACAUAAUUUCAGCAUGGUAGAGGCUUAUCCAGUCCAUGCCAAUAAUCAUAUCGAAACUCCUAAUGGACACAGACAUUAAGUCUAUUCGAAAGACGUGUUGGUUCAGGGUUAGGGUACAUCCAAUGUAGAUUUCCCCCGUGGAUUCGGUUUUCCCAUUGGCCAUUUCCACCGUAAAGGUUUCAUUGAGCUUAUGGGGUUGUUGAUUUAAUAAAUGCUUAAACUUAAUGCUUAUGAAACUUUUCUCCGCUCCAGUGUCAAAUAGGAUGCAUGCAUAAGUGUGGUUUAGGGGAAACGUACCGGUAACGACUGCGGGAUCCUGAAUUGCUUCCCCCUGACCCAUGGCCAGCACCCUUCUCGUUCCUCCAUUUCCGGGAUUGUUGUUGUUAGGGCAAUCUCGGCGGAAAUGCCCAGUCCUCCCACACCCAUAGCAGGUGUGGCUAGGCCCUGCAUUGUUGCCGCCGGUGUUGAUGUUGUUGUUGUUGCGGGUGUUGUUGUUGUUGUUGUUGNNNNNNNNNNNNNNNNNNNNNNNNNNNNNNNNNNNNNNNNNNNNNNNNNNNNNNNNNNNNNNNNNNNNNNNNNNNNNNNNNNNNNNNNNNNNNNNNNNNNNNNNNNNNNNNNNNNNNNNNNNNNNNNNNNNNNNNNNNNNNNNNNNNNNNNNNNNNNNNNNNNNNNNNNNNNNNNNNNNNNNNNNNNNNNNNNNNNNNNNNNNNNNNNNNNNNNNNNNNNNNNNNNNNNNNNNNNNNNNNNNNNNNNNNNNNNNNNNNNNNNNNNNNNNNNNNNNNNNNNNNNNNNNNNNNNNNNNNNNNNNNNNNNNNNNNNNNNNNNNNNNNNNNNNNNNNNNNNNNNNNNNNNNNNNNNNNNNNNNNNNNNNNNNNNNNNNNNNNNNNNNNNNNNNNNNNNNNNNNNNNNNNNNNNNNNNNNNNNNNNNNNNNNNNNNNNNNNNNNNNNNNNNNNNNNNNNNNNNNNNNNNNNNNNNNNNNNNNNNNNNNNNNNNNNNNNNNNNNNNNNNNNNNNNNNNNNNNNNNNNNNNNNNNNCUCUUGCUCCAUUUUCUGAAUCUCACCUCGUGGGCAGUAUUCAGCCAUCAACAUUUCUUUCAUUUCCGACCACGGCAUGGAGUUGGCUACAGGGAGUGUCAUGGCUUCCACGUGUCCGUUCCACCAAGUGAGUGCUUGAUCCACAAAAGUGCAGGCUGUGAACUUCACCUUCAUCUCCUCAGGACAAUCGCAUAUCUCAAACACCGAUUCCACCUUCUUGAUCCAUCGCUUUAGAGUGAUCACCCCUCCAGUGUCGUUAAAGGUUCGUGGUUUAGCGUUUGUUAAGUCCUUGUAGGUACAUGUUUUGGUGGGUCCUUGAUUCAUUCCGUUUUUCGAACUCCCGACCCCUUGUCCGUUGACUCCUUCAUUAUUCCCUUGAUGAAUUUGUGUCAUCGCUACGGUGACCGCAGCAGAGACCGUUGCCUGGAAUGCGGCUGAGUCAACUUCGGGUGGGGUUGGUCCAAGGUUUCCGUGAGUAGGUCGGUGAGGCAUCUUUCUGUCAUGAAACGGAAAGAUGUUGAGUGUACGUGGCUUCCGUGUGGUUGUGAUCCUACUAACUAGGUGUAUGGCACGAACUUAGGUACUUAUAUCAUGUAACGUACAAUCAUAGAUUCGCAACACAUAGCAAUUUGUAAUAUCAUAUCAAAGAACGUAAAAAUUUCACUAAUAUUAUCCGCAUUUAAUACAUGAAAAUUUUGUUCGUGAAUGCGAAAGGCCCUUGGCCCGACUCGCAUUGGUGAAUUCUCGACUUUGCUAGCAGUACCAAAGGACCCUUGGGGCCCAACAGCACAAGAGCCAGCGAAAGUCCUUUUACAUGGAAUUAGGUCAUAUAAGACCCAACAACNNNNNNNNNNNNNNNNNNNNNNNNNNNNNNNNNNNNNNNNNNNNNNNNNNNNNNNNNNNNNNNNNNNNNNNNNNNNNNNNNNNNNNNNNNNNNNNNNNNNUGGGGAGGUCAUUUUUAAACACCGCAUGUGCAUUAAUUGAUGUAUAUGAGUCUACACUAACAUUGAGGGUAGGAGAUGAGUCAACAAUAUUUAGAGCUUUACCAGAGGUCAAGCAAGAAGAGGAAGGAAAAGAAGAGAUCUCAUUUAUCGAUUUGGAUGAUGAGAUAUUACAAAAAGAACUUGUACUUUUGCAAGAAGAAGAUCCAAGCAAGUUUUUGCUACCUUCUGGAGAGGAUGGAGAUGUUAACACACUACAAGAAAAAGACCCUUUUACGACGCGCAAACCACGACACUCGUUGAUUUAUGUUACGCAAAAGAGAAUGACAUUAAAAAAGUUUCAUCUCUUCAAAUAAUUUAAGGAUUUAGGUCACACAUUAUUGUGUGCCCUUAAAUUAGUGUCAGAAGAAAAAAAAAUUAAAAACACGGAGGCCGCUGUGUCUUAAAGGCGCGUCCUCUAUAGGUGUCAUUUUAUAAUUUUAAUGAACGCGCGUUUAGUAGAAAGGGUGGAAUGAAAUCCCUAAUUUAGUAGAAAGGGGGCAAAUGAAAUCCCUAAAAAAAUAAAACCCCGCCUGUUGCAUCUCCCCCUUCUCCUUCUCCUUCUCCUUCUCCUUUGUGUGUUCUCUUCCUUCUCCUUCGUGUGCUUUCCAUUUUGUUUAUCUCAAACACUGCUUGAAUUUCACCAUAUAAUUUAUCCUCUCCACCAGCCAAUAACCGUCACUAUCGCCUUCUUCUUUUGUCUACAAACCCUAAUCCUCCUCCACCACUACUGAAUCCCUUUUAUUUAUCCUUAAGGAAUAACACAACCAAGCUCGUAUCUCAGAUCAAAGUACUUCGGCGUGAAGUUUACUCGGAGACUUCAGAUGCAGCUUGAUACUCUCUCCAGAGCUCUCCGUAACGGCCUUGAACUCGCUGGAAAAUUCUUCGUCUCCAGCCGUUGGAACAUCGAGACGGUCGAGAAGAAGAUGGAGAAGGAGAAGGCCGCGAAGAAGAUAUCGAGGUUCUUACAGUGCCCUCUUCGAGCUCAAGUCCUCUUUGACGUGCAUCAUUGGAGAUUCGAUACCACCGAGUGGUUUGAUCGACUUGAGGGCUCCGCUUAGAGGCUGGAGUAGCAGAUCGAGUCCAUGAAAAUUGGAGGAGGCGGUGAAGGAUGGUGGUUGGAGGAGGCGAUGAAUUCUAGCUAAAAUUAUCCUUGGAAACUGCACCGGAUCAAAGACCUCAUGGUGUAUUAGGUGUAUGGAGUCCCAUACUCUCAGCAAUUGGGAAUGCAUUCAAACUUCAGGUCUAAUAAUUGAACUUCGUGGAUCCAGCCUCUCUAUUUUGUAGUGGCAUUAUUUUACAAGUUUCUCACUAUGCGUUCAAAGUAUUAUGCCAUUCCAUUUAUAUUUCUUCAACUAGAUCUUUCUGCUUUUUUAUAUGACUGUCACUUUGAUUUAUUUAGCAACAAUGAUUCCCCCUUGCAAUGGCUAAGGGCAGAUCCUGAAAUGGAGUAUCUUGCUGAGAUUCAUUUUAAUCAACAUGUAUAGAUGUGGGUAUGUAUGUUCUUGUAUAUUAUAUUCUUUAAUUUUUAUAUAUUUCUAUAUUUGAAUGUUUUGAGAAUCUAUAUAAACGCAAAAACCAGAUAAAUCAAUUGGAGAAGGACAAAGAUGUUGUGUCUCAAGUACAAUGAAUCAUGGCACUAGAGUUGUUCCCUCAACUUCUUUCAAUUAUUAAUGCUUUAAGUAAUGUCCCNNNNNNNNNNNNNNNNNNNNNNNNNNNNNNCACCAAAUAUAAACAUACUUUUUGUUUAUUUCUUCUACCUGUCCAUUGAAAAAAUCUACCCAGUUAUAGAAUUUUCAAAGUAAGAAAUUCUUUUAAAGUACAAUGAUUUAGUUUUCUGUAAGAAAACUAUUAAAGUGCAACUGUGACGUUUUCUACCUUGUUAAGGCCUUUUGGCAUGUUCGGAUUGAGGCGGCUUUUGCUUUAGCUAGCACAGCAUCCGAGGAAUAUACUUGUUUGUAUAAAUGACUGAAAUGCCCUUUCUAAGAUUAUUACUAGAUUUUCUUGAUAUUGGUCAUUGAUGCAUCAUUUACUUUAUUGUUCUUCUAGGAAAUUUAUUGGGCUGGUUUACUGCAUCUAAUUAAAUUUUUAUAAAAGUCGAAGAUAUGAUGAGAAAAUUGGACUCCCAAAGUAAGUGUUGCAUCCUUUCUCAAUUUUAAUAAGCAUCAAAACAAUGUCAAAAGUUUUACUGACUGAAAUACCCUUUCCUAAAGAUUAAUUUUCUUUUCAUGCUCAGGCCAAAUGACUUUCAUGAUUUUGCAGAGUAUUUUGUACUCGAGGUAAUGCAAUGAGGUAAGAUGUGUAUUGUCAACAAUGUCCAAAGUUUUUUUUAAUAACACAACAUGUUUUGAUAAUCAUAUUGAUACAAGCAACAUAUUGAAAUGACAUUUCAGCUUUUUAAUACAAUUAUAUUUGUAUUAUUUAUACAAUAUUAUUUAUCUAGGCGAAAUCAUUUAUUGAAUUUGUUUAAUUUUGUGGAUUGUGAUGUCUUGACAGGCUAUUCCACAUGUUGUAGCUUUGGUUAGAGCAGCAGAUAACAAAGCCCUUGUAAAGUUGUUGAUUUCAUUUUACAACUUUUAAAAGUAAAUGUUUCUUCCACUAUUCAAAUCCCACGCAUAUUACCAUUUCAUUAUCUAUUUUUUAUAUCUUCAAUGUCGUUUUCUUUUUUGGGGGUACUUUCAGUACAAUGAGAACAAUGGGAAUCCAUAUUCUGAUCUUUUCUGGCUUGCUGCAUUAGUCCAAUUAGUCAGUGAACUUGAGUUUGGACAACAGGUUUGUUGGCAAUUGGCAUGCCUUUAUAUCGCAUAUAAAAAUUUAAGUUUCGUGAAAAUAUUUUGAUAAUUAAUUUUUUAUCUUUUGAUUAUGCAAUAUAAAGUACUCUACAUACAUUUGAAAGCAAAGUUUGUUUCUUUCUGUAAUAUGUAUAUAUUCAAAUCAAACUUAGACUGCUGCAUAUACAUAUGUGUUUAUGAUUGCAACAUGCUAUAUGAAAUCCAAUGAUAUGAGGAAAGAAAACAAAUAGUUCCUAACUUCUUAUUAGAAACUCUAUAAAUCACAUAAACAUGCUAUAUAUCAAAUCCAAUGAUAUUAUUGUUUCUUGAUAAUUAUUGCAGUACUGAUCAUCAAAGUGUUGAUAGAGCAUAUCAUAUUGGACAGAAGAAGGAUGUUAUUGUAUACCAUUUGAUGACUUGUGGUAUAGUUGAAGAAAAGAUAUACAGAAAACAGGUUAAACAUCAUCUGAUCUUUGAGUUCAUCAUUAUGUGGAAUAUAGCUUAUUGGUUAAAUUUAAUGAGACAGAUAUACAAAGGGGGUUUAUUUAAAAGUGCUACCGAAGACAAAGAGCAAAUUCACAAUUUCGAUUAUUGGGUGAGUACUAGAAAGUUGGACAUUAUUCUUAUUUUAUUUCAAUUAAUAACUAAUAAGUGGGAAACAAUACUCACAUGUGCUAGAUAUCUCAGGAUCUUAAGGAGUCUUUCAGUCUCCCCUACACUACUAGAAAAACAGCCUUUUACGACGCUCAUUGCGCGUCGUAAACGGCUCAGACGACGCGCAAAUGCGCGUCAAGAAAGGCCCUGUCAUAAAGAGAGACGACGCGCAUUUACGACGCUCAUUUACGACGCACAAUUACGACGCGCGUUUACGACACGCAAUGCGUAUCAAGAAAGGCCCUGUCAUAAAGGAAGACGACACGCAUUCGCGUGUCGUAACCUUACGACGCGCAUGUUAAUGACACGCAAUGCGUAUCAAAAAAGCCCCUAUCAAGAAAGGCCAUGUCAUAAAUGAAGAUGACACACAUUUUUGCGUAUCGUAAUUUUAAAUUUUUUUUUAAAAAAAAAUAUUUAUGGAUUUACUUAUUUUCAUAUUAAAUUUGCAUUUCAUGUCACAUAAUGGAAAAUAAAAUACCAAAUACAAAUAAUACAAUGCAUUGCACAAAAGUUAAUGUUAUACAAAUAAUCAUUCCAAUAGUAGACAAAUGUAACAUUUCAACAUUUUUUAUAUAAUUAACUAAAUUAUUAGCCAAAUUUCCUAAAAUACCAACAUACGUUUCUAUGAAGAGCAUUAACACUAUUCUUUUCCAUCAAAAACUUCAAAACCUGCAUAGUUAAUUUAAUGUUUAACUAGAUAUUCGAGCUUCUAAAGCAUUCAUCUCCUUUUGACGAUUUUGGACAUGUUCUUCUUGUGCUUCCAUAUCUCUCUUAAGUUUACUGAUUUCAUCAUUCAGUAGAUUCUCCUAUAAUAUAACAAAAGGAAACCAUUUUAUAGUUAAGAUCUCACAAACAUUAUUUCCAUUCAUGUAUAUGUAUAUAUGAAUGUAAUGAUUACCUGUUUCAAGCUUAUAGAUAUUGGAAUCAAGAAAUGAUCAUCUCUAAGAUGACUAACAACAUGAACCAUUGAACAAGGAUAACAUUUUACAUAUUAGAGCACUUGGAUGAAAGUAUCACUAAAUAACUAAAGUAAGAAAAAGUUACCAUCUUGUGUAAGAUCCUCAAAUAUUUGCAUGAAUUCAGUCUUAAGAUGAGAAGGUUCCAUAGUAGCAGUAAAUUUCCCCAAAUUUGUAGCAGCAGAUCUUCUAACCAUUGGCAUAUCAUCUUGACACAACUGACUAUAUACAAACCUCUAAUAUAAGUGUUCUUAUCAUUUCAUAAUGAAGUAAUGCCUAUAAAACCUACAUACAAUAAAAGGAACACUAAAAGCAACAAAAAACCUAUUUUGCAAAUAUCUAAGAUUAACAAUAACUUACCUUCACUAGAACCAUAAAGCACUUCAGCUGCAGAAAGCCGAGGUAUUGCCAUAUAUGAAGACAUGUAAACAGAACUUGAACCAUGCAUUUGUGCAGCUUUAUUCUUGGACACAAAGCUUGUCAUCUUGUCAUGCAACCGUACACUAGCCUGGCAAUGCACGAUUUAUCAAAAAAAAAUUUCGAAUGCAUCUGAUAAGAACUAGAAGAAAGAAGCCCAUGAGUCAUACAUCUGCUAUAUGUGAAUGGUGAAGCUCUAGCCAUACAGGAUCAGAUCCUCUAGAAGGACCUCUUUCUUUUCUGGAAGGCCACCUGUUUUGCUUGCAACCUAAGUAGUAUAGUUACUUGAUUUAUAAUAGCAAAAUAACGGUAUAAAAAAACUUGAUGAACACUCCAUGGCUAGAAACAGAGCCUAACCUCAUGAAAAUAUUUAUUCCCAUCCAUGUUAGGCAUUGCAUAUGUAAGAGUUAAAAUUAUAUGUAAGAGUUAACAAAAAACAACAAGUUAGGCAUUGCAUAUGUAAGAGUUAAAAUUAUAUAUUGUGAUCUGAAACACGCUCAGGGUAGCUUAAAGUCAUAGCCACUUUGAUAGGAACUCCAACCUAGAAUAAUAAAUACUCCCAUAAAAAAGAAAAAAGAAAAAUGGGGAAGCAAGUGAGUGAGAGUGAGUGACCUCUGUAAUCUUUAGAUUAGGUUUAGGGGAGAUAACUGUCCUUCCAGUAUACUCAAAACGCUUCCCAUAUAAGUUUUUCCGAAUAUGCCCUUGCUUGCCUUUUUGGUGUUACUUCAUUACACAUUAAAACAAGAAUAACAAUGGAUAUACAUGUGUAUGGGUGUACUAAUUGAUAUGUGUACACAUCUACCAAGCUUAUAAUUGCAACAUUAGAGAUUGAUUCUUAUUAUUAUUACCUUGUGUGAUUCUGCAUCAUCACCACUAAUCUCGAUAACCUGGGCUCCUGCUUUCUUGAAUUUUUCAUAAGAGUCUCUGAAUGCACAUGCCUAAAGAUUGCAUAACAAAUAUUGUUUAUCUACUCAUAUACUUUCUAGACGAGAAUCAACAAUAAUUUUUCCAAAUAUGUUUAAGCAUCCAACAUUAGCAGAUGUAAGCUUCGAAAAGAUCAUUUCUUUAAGGAUAACGACAUGAGAAAAUGUGAUUCGAACCUGUUUAGUGCAACCAGGGGUUUCAUCAGCAGGGUAGAAAUAGACCAUAAUAGUGCAUGAAACAUAGUUUGGUAGACUAAGAAGUAUUUGCGGCCCAUACUAUUUGGCCCAUACUGCAUGUCAUACAUUUAGAGCAUUAAGCAACCAUGUCAUGUCAGAUUAAAGUUUUACAAGUAAAUAAAAAGAGAAGGAGUAGAGUAGACAUACUGAAUUAUGUAUUGAUUGGGCUGAAGUUGAUGACAAAGGUAAUGCAGCUCCAUGGGUGUUAUGCAGAGUAGUUUGUUGCGUUGUUGUAAAAAAUGACUUGAUUCCAAAUUCAGAGUCAUUGUUUAUCUCUGGUUGUAAAGAUUAAAGAUUAGGAUCCCUUAAUUUUAUGUUUUAUCAGCAAAUUAUGUAAAAUAAAUAUUACCUCAAGAGUAUAGUGCGAAUUUGAAUAGUGAGAAUCCAUUUAUCUUUGUAUAUUGGUACAUCCAUUCAAGCUGCAUAGAAACAAAAUAGUAUAAGAAAAAAGAAAUUCCGAACAAUUUUAAAUUCAAAAAAUGAUCGUUAGUAUAUUUUUAUUCUCUCUUUUUUGUUGUAUUAAAUUCUUAUAACUUUUAAAACAUAUAAUUUGCUCUCGUUUAAUAUAUUACUUUACAUGAAUAAUCAAAAAUACUUAUGAUAUGUUACUUUAACUUUUCUUCUGCUGUCUCCAAAAAAAAUGGGACAUUGCAAUGUAAAUUAGUCAAAAUUGUACCACAAACAAUAGCUAGCUUAUUAAAAACAUUUUGACAUAUGAGUUUUUAAAGAUUAAUUAGCACACGAGUACCUUCCUCUUAGUAGCUCUGUUUCAUUGCUGCAGAAAGAAAAAGAAAAAAAACUAUAAUAAGAUUUUGCAUCAAAAGGUCUACGUAUUUACAUCAUGGUCUAGCUUCUCAAACAUCUUCUUCAAAUCCUAUGUAUGUGUGUUCUAUUUAGUUUCUAUUUGAAGAUAGUUCAAAUGAGUGUUGAAAGCAUAUGUAGGCUUAAUUAAAGGUUAUCAGAUUUCCUUUUUAUACUUACUUGUUGUGUUAGUUGGCCAAACUCAAUCAACGAGAAAACUAACUCUGAAACUAACUCUGUAAUUACCCCUGUAAUCGAUGAGAACUGAGAAGCAUCAGUAACAUCCUUUCAUAAGAGUUUUUGGUGCUUGCAAGUUAAAAGCAACUUUAGGUACUGUCGAACCCUUCUGUGAGUAUCCCAUUGUCUGACCAUUUUAUAUACUAUAUCUUACCAAACACUUUUUUCAUCCCCUUCAUUCUUACAUUAGGUUUUUUCACUCAACGAAGAAGAAAUAAAACUUGGUUGUAGCAUUUCAUCGACCACCUGGUGUGCAUCAUCAAGCUUGUCACAAAUUAACAAGAUCUCAUUAUCUUUUCUACCUUAUUCCUACUAUCAUUUAUUUUCUUUAAUUUCAACAUCAAAUCCAAAGCUCCAAAUCUCUUAAAAAAUCAAGAUAGACAUAAAUUCGCAUUAAGCUAGUCAACAAAAGCAACAAGAACAAAUUAUUAAAAAUACUAAAUGAUAGAUCCUUCUUACCUUCAAGUAGAUGCCUGUAAGAUUAUGUGUGUGAAAGGCUAGGAGGUUUUGAGACCACAUAAACACAUAAUCAUCAACCUGAAGAAGAAGAAGAAGAAGNNNNNNNNNNNNNNNNNNNNNNNNNNNNNNNNNNNNNNNNNNNNNNNNNNNNNNNNNNNNNNNNNNNNNNNNNNNNNNNNNNNNNNNNNNNNNNNNNNNNNNNNNNNNNNNNNNNNNNNNNNNNNNNNNNNNNNNNNNNNNNNNNNNNNNNNNNNNNNNNNNNNNNNNNNNNNUUUUUUUAAAAAACACAACAUGUUUUGAUAAUCAUAUUGAUACAAGCAACAUAUUGAAAUGACAUUUCAGCUUUUUAAUACAAUUAUAUUUGUAUUAUUUAUACAAUAUUAUUUAUCUAGGCGAAAUCAUUUAUUGAAUUUGUUUAAUUUUGUGGAUUGUGAUGUCUUGAAAGGCUAUUCCACAUGUUGUAGCUUUGGUUAGAGCCGCAGAUAAUAAAGCCCUCGUAAAGCUGUUGAUUUCAUUUUACAACUUUUAAAAGUAAAUGUUUCUUCCACUAUUCCACUCCCACACAUAUUACCAUUUCAUUAUCUAUUUUUUAUAUCUUCAAUUUCGUUUUCUUUUUUGGGGGUACUUUCAGUACAAUGAGAACAAUGGGAAUCCGUAUUCUGAUCUUUUCUGGCUUGCUGCAUUAGUCCAAUCAGUCAGUGAACUUGAGUUUGGACAGCAGGUUUGUUGGCAAUUGGCAUGCCUUUAUAUCACAUAUAUAAAUUUAAGUUUCAUGAAAAUAUUUUGAUAAUUAAUUUUUUAUCUUUUGAUUAUGCAAUAUAAAGUACUCUACUUACAUUUAAAAGCAAAGUUUGUUUCUUUCUGUAAUAUGUAUAUAUUCAAAUCAAACUUAGACUGCUGCAUAUACAUAUGUGUUUAUGAUUGCAACAUGCUAUAUGAAAUCCAAUGAUAUGAGGAAAGAAAACAAAUAGUUCCUAACUUCUUAUUAGAAACUCUAUAAAUCACAUAAACAUGCUAUAUCUCAAAUCCAAUGAUAUUAUUGUUUCUUGAUAAUUAUUGCAGUAUUGAUAAUCAAAGUGUUGAUAGAGCAUAUCAUAUUGGACAGAAGAAGGAUGUUAUUGUAUACCAUUUGAUCACUUGUGGUAUAGUUGAAGAAAAGAUAUACAAACAACAGGUUAAACAUCAUCUGAUCUUUGAGUUCUUCAUUAUGUGGAAUAUAGCUUAUUGCUUAAAUUUAAUGAGACAGAUAUACAAAGGGGGUUUAUUUAAAAGUGCUAAGGAAGACAAAGAGAAAAUUCAUAAUUUCGAUUAUUGGGUGAGUACUAGAAAGUUGGACAUUAUUCUUAUUUUAUUUCACUGAAUAACUAAUAAGUGGGAAAAAAAUACUCACAUGUGCUUGAUAUUAUGGNCUCUCUAAUGCGUAACAUAAAUCAAAGAGCGUCGUGU
rnacentral:lncRNA from 1 species